rnacentral:lncRNA from 1 species
GCCGAGGCUGUCGUCGGAUGUGUCGUCGCCGUCGUCGCGGCCGUUGCCGUUGAGCAUGAGGCGAUCCCCCCGCCUCCUGUCGGACCGAGGCGAGUCCCUCGGCCCCGCGCCGCCGGAGACGCCGCCGCCGUUGCUCCUGAGCCGCCGCCGCGGCGGAGGCGCCCCGCCGGACAUGGACACGGCGGCCCUCCUGCCUUCCCGGAUCCGCUCCAUGUCAGAUCUGAGGCAUGCGCCUCCGAUCUCCCUCCCUCCUAGUCGCCGCCGGCGUCCCGGCAGACCGCCGCCGCGCAGAUCCGCGCACCAACCGCCUCAACAAAUCCCCACGGGCAGAGCGAGAGAGCCCGCCCUCCUUCUCCUUCCCCUCGUGCUCACAAGUAUCUCUCCUCUCUCUCUCUCUCUCUGUAUCGGUGGUGGUGCUGCUCCUCCUAGAGAGUGCUCUCCUCUCUUCUCUCCCUCGGCUGGAAUGGCUGCUGCUUCUCUGGUGUGGCCUCCUCCCCUCCCCUUGUGGCUCGCUUUCUAGGCCUCAUCCUCUUUUUGUCGCUGCCCAUCCCCGCAUCCGACGGCCAGGAUCCGCCCGACGCAUCCGACGGCCCCGACCCCCGCGCGCCUGCCACCGUGGCCGCCCCCACCGCCUACCACCCAACACGCGAUAAAAUCUCGUGGACGCUUCCUUACGCCACAAGCAUGGCCCGAUGACCGACACGUGGCGGGGCAGCCGAGCGGGGUGAAACCCACCGGCAACGGGAGGUGGGUGGUUGAUGGAUGGCGGCACGCCCGUUUGUUCGCUUCCCUAACAAAUCUUUUUAUCCUCUUGUAAAAACUCAACACUCCACGCAAAAUAAAGCAAGAAUAAUACAAUACGAGUACAUAAAGAUGAAAUGGCGCUACGCCAUCGGCUUUGGCACGGGACCACCGCGCGCGGGGUCCGCGUGGACGGAUGGGCCGCCUGAUCUGGACAGUGCGGUGCGGUUUAACCGGGCUGACGUGGCGCCUGCGCGCACCGGUUGGUUGCUACGGGUGGGUUAAAAGGGCACGAGGAAAGUCUCCAGGCAGCAGCAGCGGCAGUGGAGGCGGGCGGGGCCCACGCGCGGGCCCGGGCAUCUCCCGUCUCAUCCGCUUUUCUUUCCUUUUUCUUUUUCUCUUUCCUAACGUUCUGCUCGUGGGCUCCGACGUGGCGGAGGGGGUGACGUCGGCGGGGCCCGCCGGCCACCAACCUUCACCGCACCACUGGCCUACUUCUACUCUGAUGAAUUAUUAGUAAGAUAUUCCUUGAAAACACCCAGUAGUUUAAUAUCAUUACCACGGAGGAGAUCCGGAAGAUGUCAUUGUAUACGCGGAUUGGCGCGGUUUUACUUACACUAACUUUGGAGCAUUGAAGGCCGGUAAAUUUAAAUUUAAAUGUUUUCGCUGUGGUGUGGUGUGGUGCGGUGCGGGGCGUCGUGUUCUGGAUCCAGACGCCACCGGCAUCGGGUGCAUAUAUGCAUGGCGACGUACUGCUGCUCGCUUUAAAUUGCAAGUUUUUUAAACGAGCCACGUGCGCCUUCUUUCCAGCAUUGUACACCCAAAUUGAAUUUUGAAAAGAAAUAAAGAGUAAUUCAAGGCAUAUUUUCAGUAGGUGGCUAUCAAUGAAAAUAUGCCUGCGAAUCACUUUUUUUUUUUAAAAAACUCAAUUUGGGUGUAUUUUUGGAAAACAAAGUUAGAGGAUCGAUUUUGUUUUUUUAUCAUGACUUUACAAAUAUGAUUUCAUGAUGAAAUUUUGAAUGCACAACAAGUAUUUCCAAAAUAUAUCAUUUCUUUAAAUUUAUUAUUUUAUUUUGAACAUUUGUGCCUAGUUAUAGAAACUCCGCGUCCGUUGUAGGCUUCUUUUUGCUUAUGUCACUGAGUGUAUGUAGAAGGUACAUGUGGUGUUUAAUUUGACGUGGUUAGCAAGGACACAAGAUUUUGAUUCAUGAAAAGGGAAAGGACAUAUGGAUAGUAAACUUUGAAUGCAAUGGACAACAACAAGCACACGCUUCCUCAAAGAAGGGCAUCAAGAACAUUUUUCCUUGGCAUCUCGAUUAACUCAAUAAAACGUGGGUGUUCCCUCCUCCUCCCCUCCCUCGCACAUCGACAAACACACACGACAUGCACAUGUGUGCCCUUUUUGUGUGUUUGUGUGCGUUGUUGCUCACCCCGCAUGCCCAUAGUUUGGGAAGACCAUGUGUCCUUGAAGCUUCGCCCGUUGGCCAACUUCACACCUAUGCUUAUUGCAUUUGUGAGAUUUGAAAUAACUGCUAUGAGUGAUUUUUGGAAAGGACGAUGGGAGAGGGUUAGAUCCGGCAAAUUUGCUGAAAUAGCACUAUGUGCCCUUCGUUAGUCGGGGACGGGAAGCGAGACUCUCGACUUCCUUUUGAGAUCAGAGGGAGCAUGCCAAAGUGAUAAUGAACGGCCAUGACCGUGCCUUCCAUUCAUGGUGAUUGGUCAAAACUUUAUAUAAUCUCCAAAGAAGGAGUUCCAAGAAAUACACAAAGAGGUGUAUUCUAGUUGUUGCCAAAUUAGCAACUGCGAAUGGCGGUCUCCGAGUAGAGAUUAUCAUAUCAAAUACAAGAUUAUUAAUUCUAAACGCUCCUCCUAAUGUGUGCAUGUACUCUCAUCGCUCUUGAAAAAGUGCACCAAUUUCUAAAUUGUGAAUUGAGAAAAAUGUGUGCGCGUGGGGGGGUGUUGUCCCCCCUAGGUGUGUGUGCNNNNNNNNNNUGCAUGCGUCGUCACUUAGCUCGUGUGGCCGUGUUGGGAAAGCCAAUCCACGUGUCCAUGAUGCUUCACACAUUGGCCGCAUUAGAAGCUAUCUAUGUGGCAUGCAUGAGGUUUGGAAUAACCGCUACAUGUGAUUUGCGAAGAGAGUUAUGUUUGGAGGGAAAUACCAAAAUAGCAAUAGUGUGCCCUUCCUUGGUGGAAGAUAAGAAGCAAGACUCGUGACUUUCUUUGGAGAUCAGAGGGAGUAUAACAAAGUGAUAGUGAAUGGCCAUGACUUUGCCUUAUCAUUCAUGAUGAUUGAUCAACGAUUUAUAAAAUGUCCAAAGAGCGGUUCUGAGAAAACAUGGAGGGGUGUAUUCGGGGUGUUGAGAAUUUAGCAACUCCCAAAUGUGGUUUACAUGCAAUGAUUUAUCUUAUCUAACACGAUAUUAAUUAAUUCUACACACUCCUCCGGAUGAGUGCAUUUAUUCCCACCACUAUUGAAAAACACAUCAAUUUUCUCAAUUUUGAAUGGAGAAAAGCGUGUGCGUGUGGUAGGUGCUUUUGCUCAAAAUCAUUCCUAUAAGUGUGCGUGUGCAUGCGCAUGUGUAUCUCGUUUCAUGUNNNNNNNNNNGUUUAUCCUAUCUAACACGGUAUUAAUUAAUUCUACACACUCCUUUGCAUGAGUGCAUUUACUCCCACCACUAUUGAAAAAACACAUCAAUUUUCUCAAUUUUGAUCGGAGAAAAGCGUGUGUGUGUGUGGUAGGUGCUUUUGCUCAAAAGUAUUCCUAUAAGUGUGCGUGUGCAUGCGCAUGUGUAUCUCGUUUCAUGUGCAUGCAUUAUCGCUUAGCCCAUGUGCCCACGCUCGAGAAGCCAAUCCACAUGCCCUUGAUCCUUCACCCAUUGUCCAUAAUAGAAGCUAUGUAUGUGGCAUGCACGAGAUUUGGAGUAACCGCUACACGAAAUUAGUGGAGAGGGAUAGGUUCUGAGGGAAAAGACCAAAAUAGCAAAGUGUGGCCUUCNNNNNNNNNNAUGACUUCCUUCACAGGUUGGCGGGAGUAUAACAAAGUAACAAUGAAAGAACAUGUCAUGGUUUUGUCACGACGAAAAUCCUCGUGAUAGGACUAAGUCUAGGAGCUAUCACAACUAGGUGGUUGCUUGGAUGGGGUUGAUCGGGAAUGAGAGACAAGAGUUUACCCAGGUUCGGCCCCUCCGAUGGAGGUAAAAACCUGUGUCCUCCUUUUUGUCUUUAUUGAUGAUGAUCUCGAUUACAAGGGUUCGAAAUCUCUAACCUAANNNNNNNNNNNNNNNNNNNNNNNNNNNNNNNNNNNNNNNNNNNNNNNNNNNNNNNNNNNNNNNNNNNNNNNNNNNNNNNNNNNNNNNNNNNNNNNNNNNNGCGACCUUAUGAGCCGACGAAACCUGCAUUUAGGGUGGGUGCACGAGCCUUCUGACUCGCCUCCCCCUGUCGCGACCUUAUGAGCCGACGAAAUUACUGUUGCUAUUUUUCGUCGUGGCAUAGCCCUGAAGGUUUUAAGCCCUUUCUUUCUGAUGCUUGUUGAAAAUAUCUAUAAUUUGUUUGUUUUCACAUAUGCUAUUCUCAAAGCUUAAGACAGGAGGGUGAUAAGAAUUGUUUCAUCCAUGGCAAAUUAAGCGUUAUAGAAGACUCUUAUAAAGGCGGGUCAAAUAUUUCAAAUCGCCUUAAGGGCGAUAUAAAGGUUCUUGCAAAAGGUAUCAUCAAAAACAGUACUGACUUACGGAAAAAGGAUCUAUUACAUGGCUCUCAGGCCAACUUCAAUAAAGUUUACUUUGCUGGCGCGUCGGGAUCAUCCUGAUGUGAGCUCUGGCCGACUUCGAUUUGCAAGUCGCCCAAUACCCAAUUGCACUUGGCCAAAGCAGCAAAGUCAUCUUCAUCAGUCAGAAUUGAUGCCAAGUCUGCUUCCAAGUGGAAAGGAUUCUUGGGUCGCCGAGGAGUUAGGCUGGUCGUCAUGAAGGUUGGCGGGCUGACCUUCUUGUUUCUGCUAUCAUAAGCCGCCUGGUAUUUUGUUAAAUCAAGGCUUGCGGCAAGUUGAGUUGCAGCCAGCCGAGAGUCCUUGACGACUCGCUGAUAGUCCUCUUCAACAAAUUCUGACCCAUCGUCCUUGAGCUGAGGAAAGCCUGCGGCUACUUCUUCUAAGUUGAUUUCUGGAGCAUACGCCAAACAACGACUCAGGGCAGUCAGAACACCUCUCCGGGCGGCUGACCGAGUUAACUCGCCAAUCUGAGGGGGAAGUGUGGACAAGCAGCCAAGCACCUUCUUGAUGGAAGUGUUAGGUUCUUUGGCACCCAUCACAGCUUUAACAGUCAAGACACUGCCUGUGUACAAUUGCUCUGUCAGCGUGUAAAUCGCCUUCAGCAUCAACAGACAGUCUUCUUGAAGGUUGGCGGCUCUCAGACCUGAAUCAUGAUGAUUAGCGACUUAUCAUAAGUGUUCUUUUAAAAAAAAAGGAGAGGAGGAGAUCAAAGGUUUAAGUAAAGCUUACCAAAGACGCCUUGCGCCAUGUUGGAGAUAUGACGCUUUAAGCCGGACAAUUCCUGUUGUACAGUGACCAGCCUAGCUUCAGCCUUCUCUGCUCUCUUCAAGGCGGCAUUUUGGUCAGCCUGAGCUUUUUUCAACUCGGCCUUGAGUUUUACCAGUUCGGCCAAGGCCAAUUGGCAUUUUUCCUCCGACUUAGCUCGGGCGUCUUGUUGUCCAGCUAAGUUUUUCCUUAAAUCGCUCAGCGCCGAUUCGGUCUGAGCAUGGUUUUCCUAUUGAAAGUUUAAAAUAAGGGCAAGUCUCAGAACUACUGCAAAGCAAUAUCCCUGACACUUGGGGGCUAAUGUAUAAUUUUUUCAGAUGAAAUUAUACAAAAAUCAAGACCUCGCUCAUCUUUUUGCUGAUGACCCGGCACUUGGGGGUUACUGGUCGCGAAGUUUUUUCUAAAUUUUCAAGACCCGACUCAUCUUUUUACUGAUGACCCGGCCCUUGGGGCUUAAUGGGAAUAAUAUAGUAUAACAAAAUUUACCUCAUGUUUGUUGUUUAACAUCUGCAGCAGGUUUUUCUCCAUCUCAUAGCUCACUUCCAGGCGACUUGCAAAGCCAGAGCAGAGUUCCUUAAACUCCAAAUUUGCAUAUUCGGAAAGUUUCGCCUUGGAGAGCCCAGACUCGGGAAUGGCUUGAGAGGAGGAUGCUACAUGUUUGGACAAAACUGUCGCCGCCGGCUUAGAAAAGCCAGAACCAGUAAUAACCACAACAUCUGGGUCUUCUGUUGUCGUCAAUGGGCUCGGCGGCUUAGGGGCAUCCAUUGUUUCCUUCGGCGACUCAGGAAGAUCCGCUUGAGUCGCAGGCUCAGUUUGAUCCGGAUUGUCUUGAGUCGGAGUUGAUUCUUUCGUGGGUUCUGAAGUUGCGUCAGGAGUUGAUCCACUGGGUUUCCUCUUCUUGGCCUGUGCCCUGAAAAAAAGGGAAUAAGCACGUUAAGGAAUUGAAAGCUCGUUAUUCUCAAAAGUCAAGGCAAGGUUAUCAAAAGACUUACCCCGGAACUCGAAUCAUUGGUGGAAGUGUCAACAUCACUGAGUCGCCAGAAGUGGGAGGAGAGUUCUGUAAGAAUUAUACGUCAAUAAUACAGGCGGGUUACAAGCGUGAUCCAAAGAGACAUGAAGAAUGGUUACUCAUAAGAGUACCUCGCUUGGUUUUCUUUUGUUCGUUGCUGGUAAGCCAGAUACCAGAUCGCCGGAGUGACUCCGUGUUUUCCGAUUUGAGGCAUGCUGUGCUUUCUUCAGUAGGAAAAUUGGGUCCAAAUAAGCAUUUGGAUUUGAGAAGGGAACUUUCCCACAAAUUUGCCUGGCCGACUUAGGUGGAGAAGGAGAUGAAUCGGAGGAAACAGAAAUUACCUCAACAGAGUCCUCCUGGCUUUCGUUAUCUUCAUUCUAUUUCAAGGAAAUGGAGAGAUAUAAAUACAAAGGUUAACAGUAAUAGAUGGCGAGUGAAAAGAGGACGAAUUUUUACCUCCGAAAGUGCAUCGCCGACUUGAGAUUCGUCAAUUUCGGAUGGUUCAGCUGCAACAGAUUUGCCCUUACCCUUGGUUUUCUUUGAGGGCGGCUUGACAUUUUUCAUGGCUUGCCUUUUGGGCUUCCUGGACCAGAAUUUAUCGCCUUUCUGAAAUGGCAUAUGUUACGAAACCACAAUACAAAUGAAGCAUAAAGAAUAAAGACCAAAGGCGGGUUAGGUUUGUUUACCUUGGGCGCCAGGUUGAUUUUGAAGAAAGGCUUAAGGCCGAUCUGGCCGCAUUUUCCUGCAGGCUCGCCAGUCAGCUUUUUGAUAAUGGUAACAAUAUCCUUUUCCAUUAAAGCUGUGCGAAAAUAGCAUUGAGGAUGAUCCAGGGUGCCAUCAAAUUCACACAUCAGGCCAUCCCGGCGGCUCAGAGGGAGGAUACGCCAUUCAACCCAGCAGCGGAUUAGGUCGACCCCGGUAAGGCCGUUGUUCGUCAAAGAUCUUAAUUCAGAUAGUAUUGGGAUGAAUUCCGAUUCCUCCUCCUCGGUAAGCUUGUCUGGAAGCUUGAAGUUGGUCGGAAGGCGAGUUGGCCUGUAACCCAGAAGCUUGUUCUCGCCUGCAGGAGACGUCUCUUGAUAGUAAAACCAAGACUCGCCCCAGCCUUUGGGAUGGCUAGGCAUGGUGAGUGAGGGGAAUGGGCUAGCCCUGCAGCGCUGGAUAUUGACGCCACCAAGUUCCAAGCUGGGGCCGUUAGGGAAUUCCGUUUUGUGAUUCAGAUGGAAAAAAUGCCAGAAUAAAGGGACAGAAGGCUCGAUCCGCAGAUAAGCCUCACAAAGAACUUGGAAUUGGCACAAAUUACUUAUGGAAUUGGGUCCCAGAUCCUGGAGACGGACGUUCAUGAAAGUCAAGGCGUCCCUAAGAAACUUUGAUCCGGGCGGCUUAAAACCUCGCUCCAGGUGUUCAACAAAAACGAUUAUUUCCCCUUCUUUGGGGUUAGGGAGAUCUUCUCCGAACCCGGUGCGCCAGCCAAUAACAUCCUGAGGAUCCAAACUGCCUGGUUUCACAUAAUCGGCUAAUAUGGAGUCAUCAACCUUGGUAGGAAGCCAGUCACUCUUGAAGACGGCGCCCAUGCUACAAAUAAGUAAAGUAUGAUAUUACAUGCCUUGGACACCUACUGUAUGGGAUGAAAUCAGUUCAUUUAACCCGCCGAGUACUUUGAUUAAGGAAAGGUUUGACCCGCCAGAUCAAAGGGGCGAGUUGGGUCACUAUGGCGACCUAUGGAAGUGUGGUUAUUCUCAAGGGCUACGUUCUGAAGACGGUAAAAGCGUUUCAUUUGAAGUACCAGGAGAUGAGGACUACAAACAACUUUUUGCAAACAGUAAAUAAGGAAUGGAUCUACCAGACAGAAGAGAAAACCUAAAGAAAAUGACUGGUCGCGACAGUUUAUUAUCGGAUGACGCCCUUCGCUUGGCGGAAACAUUAUUUUCAAAUAUUCACGAGUAAAGACGGAUAAGUAAAAGUAUUCGGAAUAUUAGCUAUCCUACCAACGCUCGUGUUAAUCGAUUUAGAGCAGGUAGCAUCUAUAUGCAAGGAGCUUCAAGAACACGACAAUGGCGGGAGUUCAAGCGGAGAGUGAAUCUACUCCUAAAAUUAGGUGGAGGCCUAACCUGAUGCUGUCGGGGAAGAAGAGCCGAUGGUGAUGGGGUUUGCUGGAGAAGCACUGGCGUCCCGUCGGGCGAAGAGGUUUUCAGCGGCGGCGAAGUUCGUGGUAAAUGGCGAGGUUAACGACGGCGAAGCGGUCGACGAUGACGACGGCGGAUGUGUUGGUUGCGGCGCAAGAAUGGACGACGGCGAAAGCCCACAGGCGGCACCGAAGCUCCUCGUGUGAAGGCCGAAAGCACGGUCGGCGGCGGAUUCCUCGGGGCGAUAAGUUUUUCUCGCUGCACCGGUGGGGAGGAAGGUGACAAGACUGGUAGGUGGGAAGCGCCAGUUGUGUCCCCCCUGGCCUAUUUAUCAAGGCAGGUGUUGGAAUUGAGGCGCCAUGAGCGGGAACCGCCGGGGGAUAAAAGAUUCGCUAUAAAUGCGUGCCGAAUAUUUCGGAUAACAAUGCGCUAAAGAUCCGUUGGAGUUGUGGCGGUCUUCCCGAAAAAAGAGGAAUAAGAAAAGGCCACUUAGUAAUGAUCUGGCAACUUAAGGGAUUUUCAGUGCCCAAAGGCAAUGGCGGGUGUACAAUUUUUUGACAGACGCAGAAGAGUAGGGAAUGAAUCGCCUUUAAUGGAGCAGAGGUAUUGGCAUGAAGAGGAAAGGUUCAAGUCAAUUCGGGGCCUAAUGUUGGGAAUGUAACCAGUGGAUGACCCGCCCUAGUUGGGCCGGGUUAUCCAUUGGGCGAUUCAUCUAAACGUUUAGUUGGGCCUCGUUUUGGCCGAAUCGAGGUCGUACGACGAGUAUGGCUCUUGGCGGGUCUCCCAGCUUUGGAAGAUGGCGAUUUAGAGACCGCAAUGGUCACGAGUUGUAGAAAGGAAGGAAUCCUUGUAAACCCUAGGGAAUCGACCUAUAUAUAAAGGCGAAGUCCCGGGGGACAGAGGACAGGUGAGAAAUCAUUGAGUGCUAGGUUUAGGCGAGUUACGCCUUCCUUGUAAUCGAAUCCAUAUCAAUACACACAAAAGCAGGACGUAGGCUACUACCUCCUCCCGAGGGGCCGAACCUGGGUAAAUCGCCGUGUCUCUCCCGCUUAACCCCUUUGAGUCACCACCAAAGUGCGAUGGCUCCAGUAUUAAGUCCUUUCACGAGGACAUCUGCCGUGAAAAAACCACGACAGUAAGUCUCUCAGAUUUACCAUUCUGAAUAGCAAGAGAAUGAUAAGAGUAAGUCAUCAUGGUGAUCAAUCUAUUCCACACCCAAAUCAUUGCUCUGUAUAAGGUUUAGCAAAUCUUGCAUUCUAACACUUGGGCAUCCUCACAAGCAUUGCACAAUUUCUCUUGUACAUGAAUGAAGUUCGGACGAAUCCAUUGGUUCUGCAAGCUGAACGAAACAUCUAUCGUAUUUUUACCACUCUUAGGUUUUGUGCGUGCUCCUAAGAAAACGUUUGCUGACACGUCAUAGCUUAUCCCUUCAUGCUCUUGGGGCAACCUUUUUGAAAAUCUUGGGAUGCAUCCUUGGUACAUGUUGUAUUCCUUGAACUAAUUUUCCUUUCCAUUGGUUUGAUUAUCCUUAGGUAUUGUUUCAUCAUAGUAAUUCCUUCAUUUCAUCCUCAUUCUAUUCUCGAAAUUCCACUUCAAAAGUACUUGGUUACAAAUUUUGUCACCCACAUAGUUUGAUAUGGUCCAACAUUUCCUUCAAAUGUAUUCGGUGGAUUUGACUCCUCGGUAUGCAUGGUACAUUCCUAUUCCUUGGAUCCUGUGGUUUUACCGAUUACUACCACACUUAAAAUGAAAUAUACUCAUGCCUGCAUAUACCAUAUUUUCUCAUAUCCUCAUAAAUGGUCAGAGAUCUUUGUUCAUAGAGAAACAUCGCAUAUAGUUUCAACAUAGGACAUCAUGACACAAUAAAUUUUAUUGAUUCAUGAAGUUAUUACAAUCUCAGAGACUUCCAUUACAAAAUUUAACUCCAUAAACUCAUGAUAACAAGAGGGCUUCAUGCUACACUUAUUGCCAUUGUCAGAACUUAACUACUCCAUUUUAGAUUUCUUUCCCUGUGGACAGUUACUAGCAUAAUGUCAUGCUUCCUUGCAAUGAAAACGAAUGCGUUCCGACAAGUCUCGGGGCUUCUUGGUGUUUGCUGUUGCUCCUUGGGUUUCCUGCUUCCUUCUUGGGCACAUAUUGCUGUAGUGGCCCAAUUCCUUACACUUGAAACAUCUGAUAUGACUCAGGUCUUUAUGUGUCGGGAUUUGACUAUGGCUGGUGUACUUUCUCUUCUUUCCGAAAUCCUUCAUUCGGGCCAGUUCUUCUAUUUCAAGUGGAUCCAACUCUACUUUUUCUGUCGAGAAGUCUCCCAGAUAUUUAUGGCUUUCCUUCAUGCAAUCCUCUCAAAAAUGUCCUUCUUCUCCACAUGAGUAACAUGCAUUGGGAAAAAAUAUGGUUAGGCCUUGUCCAUCAGGGUCUCCAAUAUUUUCCUUCAUCACAUGUUCUUCUAAAAUCUUCUUCUUGAGCGUUUCCUUCAUUGAUUAUUUCUGUUGCUUGACAACUUGUUGUACGUUGUGGUAAACGUGACACUGGGCUGGGUAGUGAGUGGUUCCUUCACACAAGAAACAAGUCACCUGACUAGUUGGGCAUUCCUCCCCUAGGUGAUUUUCUUCACAAUGAGGGCAUCCAUCCUUGUCUUCUCCCUGGGUGUGUCCUAUUUCUCCACAGAUCUUACAUGCACAAGGUUUCUUCAUCGGGCUAUCAUAGCACUUCUGAAUGAGACGAGCUCUUAACAGAGUCUUCUUGAAUUCGUCCUAAGUUUCUGCUCCACUAAAUCCUUGUAUGUCAUGAUGCAUUUUCCACCAGAUAGCAGCACUUUGUGUAAAGUACUGAAGAGCAUGUGCCACUUCAUACUUCCUUGAAAUUAAAUUGCUCCUGAAGUGGUUCUCCAUGUUCUGAAUCCAUAUUUCAACUUCGAGCUGGGUCAUUGGUCCAGAGAUUACAAGUCCAGCUUCAUAUGUCAUCUAUUUGGUCCAAGGUUUUGGGGAUGAGAUGGGUAAGAGAGAGAGAGGGAAAGAGGGAUAUACACACAAUACAAACAAUAUUUUUGAGAAUAGGUUUUAUUUGUGGCUGUCGGAAAACACACACAAAUGACGGCUCACAAAUCAUCGUAUCUAACAUGGGUAUAUAACAGGUGUUUGGACUUCUAAUGGCCAUAUAAAUAUUGGAACACUUCAGGGUCUUCAAAUUCUUCGGUUCUUGAGAGUCUUCAAUUGGUGCAGCUUCAGUUUUUCAAAUGCAUGGUGAAAUGCUCUUUACUUUGAAGUGGGACUCAGCUAAUCCUUUAUGUGGUCCAAGGGGAAAGGGUAUUGUCUAACUAUUUGAGGUGAGAGAGAACAUUUGAUGAAAUCAGAAGAGAUGAGAAGUAAAGAAUGUUCUUGAAAAUAAAAUAUUAGAGAGAUGCUUUCCUAAGGGAUUUCCAGUUUCUAGGGUCAUGUCCUACAAUCAACAUGUUCUCUGAUACCAUAUCUAUAGCGACCCGACUCAAAACGAGUCAAGCCUCUGUGUGUUCCGUGCCAUCACUGGAUCAGUAUGCUGGAACACACAGUACAUCAAUGUAUAUAUCAAAGUGCAAUCACAUGUAAAAUAACCUAAAACUGAUAUAUACCUCAAAAUCUCAGCGGAAACAGUCAAAGGCAGUGGAGUCCCAAUAAACACCAACGACAAGUUGAGUGCAGACCGUAACCUUGAAUCAUACUCUUACUCGUCGAAUACAAUAUCUACAACAUAAGAUGUUGCAGCCGUGUAGGUCAGCAUAUCGAAUAUGCCGGCAAGUCAGAAAAGAGAGGGGUGAAAAUAUCAUCUAUACUAUAUGCAUAUACGACACAUGGGGCCGUAGUUUUAAGUUUGGCGUAAAGCAAAUUUUCCUACAACAAGAGAGGGUCAAAGCAAGAUUUACUACAUUGUUCGUUGUUAAUGAGAUGGUUCCACCAACCAAUUCUCAUACCCAAGUUAUAAAUAUUACCCACAUCAAUAUUAAAUGGUGUUGAGAAUUCCUAAUAACUUUAGUUCCUUCGACUCAAGUUGCCCAUGACCGUGGACACGGCUAAUCAAUUACGUUUGAGUACUCAGCAGAGUUUUGCACACGUUCCCCACAAGAUUUGAUCGCCUCCGUUGGAGUCCUCACACUUCAGGAUGUUUGAGAACCGGAUGAUCAAAACAUGGUCUUUCAACGGGUUCCUCUGAGCCACUGUCGGUGCCCAUCCAAUCCUACCGUUCUUGUACAUCUCGUAGUACCGCUCGUCCAAAGUCACCACGUUGUCCAACCAAGCCAGAGCCCAUAAUGACUUGUGGCUNNNNNNNNNNACUUGGGUCUUCAAAUAUCCAUCCAUCUCUUUGAGCCUGGGUGAAGCUUUCCGAAAGAUGUCAUGGCGCUUCUGCAUGCAUCCCAAGUCCUCCGCUGGUUUUUCCCACGGAGCCCAUCUGAACCGUCCUUCACCCAGAGGUAUAUUUUGUUCUGAGGUCUUGCAAGUCUUGGAUUCUUAAGGUCUUCAUUAUUAAGUUUCUCACAACACCCAUGAUAAACACUCAACCAAACCCCGUCUACCAUGAGCAUAGCAAAAUAACGUCCCUGCCAAAGUAACAAGGGUUUAGGGGUGCCUAUCAUAACAUACUACUCAAUAACCAAAGUUUCCAAGUACCUACUUUCAUGCAAUGGGUGAAGAAGGUUGAAACUAAUGUAAUAAAACCAUAGGUAAAAAUGUGAUCAAUGUGAACUUGCCUGGUAAGGUUGAUGAAGAAGAAUAUCGCUCUCAAGAAAUAACUUGAUAGAACUAUUCAUCACUCUCCGUCGAUAUCUAUAUAAUCAAACAUAAUAUUCGUAUAAGCAAUCCUACUAUAAAUCAUCCUAGUAAUCAGUAUAACAAACAACAAUAAAAUUUGAUGCAAUAAAACCAAUAAGAAAUAUCAAAUAGAAAUCCAAAAGGAACUUCACAGAAAAACUAUGGAGUCUUCUACUACAACAAUCACUAAAUAGUUUUUGUUCUAAUUAAACUUAACAGAAAAUGGAACACUAAAAUAGUAAAAUAAUAGAAAAUAAAAAAGAAAAUUAACUAAGAUAACAGAAAGUAUUUUUCAUAAAACUGUAUUUUUUGAAAGUAUCAUCAAAUAGGACAUCAAACUAGCAACAAAAUCAAUUUGCAAGUUAUUACCGAACUAGAAUUGAUUUCAUGCUAUCAAAUAAAAUAAAAUUUUCUUGUUGUUGAAAACCUACUGUUAACUAACAGGAAACAAAAUAUAACCUUUCACAAGUAUAAACCAAAAUAAAUUAAAAACAAUUAUAGCAAAAGAAAUAGCAAUAAUCCAAGAAAGAACUAAAACAGAAUCUGUUUUACACACAAUAUUGAUUAAAAGUACUCCAAAAAUUCUGAAAUUUUACCUAGUGAUAUAUAAGAUCACUAGCGAUCAGCAGCAAAAAGAAUCAACUAAAAAUCUAUUUUUAAACUCCAGAUAUUAACAAAACAAGAUUUAAACCAAAUCUGUUUAAAUUCAGAAUUUAAAAUUUCAAACAUGGUAAAAUUUUAUAUCUACAGAAACUACACAAAAUUUGUGAUCCAACGCAAAAAUAAUCACCUCAAUUGGAGUUAUAGAUUAAAAGUUAUAAGCAAUCUAAAAUCAGGUCCAAAUCUGUUUCAGAAUUAAAAACAGAAAAAGAUUAAAAGAAAAGGUGAUGUGGCAAGCUGUGAUUGGCUGGAGAUCGUGCACGGUUUAGGCUAACUAACGGACGGUCGCAAUAUAAAGGAAACCUUUCGGUUUUAAAUUAACUAACUGGGAACCGAUCGGUUUUCUAACUAAAACCGAAAGGGUAUCCUAAUCUAAUCUAGAGCGUAUAUUAUGGAUCCAACGGUGGGAAAAAGAAAAAAAGAGAGAGAGGGAGCUUACCGUGGCAAAGAGGAGCUCCAGCGCUGGUAAUGGUGCAACUGAAGGUGAGGUGGCGAGGGGAGGCGGCUCGGGUGGUGUAGGGGGCGGCGUGGUGGUGGUUGCGGCGAAGGAGGGUCCCGACGUUCUCCUGGUAGCGUCAGGAGGGUCCGAGGGCGAAGGGAGGUGGGGCGACACGAGCUCCUAGUUUCGGCCUGAGCAGGACCUUCGGCGAGGGUGGAGGGCGGUGCUGGGGCAUGGAGACAAAGGGGUCUUGGGGAAAAUGGAGAGGGGAGGGGGUGAGGAUCUUAAAUAGGGCCUCGAGGGGCGAGGGGAAGGAAGGUACGCGGAGAUCGGGGAAAGGAAUCGACAAGGAAUCUUCGUGGAAGUUUCACGCGGCACGGAAGGAAAGGAGACGACAUGUGGAAGAAGGAAGGUAUCGGGCCGGAUCAUAUAUUCCUAACGGGCCCAGAUGCCUUUCCAAAGAAAACGAUUUGUUUCCUUUUAAUAAAAACCUGAAGGUAAAACUUAAAAAAUUAAAUAAAUAUACUUCCAAAUAUAGAAGUAUUAUAUACCAAAAUUAUCAGAAAAAUAAAUCCAAUAAGAUGGACAUUUUUCCAGGGCUAAAAUAAAAACUUCAGAAGAAAUAUUAUGUUUUCAGAAAAUUGCCUAAAUGAUUUAUUUCCUUUUACAAAGAUUUUUCAAAUGACCUCCUAAGUUUUAGGGUUCAAAUAAUUUUCAAAAUGCCCUUGGUUUGAAGGGUCAUGUUCCUCCUGUCAUAUUUUUUUAAUAUAUGUAUUCAUUUAAACAUUGAAAUAGCAAUAGGAUCAAAUACGAAAAUGAAAUCCAUAUAGGAAAUCUUUUAUUAGUUUUCAAAUCCACCUUUCAAAAUCUUUAUAGUUGAAGAAGUCAUGUUAUCUUCUCUCACUGAUUUUAAAUGGAUGAAUUUGAAUUAAAAGAAAAUGGGAAAGUCCUUUUAUUCCCUCUCAUUCAAAAGUUUUAAAAUGUUUUCAAAUUUCACUCAAGUUUCAAUCACUCAAACAAACAAACAAUCAAUCUAGUAAUUAUAUUAACAUUCCAAAAUUUGGGAUGUUACAAACCUACCACACUUAAAAUGAAUCUCGUCCUCGAGAUUCUAAGAGGUUAGAAAGAAAAGGUUAGGGUUUGGGGGUCUUCUAAAAAAUCCAAUCUCGUGCAAAGUGGGAUGCUACCACACUUAAAAUGAGAGUUACCGGUCCCUCAAAUUUCAAACAAUCCUGUGGGGUCUUGGCAUAUGACUCCUCACAUUCUCCAUACCAACUCCUUUGGUGAUGCUCUUGCUUUAUGCUCAUAACAUUUCCCUCAAAAUCGAGGGUUCUUCUGUUGAUAAAAGCUUCUUCCAUCACUUGGUAUUCUUAACUGACAAGUCUCGUGACCAUUCUAAAUAACCUAUCGAUGAUUAUCAUGGUGGUCUACCAUUUGUGGGUAUGCUGCAGAGAGAAGGGUCUUGGCUUCAUCCUCACCCUAAAAUUUCCGACGCGUGACAACACUUGUCAUGUACAUGGGCUUUCAUCAUACCAUUCUAAGGCUUAAACAAAAGCUUCAAAGAACACCAUCUCUCUCUAUGGGUAAGUGUUGGGAAUGUAACCAGUGGAUGACCCGCCCUAGUUGGGCCGGGUUANNNNNNNNNNNNNNNNNNNNNNNNNNNNNNNNNNNNNNNNNNNNNNNNNNNNNNNNNNNNNNNNNNNNNNNNNNNNNNNNNNNNNNNNNNNNNNNNNNNNAAAUAAGCUUUGUACGAACCUGUGAUGAGGAAGACAUAAAAGCGACAGACUGCAUAAUUAAGUUCUUUAUCACAGGAGGCAAUAUAAAGUGACGUUCCUCCGCACUAAGAGGACACGCAUUCAAACCUCAAAAGCGCAUGACAACCUCUGCUUCCCUCUGCGAAGAGCCUAUCUUGUACCUUUACUUUUUGCCCUUGUAAGAGUCAUGGUGAUCUUCACCAAUUCCCUAUUUUGCCUUUGUCUUGGCUACCGUCACAUGCUUUGGAAAGAUCUAUAUUCAUAUAUCAACUUGGAGUUGAGUACUUAUGCUUUAUUUAUUGUUGACUUUACCCUUGAGGUAAAUCGUUGGGAGGCAAAACUAUAAGCCCCUAUCUUCCUCUAUGUCCAGCUGAAACUUUGACACCAUGAGUACCACGUGAGUUGUAACAAUUGUGGAAAACAAAAGAGAUGAUUGAGUAUGUGGGUUUGCCUUACAAGCUCUUAUUUGAGUCUUUCUGAUGUUAAGAUAAAUUGCAGUUGCUUCAAUGACUAUGGACUGUUGUUGGUUACUUCUCGGUAAGGUUUUUGCUUCAUACUUUGCUUUGUGAAGGAAUUGUUACUUUCCCAUAAGAAUCUUUAUGAUGUAUUGCUGUUCUAUGUGUGAUCAUGAUGCCCUCAUGUCCGUAUUAUGUUUUAUCAACACCUUCAUCCCUAAACAUGUGGACAUGUUCAUGGAACUUGGUUUUUGCUUGAGGACAAGCGAGGUCUAAGCUUGGGGGAGUUGAUACGUCCAUUUUGCAUCAUGCUUUCAUGUUGAUAUUUAUUGCUUUAUGGGCUGUUAUAUUACUUUGUGGUACCAUAUUUAUGCCUUUUCUCUCUUAUUUUGCAAGGUUUAUUUGAAGAGGGAGAAUUCAGGCAGCUGGAAUUCUGGACUAGAAAAGGAGCAAAUCUUAGUCCACUAUUCUGCACAUCUCCAAAUGCCCUGAAAAGUUACGUGGAAUUUUUUGGGAUUAUAUAAAAAAAUACUGGGCCAAAGAAGUACCAGAGGGGGGCUACCAGGGCGCCACAAGCCGUGCCACCGCCACCCCCGGAUGGCAAGCUUGUGGGCUCCCUGACGGCCCACUGGCCCGCCUCUUUUGCUAUAUGAAGGGUUUCGUUCCAGAAAAAUCAAUGGGGAGCUUUUUUGUGGUUUCACCGCCGCCACGAGGCGGAACUUGAGCAGAUCCAAUCUAGAGCUCUGACAGGACGAUCUUGACGGGGAAACUUCCCUCCCGGAGGGGGAAAUCGUCGCCAUCGUCAUCACCAACACUCCUCUCGUCGGAGGGGAGGCAUCUUCAUAAACAUCUUCAUCAACACCAUCUCCUUUCCAAUCCCUAGUUCAUCUCUUGUAACCAAUCUCCGUCUCGCAACUCCGAUUGGUACUUGUAAGGUUGCUGGUAGUGUUGAUUACUCUUUGUAGUUGAUGCUAGUUGGAUUACUUGGUGCAAGAGUUUAUGUUCAGAUCCUUGAUGCUAUUCAUUACACCUCUGAUCAUGAUUAUGAUUAUGCUUUGUGAGUAGUUACUUUUGUUCCUGAGGACAUAGCAUAAGUCAUGCUGAUAAUAGUCAUGUGAGUUUGAUAUUCGUUCGGUAUUUUGAUAUGCUGUAUGUUGUCUUUUCCUCUAGUGGUGUUAUGUGAAUGUCGACUACAUAACACUUCACCAUAUUUGGGCCUAGAGGAAGGCAUUGGGGAGUAGUAACUAGAUGAUGGGUUGCUGGAGUGACAGAAGCUUAAACCCUAGUCUAUGCGUUGCUUCGUGAGGGGCUGAUUUGGAUCCACUAGUUUAAUGCUAUGGUUAGACGUUGUCUUAAUUCUUCUUUUGUAGUUACGGAUGCUUGCGAGAGAGGUUAAUCAUAAGUGGGAUUCUUGUCCAAGUAAGGGCAGUAUCCAAGCGCCAGUCUACCCACAUAUCAAACUAUCAAAGUAACGAACGCGAAUCAUAUGAACAUGAUGAAACUAGCAUGACAGAAAUUCCCGUGUGUNNNNNNNNNNNNNNNNNNNNNNNNNNNNNNNNNNNNNNNNNNNNNNNNNNNNNNNNNNNNNNNNNNNNNNNNNNNNNNNNNNNNNNNNNNNNNNNNNNNNUGUCAGAUCUGAGGCAUGCGCCUCCGAUCUCCCUCCCUCCUAGUCGCCGCCGGCGUCCCGGCAGACCGCCGCCGCGCAGAUCCGCGCACCAACCGCCUCAACAAAUCCCCACGGGCAGAGCGAGAGAGCCCGCCCUCCUUCUCCUUCCCCUCGUGCUCACAAGUAUCCCCCCUCUCUGUAUCGGUGGUGGUGCUGCUCCUCCUAGAGAGUGCUCUCCUCUCUUCUCUCCCUCGGCUGGAAUGGCUGCUGCUUCUCUGGUGUGGCCUCCUCCCCUCCCCUUGUGGCUCGCUUUCUAGGCCUCAUCCUCUUUUUGUCGCUGCCCAUCCCCGCAUCCGACGGCCAGGAUCCGCCCGACGCAUCCGACGGCCCCGACCCCCGCGCGCCUGCCACCGUGGCCGCCCCCACCGCCUACCACCCAACACGCGAUAAAAUCUCGUGGACGCUUCCUUACGCCACAAGCAUGGCCCGAUGACCGACACGUGGCGGGGCAGCCGAGCGGGGUGAAACCCACCGGCAACGGGAGGUGGGUGGUUGAUGGAUGGCGGCACGCCCGUUUGUUCGCUUCCCUAACAAAUCUUUUUAUCCUCUUGUAAAAACUCAACACUCCACGCAAAAUAAAGCAAGAAUAAUACAAUACGAGUACAUAAAGAUGAAAUGGCGCUACGCCAUCGGCUUUGGCACGGGACCACCGCGCGCGGGGUCCGCGUGGACGGAUGGGCCGCCUGAUCUGGACAGUGCGGUGCGGUUUAACCGGGCUGACGUGGCGCCUGCGCGCACCGGUUGGUUGCUACGGGUGGGUUAAAAGGGCACGAGGAAAGUCUCCAGGCAGCAGCAGCGGCAGUGGAGGCGGGCGGGGCCCACGCGCGGGCCCGGGCAUCUCCCGUCUCAUCCGCUUUUCUUUCCUUUUUCUGUUUCUCUUUCCUAACGUUCUGCUCGUGGGCUCCGACGUGGCGGAGGGGGUGACGUCGGCGGGGCCCGCCGGCCACCAACCUUCACCGCACCACUGGCCUACUUCUACUCUGAUGAAUUAUUAGUAAGAUAUUCCUUGAAAACACCCAGUAGUUUAAUAUCAUUACCACGGAGGAGAUCCGGAAGAUGUCAUUGUAUACGCGGAUUGGCGNNNNNNNNNNNNNNNNNNNNNNNNNNNNNNNNNNNNNNNNNNNNNNNNNNNNNNNNNNNNNNNNNNNNNNNNNNNNNNNNNNNNNNNNNNNNNNNNNNNNAAAUAAAGCAAAUAGGGAAUUUCUGAAAAAACAUUUUUUAAAAGUUUUUAUUUUGGCUUUAAAAAAAUGUUAUUCGGGUAGAGAUUUAUUUUCUGAUUUUUUUUGGUAUAUAAUACCAUAUAUAGAAAUUUUGAUUUAUUUUCUUUUUUAGCUUUUAUGUUUUUCUGUUCUGGAAAGAUUAGAUAUUAGGAAAGCCUUUUUAUUUUUUUUUCUAACCACAGCCGCCGCCGGGCGCUAGAUAGCCAACUGGGCCGAGCCACUAUUCCAGGGAUCUCAAAUCCCUUAUGCCCCCAACCGGCCCGAUCCCUCUACCCCUUUUCUCUCUGCCCAAGGGGCCCCAACCGAAGCCUUCUCUCCCCCACGUCGGCACUUCUCCCUCCUCCCUCGUCUCCUUCCUUUCCUCUGCAGACCGACCGAGCGCCUCCUCCCAGCUCGGGAAUUCCCUACCCCAAGUACUCCCUCUCUCUUACCUUAGUAGCACCCCACCCUGCCUUUCCCUCUCCCGCUGCCUUCUCUUCCCCGUCGGUUUCUUCUUCCUCCUCCCCUACCAUCCCAGUACCGAGACCGACCCCUCCUCCCUCGGGAUUCCCUUUCCCUCACCUCCCCUCCCACUCGGCCCCUGGCCGAUGCCUUCCCCCACGUCGGCCAUCACCUUCCAUCUCCCUCCUCCCUCUCUUUCCUGAAGUGCUCCCGUAACAGAGACCGAGACCGACCAGGACAUCACCAGCGAUUUCUUCCCCAGCGCCCUCCCUCUCCUUCCUUAACACCCCGCCCCCAUGGCCUAUAUAACCCCAGCACCUCGGCCACCCCGUUCCCGUCCUAACCUAGUCGCCCCGCCCCUCGCCACUGCCACUCGCCGGAGCAGCAGCAGCCCCGCUGCCACCUCGGCCACCCCACAGGAGCGCCCGUCACCCCACCUCGUCGCUGCAUCCCAGCACCNCGAGCAGCAGCGCUGCACCCCACCUUCGGCCUACAGGAGCAGCAAGCUGCACCCCGAGUCCCCCNNNNNNNNNNNNNNNNNNNNNNNNNNNNNNNNNNNNNNNNNNNNNNNNNNNNNNNNNNNNNNNNNNNNNNNNNNNNNNNNNNNNNNNNNNNNNNNNNNNNGCAGCAGCAGCAAUUGUUUCAAAAUCAUCUGAACUCUCGCCCCAGGUCUGCUGCACCUAGCAAUGCAAGUGGAUACUCUGACCGUUUGAAUGCAACGAACUUUCAGAAUUUAAUGUAUCCGUCAAGCACUUCUCAAGGCGGAGUUCCUGGUCAAUCACCUCAAUUGAAGGCAUCGUCGAUGAGAGUGUCAGCUCCACCUUCAGCUGCCUCUGUCCCUGCUGCAUCCUCACCUUCUAAUUUGAUUAUGAUGAAGAACAGUGGUCUCCAUCAACAACAAGCAAAAGCUCUGCAGGCUCUCUCCACCCCAAAUCACCAGUCACAAAGCAUGAGUUCGUCGAAGAUUGGGCACUCCCUUACUAAUCUUUCUACUGGAGGAGGAGGGGACCUAUCUCGAUCUUCAAAUGCUCCUGUUGCUUCUGGUUCGCCAUCUAAUUCAGUCUCCAAAAGUACUGGUGGUAGCCCACCUGCAUCUGGAAGUGCGAAGGGUGGCCAGCCAGUUGUCCAAUUGUCAUCGCCUCAACAACAUGCAGCCAAGAACUCUCCUUCGACUUCUGGAUCCAAGUCAGCCUCCACAAAUCACUACAGCAGUAUGCCUAUGCCAUCUAUCCUUGGUCAGCAGCCAAACAUGGCUCACUCUGGCGGUAAGCAGCAGUCGCAUGGACCCUCAUUGAAGCAACAGCAGCCAUUCUCGCAAGGCCACUUCUUCAUCUCCAAUGCGUUCGCACCACCACAAGGUCCGCCUCAGCAUGUAAAUGCUGGAGCUGGUGCUGGCCUCUACCAAAAGCGCUCGACUGACAAGACGCAGCAGCAGCAACAGCAGAAUGCUGUAUCUGGUUCGUCUGCUAUGCUCUCUCUUGGUUCCAUGUCAAUGUCCACAGCUGCGAUUCCAGCUGAUGCAGGGAAGGCAGCUGGCAGUAACAUGAAGGCCAAUCUUCAUCCAGCUGCUGGUGGUUUUAUGCACCUUGCCACAGCGGGGCAAUCUGCGAGUGGUUCGCCUCACUCUCACAUGUCAGGGGCACAAUUGACCUUUUCAAUGCCGAUGCCAGUAAAGCCUACCAGUGAUCAGAAGCCUGCUGCUGGUAAUGGACCUAUAUCCUUCUUUCCCCUGCAGACGUUGUUCCAUGUAUCACUGAGUUCUUUCCACUAACAUAAGCUGUUGUGUUGUCAGGUAAGUAAAGGACCCAGACGCCAGAGCAUGGGAAUGCUGCUAAUCUGAUUGGGCGAGCUAACUGCUAAUUCUGUGGAAAGGUUGGCGCGUGGAAGAAGCGAUUGCGCGACAAGAGGCUGCGCAGCCGCGAGAGCCGGAGCGUCGUCGAAGAAGAUGAUGAUGCACCCAUUCCAUCCAUGCAGGAGCGCUGGCAAUCGAGUGAAACUCUAGAACGGCUGAUGGGAGUGAUGCUUGUGUGUAGUAGGUUAUCCUCCCAUGGUGGAAAGCUGGAGGUGCAUAGAAACCCCUUUUUUUUAGCAGUUUUAUGCAAGGAUGUCAAAAGCUAGCUGGUCUCUCUCUCUGAACUUCUCUCCCCUCCCCUCCAACUGCUGCUCUGGUCUCUUUAGAUUUGUUCGUUUUUGUUGUUGUCUUGACUGAAGGAAGAAGAUUUAAUUAGAAUGCAGGACAAGGGGAACUUUUGUGAUGCUGCUGCUGCUUCUCUUGCUUUUCCUCUUUUCGGGGGGGGGGGGGGGGGUUCUUCUUUCCAUGUUUUAGAAACAACAACUGGGGCAGACAGGGAAAUAUUUUCUCAAGUAGUAGUAUUAGUAGUAAUUGAUCAAUGAUUGGGAGGCUGCAUAGCAUGGCAUGAGAAUGACCAUGACUUGCCUUUUGGGUGUGCGUUGUAAUUAGCUAGCCUUGUAGAAGGAAUGAAUCAAUCAAGUGGUUGAUGAUGGAUAGACAAUCUUCUUAUGGUUUUGCUGUAAUAUUUCAGGUACCUGAUCUUUUUUGUUGCAUCAGUCGGUUUCUCUGGAUCGUCGCAAUUUUUCACAGGUGGUGAGGGGCUUGGGAGGGAUGGUUAGGGUGGUGGGCAGCAACGGCGCUGGAGGCAGGCGGAUGGGGCAGGGUAUGAGGCGGCGGCGGAGGAGGAAGAAGAUGAAGGAGAAAGAGAUGAACAUGCCGCGGCAUGGAUAUUGAUCUGGUGGUCAGAAAGGAGAAUGACUGAUGGAAAUAGACGGUUAGAAAACAAAGGAAUUCUGGCCUAUGUGACGAGGACUCCGCACCGAAUGCUCUCCCGUCCGAAAGUGCCGCUCUUUCCGGUCACGCCACUCCGCCAUUUGUUAACUUGCGUGGACGGACGCGUGCUGCCACUAUCUUCUUCGUACUCGUGCCUAUCUAUCUAUCGAUCUACUCCUAUUAUCCAUCACACUGGGGCUGGAUGAUGAUGAUCUCAUUCACAUGGAUCGCUCUCCUCCACCAAAGCUCCGGGCCGUCGCACGUGUCCGGCCUGAUAGCCACCCGACGUGCUGCAGGCUGAAAAGUAAGUGUCUGGAAUUUUUUGCCUUGCCCGGGGGACAUCGCUUUCCUUUCGCUUGGCGCAAUGCAAUGCAAUGGUGUUCUCUCCCUCCCGUUUCCUUUCCGGAGUGGGUCUGCACGCACGCACGCACGAACGAACGGAGCCUUUGUCCAGAUGCGUGCACCGCUCCGGUUGUUGGUGACAUGUGAUUAGUCGCGUGCUGGAUUGCUUGUUUAUUUAGGUUUAACCUGGCCGNNNNNNNNNNNNNNNNNNNNNNNNNNNNNNNNNNNNNNNNNNNNNNNNNNNNNNNNNNNNNNNNNNNNNNNNNNNNNNNNNNNNNNNNNNNNNNNNNNNNGAAUAAUAUCUCUUGCUUUGCAUUGUGUGAUGUUGGAGCUAGUGCUUCCGUUAUAACAAAAAGAAUGUAUGAUAUGCUUGAUUGGAAACCUUAUGAUCCAUGUUCUUUUGGUGUUCGUCUUGUUGAUUCUUCCAUAAAGAAACCUUUAGGGAGAAUUGAUGAUGUUCUUAUUAUUUUCAAUGAUAAUUAUGUGCCCGAUUAUUUUCUUAUUAUGGACAUUCAGUGUGAUCCUUCAUGUCCAAUUAUUUUGGGAUGUCAUUUUCUCUCCACCGUUGGUUCUAUCAUUGACAUGAAAGAGGGAAUUAUUAAAUUCCAGUUUCCUCUUAAAAAGGGAAUAGAACACUUCCCUCGAAAGAAGAUUAAGUUACCUAAUGAGUCUGUUACUCGGGCAAGUUAUUCUUUUGGAGUUGAUAACAAUUGAUCUUCUAGCAUUAUGCCUAGCUCAAAGGCAUAAAAGAAAGCGCUUGUUGGGAGGCAACCCAAUUUCUUUUUACUUUCUGUUUUAGUGGUUUUGAUGCUUGUUACUACAGUAGCAACACCAUUGUAUCUUUAUUUUUAAGCUUGGUGCCAAGUUAUAGCCUUCGAUUGUAACAAAGUUCAACAAUUGUGACAUGCUGUCCCUAAACAGAUUAUGUCUGCUUGACGGAAAAAAUCACCAAAAAUGACCAGAUCAUAUUUUUUAUCUGAAUUUUUUUGACAUCAUGCUCCAUAUAAUUGCAUUUCUGGAAUUUGUUCUGAGUUUUUUGAUUUGAGUUGCACAAGUGCCCCGAAUAAAUUAUUUACUACCUGAUGUUCUGUUUUUCACAGAUUCCGCCAUGUUUUGCGUUUUCAUUGUUUUGCAAAUCCUAAGCUUAAUUUUUAUUAGCAAAAACCUUUUGGAAAUCAUGAGAAGCAGUAGAUUUUCAUGAAAAUCUUUAUUUCCAGUAGGUAAUGAAUUAUUUUAUUAAAGGUACUAACCACUCUAAUCAGCUUAUGAUGAAUUCGUAUGAAGGGAGUUUUCAAGUAUGCCAUGGGAGAUGAUGAAAGGAGUGUCAAGCGCUCGAGCUUGGGGAUGCCCCCAUGCAUCCCAAGAAAUAUUCAAAGGAGACUCAAGCAUCUAAGCUUGGGGAUGCCCCUGUGCACCCCCUUCUCUAUCAACAAUCAUCAGUUCUUCCAUCUCCAUGCUAUAUUUUUAUCACUUCAUAUGAUAUGUGUUAUACUUGGAGCGUCUCGCCCAUUACUUUUUAGUUUGUUUUAGUUUUUCUUGUUGUUCAUAACAAGUAGGAACCUUGUUUGGGAGAGAUACACGCUCCAUUCCACUCUAGAACACAACAUAGGUUUUCAUGCUUAUCUUUUUUGUGUGUUCUAUAUCUUUUUGUAUCUACUGUCAUGCUUAGCUCUUAGUUUUCAUGCUUAUCUUUUUAAGAGCUAUUAUUUAGGUUGCUUCUGCAACUAUCUUGAUUUAUCAUGCUUAUCUUAUUUAGAGAGUUGGCUCGUUGCACUGAGUUGUGUGUCUUGCAUGAGUAGGUAAUUGAGGUUGCUAUUUAAGUAUAGUAGUAACUUGCAAUAGUUUUGAGGUAUUGAUUUGAGUAAUGUUUGGACUAUUGGUGCCAAGAGCUUGAGCCUAUUAGUGAUAGGUGUCAUAUUUUGGGAAAUCCGUGUGUUUUUCAAAAACUAAAAAUAGGUUGAGAACUCUAGCUACUAAAUUGAUCGCUAAUCUCUAGAGGGGUUGGAAUAUAUAGAGUACCCUCACGUUACCACGAGUCGAGGAUACGCAAGGAUAACCAAACCCCCAAACACUCCUCCUCGAGGUACUUGUCUCUUUGUGAAUAUCCUAACUAGAUAGACAGUUACCGAGAAUAAGUGUAUGAGUUCUUCGGACUAAUGUGAGUAUUCGAUUGUUGGCACUUCCACCAUCCAUAUUUUUCUAGCCUCUUCGGUACCGUGCAUUGCACUUUAUCACACUGAGAGUUGGUGCAAACUCCGCCGGUGCAUCCAAACCCAUGACAUGAUACGCUCUGUCAUACAUAAGCCUCAUUAUAUCUUUACUCAAAACAGCCACCAUACCUACCUAUUAAGGCAUUUCCAUAGCCUUUCCGAGAUACAUUGCCAUGCAACAUCCACCGUCUCAUGACUUGAUCUUCAUGUCAUACAUGAUUUUGCUUGAUCGUAGAGCCGCAUGAUAGUUGGGCCUUGCUCCAAUUAUUGCUACAUGACGCGCUAGUAUCAUUGCACAUCCUGCUACACUUGCAGAGGCAUACAUUUGCAUACAUCAUGAUAGUUUUCACUUGUCUUUAUGUUGAGUACUUCUUAUAAAGUGUGAUGAUUUUUCUUUUAUUCUUCUAAAACAUAGAGUGUUGCCCUUAACUGAGGAAAAGAUCCCAAAGAGGAUACACAAAAAAUCCCAAAGAGGACAAAUGAGAGAUAAAAAGAAAGAGCCAAAGAGGCCACACAAAAUAAAAUAAAAAGAGAGGAAAAGAAAAAGAGAUAAAAGGAGAGAAGGGGGCAACACUACUAUUCCUUUUGAAAGAUCCACACUCGUACUCCAUUGCUAUAUUGGUACUACAUAGAUAUUAUCAUUCAUGCAUAACUAUGUCGGGAUCCUUACACUAUAGAACUUGGUUUGCAUAUUCCAAUGAUGAGCCUCCUCAAAUGAAAUAUAGGUCUUCAUGAGCAAACAAGUUGGAUGCACCCCCACUAGUUCCAUUGGAGAGCUUAUCUUAGCUCAUAUGUGCACCCAUUACAUGGCAAUCCUUACUCCUCACAUCAUAUCUAUCAUUUGGCUUUCACUUGCCUAUGUUGUCCUCAUUGAUGUGAGCCUUUCACACCUUUUUGUCUUCCUUCCCCAUCAUUAUUCUUUUUGCCAUCCUAAGUGCCAACAUAUCUUGCUUAUGCUCAUCCAUUGCAUGAGUGCUCAAAAUCGAAAGGGAGAGGGUCAUUUUGACUUGUGCCUGACUAGUGGUUUGGGGAUGAGUCAAAAUAAGAUUCGAAAGGAGACCAAGUGUGAGGUUUAUUAGAUUGAGUUCUCAAUUAAAAAAAUAUUUUAUGAUCUCAACCCAUCUCCCACUUCUUGCAUGCAAACACCAUUUGGAGACAUUUGAGUUGCGGACAUGAAGAGCUCUUGCACCUUUAUGUUCUUACUUUACUAAACUCAAUAUUAGAUAUAAUCUCUUGCUUGUUAUUGUCUUGACUUGAAUUGCAUAUCUCACUUGAUUUACUUUGAAGUUCUUAUAUGUGUGUUAGCAUGUCACCACGGAAAUUAUUGUGUUAUCAUUUAUGUACUCGAGGACAAGCAAAAAUUAACCUUGGGGAUGUUGAUACGUCCCAAACGUAUCUAUAAUUUCUGCUUUUCCAUGAUCUUUUGGGUGACAUUGUUAUAUCUUUUUCUACACUUUUAUAUCAUUUUACACAUAUUUGGACUAACCUACUAACUCAAUCCACCCAGUGCUAGUUUCUGUCUGCUGAUGUCUAUUUUGUACUGGCUUUUACCCAAUUUUCCGAAGCUCGAAAAAUUCCAGAAACAAUAUAUAAAAAAUCAGCGAAACAGAAGCUUCCGGAUCAACGAAGAUCGGCCGGAGGGGGGCCAGGGGCCUCCCAGGUGACCUGCUGGCGCGGCCAGGCCCUAGGUCGCGCCACCAGGCCGCCUGGGUGGGUCCCAGGUCCUCCGGUGCCCUCCUUUGGCUGAUGACCCUUCGAAAACUUCCAGAAUCGCGAAUUUAUCCAUCGUUCCGCUGCCGCAGCACUUCCAAGAUUGGGAGCAUCAGGAGACCUCUUCCCGGCACCCCGUCGGAGGGAGGAUUGACCUCCGGGGGCUUCUCCACCGCCAUGGACGCUUCCCGGACCUGUCGUGAGUAGUCCCCCUUGGACCAUGAGUCCAUUACCAGUAGCUAUGUGAUGUCUUCUCUCCAAUCUUGUGCUUCAAUGGUUAGUCCUUGUGAGCUGCCCAACAUGAUCAAGGCAUCUAUGUAAUUGUCUUACUAUUGUUAUGCUCGGUUUGUUGGGAUCCGAUGGAUUAUGAGAUUAUGUUCAGAUUGUUAUGAGUUAUGUAUUUGAUUAUCCUUUCAUAUUAUGUUCCUUAGUGAUUCAUGCAUGUUCUCCGUUGCUUUGUAUUGCUUUAGCUGAGUAGUAGAUUGUAACUCCAAGAGGGAGCGUUAUGCAUGAUUGUGGGUUCAUGCCCCUCGAUGUCUAGCUUGAGUGACAGAAACAUGAGACUAGGGGAUGUGCUUAUUUCCACCAAGGAGAAAACAACGGUGCUUGUGACCAUGGUUGCAAGGAUUGUUUACCUUACGCAUAGUUCGUUAAUGCAGUUGUCCAUUCUUUGAGUUUACACUUUGGGUGGGGCUCGCAACUUAAUACCUUAGAGAUGUUCUCGAUAGAUAUCUCAAGGUGGAUGAUUAGUAAGUAGAUAUUGAUGAAUAAACAGUCUACUUGUCUUGGUGUACUGCCCAUUACUAUUGAACCUCUAACUAUCAAGUAGCAUAAUUAGCAUUGCGGUGCACUCAUAAUUCUGUCAAUUGCCCAAGUGUAAUUUUUUUACCCAAGCGUAGUUAUUUAUCAUCUUUUGGGAGAGAUACAUCACUAGUGAACAUCAUGUGACUCCGGUCCAUAUCACUAUCAUUGUUUACACAUCCAUCAUUUACCGCUUUCAUUUAAUUUUCCGUUGCAAUCAUUAUUACCUUCCCGCUUGUGUUUUGAUCCUUUGCAAACUACAAGGCCGGAAAGAUUGACAACCUCUGUGUACUCAUUGGGAGACCUCUGUGUACCCAUUGGGAGAAAAUAUAUUUGUUGUGUGCGCGGGUCCACGUCUUCUACUAACGCCAGGGUGGGAUACAGCUACUUGUUGAUGCUAGGAGUCCUACUGGUUCGAUAAACCUUACAGUCUCCAUGUAAGGGAAAACUUGCCGCUGACUACAUCACAACCUUCCACUUGGGGUAACCAACGGGGUGCGAGAAGUAUAUACAUAAUCUCGUCAUCAGUAGCUACACGCUUCUUAGGAGCUGAAGGCUUCUUUGGAGCUGAAGGCUUCUUUGGCAUAACAUCAGCCAUAAGAUUCUUCUUUGAAGGAGGGACCUCAGCUGUAAUUUCUUCCCCCUCAUCACCAGCAUCUUCUCUUGGGUCUCCAUAAAUAGAAGUUGGACUUCCAACAACAUGAACAACUCUCUUUCUGGCUCUUUUCUGACCUAGCUUCUUAUCAAGCCUAGCCUCUGGAGCUUUCAUAUCAACAGGUCGGGCAUACUCCUUCCUCAUAGUCUUCCUGACUGCUGUUUUCUCUUUCUGCUUCUGGGGAACAAUUUCCUCUUGGAUAAAGUCAACAUCUUCUUUAUCUGAAUUUAACUUCUUCCUUUACCUGGUAGCUGCCUAGGGCAAGCCAUGGGAGCUAGGUGUUCCUGGGUCAGAAGGUGUCCUCUCUGGAUUAGUGUGUAACUCCAUGUCAGCACUUGGCUCACUAAAGUUGUUCUAACUAUCCUCUAAUCCUGACAUACUGUCAAACAGCCAAGUAGACAGGCUGACAAGCAGACGCUGUGAAAUGAUAUAGAAGAUCCGGAAUGGAUGAGCAUCACAAAGUUCAGAAGUUUUGAAAUUAUUGAACUCUGAAAAGUUAGGUUUAACAUUCAACAAAAAGGGAUUUCGGUUCCACCGAGUAAAAGUUUUUGGAGCCACCAAGACUGACGUUCUCAUUAACAGAAACUUGACACCCUUUUCGGUUUCACCAAGAACGUUCUCAGUAACCCUAAAAUAAAAUCGGUAAGACCAACUUUUCUGAAUCGGUGACACCGAGAUUCAAUCUUGCGGACGGCUAACUCUAAGAUUUUCAUUGUUCUCUAAUAUACGAGGUUUUUCUUGUGGUUGGGAUGAUUGCGGUAGUGGACAGAUUUCAUCAAAGCCUAUUUGCGCAAGAAUCAGAAUUGCGAGCGCAAAAAGGGGCCGGAUCCAUACCUAGCUCGGUGAUGGAUCCGGUACGGUGAUGACGGCGGUGAAGAUUCCCGUCGAUGGUGAGGACUCCAGUGGCGAGCGCGCACGGGAGGUUCAAGGUGAUGUCUAGUGGACUUGGGCGUUGUAGCGAGGAGGUGCGGGAGGGGACGUUUGAAGCAGUUUUCCAAUCGUCGGGUCCGCGGGAUAUAUGUCUCCUAGCUGUCGAUGACACCUAGAUGGGAUUUUUGGUGCCACCGAGUUCCAUAACAAUCAGUAGAUAGUGCAACUCGGUGAGGCCGAAAAUGAUACCGAGAUAAGAAAACCUAAUCAACCCUAGGCUUCCAUGGGACCGAGAUUUUGAGGUUGGUCACAUCAAGAUACAUUUUGGGAGGUUUUAUAAUUCAGCCCUUGUCGAGACGGAUCUCCGAAUGCUCCUCACACAUAGUGUCCCUAAAGUUCUUGCUCAAAUUUUGUCAUGUAGCAUGAAUAGAAUUUAGGACGAGAAAGCAUAGAUAGCUAGAGAGAGGUACCUAUGAAUUCUUGUACAUCCAAUUGGCCAAAUAAAAAGAAAAUCAAAUAACAACAAUUGUAUAUCCUCGAAUGGGGAAAAUAUGCAUACCAACAUGAUCACACAAUAGGAUGUCAAAAGAAACAUGGUAAACAUGCACAAACACUCUAGCAUCUAUCAAGCACUUUAGCGAUGACGAAGUCAUCUAUAUAUGAGUAUAUUGACUUAGGAUCCAAGUAAGAAUAAUUGAUCAAAGGUCAUACUCAUUGAUUCAGCACAAGAGGGGUUACGACUUUUACAUAAAGCAUUAAUGUUUUCACAUAUUUAGGAGAUGCUUAUACUCAUGUUUUAGAGUGAAGCUCCUCGUUGAUGUGACAUGCCCCUAAGAGGGAUAAACUAACCUUGGGUUUUUUCGUAGAAUACUUCAAGUAGGUAUAGUACUGGUGGAUGCUCAUUGUUGAUGAAGAUCAUCUUGAGUUGGGAGCAAUCGUUGUUGUUUUUUACACUUUUCACCUACAUGGGUUACUCCCAAAGAAUAGGGAACAUGUGAAAGCAUAUCUAUGGACAUGGAAUGAAAUACAUCUGAGAUGAUGUCCAAAGAUGCAUUAAUUACCUUUUCCUUUUCUUACCUUUGAGGGAAUGUGUGACUCCUUGAACUAAUGCAUAUGGUUGGAUUUGUUUGCAUGUAGUUCUUGCCAGAACGAAUAAGAGUGAAUGUCAUUGGAGAAUUCACCCCUCAAGAACUUUCUAGUUCUUCCUCUUGGGGAUCCACAACAACUUGAUGGGGAUCCCUGGAGUUGUGGUAGCGCUAGAUGAAUUAGAGCUAGUAGUGUCCUUGGGAAUCCACUUGACCUUGGCUUGGGGUUCUUCCUCAAAUGAGUCAAUCUUCUCUUGAAGGUUGCCCUUGCCUUUGUGGUCUUGUGGAGGAAGGUCAUCUUGAGACCUUGUUCCCUUGGGGAGAGUAGGGUGAUACUUCUAAUCUUGAGGAACAAACUUUGGGAUGGGAUAUGGACUUUCUUCCCAUUCAACUCCAUUGGCAUGGAAGUAUCCAACACCUUGCUUAUUCCGAUGCCCUCCUUGCUUGCGCACAAUUUCCUCAAAUUGCUUAAUUCUGGCAAGACUCUUGAAGACACCUUUCUCUAUAAUCCCUUUCAAUAAAAUGUUUUCUUGCUCAAGUGUAACUUGGCUAAGAGAACCAUUAGUGGAAUCAAGAGAGCUACUAGUAACAACAUCAUUUGAUCUAACUUUAGCACUGUUGUUACUAGAUGAAGAAACUUCCUUGCCUUUGUUACCAGUGUACUUAGGUUCAACUUGUGGAACAAAGGUAGACAAGAGUAAUUGUUUGGCUAGAUAAGAAGAACUCUUCUUUCGAAUAUCAUCAUUGAUUGCUUUUAGAAACGCAUGCUCUUUCUCUAAAUUUAGCUUCGAAGCAUAGCUUGUCAUGAGUUCUUGCAAGCUCUCUAUGAUCUUAUAGAGUAGUUUCAUGAGAAAACUUAAGAGUGUUUAAUUCUGUAGUUAGUCAUUCAAUCUCUUUCUUAUCAUCAUCAUUCGACUUCUCUUGACUAGCAUGAUUAUUAUCAAGUUCAUUUUCAGUGUUAUCACUAGUCUUAUCAAGGAGCAAGUCAUCUUCAUCACUAUCAAAAUCAAAGUACUCGGGGUGUGAUACCUUGGGGCCUUGGCCCAUGAAGCAGUUCGCACUUCCUUCGUCUGGUGAAUAAACUAAGUCGUCGGAGUUGGAGGAAAUGAGUGCAAGACCAGAAACACCUUCAUCUUGACUAUAGUUGGAGUUGGAAUGGUAGCUUCUAUCGGAUUUGUUGUCAGACUCAAAGCCGGAGACCCAUUCACCAACGUGAGCUUGAUGUCUUGUUCUUGAGCUGCUCUUGGUGUACUUGCCCUUCGUCUCCAAUUCCUUUCCUCUCCGGGAGUAUCUUCUUUCAUAACGAUAUUAUUUACUCCUUCUCUCUGUGCGUGGUGACUCAUCUCUUGAGAUUCGUCUUCUAGGUAACUCUUCUCUUCAUUUGUGGGGAGUCAUGCACUCAUUGGAAUAGUGUCCGGGCUUCCCAUAAUUGUAGCAGUUUCUAUGAUGACUAGACGAACGCUUCUCAUCGUAUCUUGAGCUUGAGCUUUUCUCUUUGCCUAUACUCUUGUAGAACUUGUUGAAUUUUCUGACCAUGAGCCUAAUCUCUUCAUUGGUAACAAGGUUGUCAUUUCAAGUAGUGGGAGUAUCACUUGAAGCUUUGUAAGCACUACUUGACUUGUUGUGCAACUCAUCUUUGUCCUUGAGAGACAUUUCAUGAGCAACAAUCCUUCCAAUGACUUCACUUGGCAUGAUAUCCUUGUAGUUUGGCAUCAUUUGGAUUAAUCUGCACACAAUAUCGUAUCUUCCAUCCAAGGUACUAAGUAUCUUAUUGAUGAUGAAUUUGUCGGUCGUCUCCUCGCUUCCUAAGCCGACAAUCUUAUUUGUGAUCAGACCUAGCCUAGAGUACAUGUCAGCGACUCCUUCACCAUCCUUCAUCUUGAACUUGUCAAGCUCACUUUGAAGCAUAUCCAACUUAGAUUCCCUGACAUAAUCGGUAUCUUUGUGCAUAUAAAUCAAAGUAUCCCAAAUUACCUUUGCAUUCUCAGGGCGGCUGCUUUUGUUGAAUUCUUCAUGGCACAAUCAGUUGAACACGAUGUCACAGGCUUGAGCAUUGUAUUACAACAUCUUCAAUUCUGUCGUUGUCGUAGCACGAUUCGGUUCUCUUCCUUCUCCGAGGAAAUCACCUUGCACAACAACAUGAACAACAUCCCAAACGGCAGGAUUAUGCCCAAGAAUAUGCAUUUUCAUCUUAUGCUUCUAACUAAUGAAGUUUGUACCAUCAAAAUAUGGACCACUAUGGUUAUAAUUUCCCUCACAAGAUGACAUACUAUCCUAGGUUGUGAAACCAAUGCAAUGGAGACCAAAGCUCUGAUAUCACUCGUAGCAUCCAAAGUAUGUCUAGAGGGGGGUGGUUAGACUACUUGACAAGAUAAAAACUUAGCAUUUUCCCAAUUUUAGUUGUGGGCCAGUUUUAGCAAUUAUGACUAGUCAAGUUCACCCUACACAUGCAUAUCUAAGAGUAUAGCAGCGGAAAGUAAAGACAUGAAAAUGUAAUGUAGAAGGUAAGGUAAGAAGAUCAAACGCAAAAGGUUGACGCGACAAUUUUUUGCAUGGUUCCGAUAGGUGGUGCUAUCGUACGUCCACUUUAGUGGAGAAUUCAACCCAUGGAGGGUAACGGCUGCGCGAGUCUACGGAGGGCUCCACCCACAAGGGGUCCACGAAGAAGCGGCCUUGUCUAUUCCACCAUGGCUUACGUCCACACAGGACUAGCCUCACUCGGGGUAGAUCUUAGCAAAGUAGGCGAUCUCCUUGCCCUUACAAACUUCUUCGUUCAACUCCACAAUAUGAAGUAGAAGGCUCCCAAGUGACACCUAACCAACCUAGGAGGCACCACCCUCCAAAAGAUAAUAGAUGCGGUAGAACGAUGAACUCCUUGCUCUUGUGCUUCAAAACAUAGUCUCCUCAACACUCAAUCACUCUCUCACAAAUUUGUCAUGGGUAGGAGAGAUUAAUUUUGUGGAAAGCAACUUGGGGAGGCCAGAGAUCAAGUUUCAAAUGGUUGGAUUGGAAUCUCUUUAUCUCAACACAUAAGUAGGUGGCUCUCUCUCAAAAAACGGAUCUGGCAAGUGUAAGUGUGUUCUGAGUGCUUACAACAUUACAACAUUAUUACCCAACUCGGUGACACCGAAACCCAACCAUUACAACAUUAUUACCCAACUCGGUGACACCGAAAUGAAUCUCGGUAGUACCGAGUUCCACUAAAUGUGGCAACUUUUGAAUUCUCGGUGAGACCGAUAUAUAAAUCUUGGUGGUACUGAUACAAUGACCUAGAGCAAUUUCCAAAUCAUGGUGAGACUGAUUCCAAUCUCAAAAAUUCUGAUUCUUGGAAUUAGCUAAACAGAAAGUUGGUCACUGAUCUCGGUGGCACCGAUAUGGAAUGUUGGUGGUACCAAGAUGGUAGGGUUUGUCAUAGGAUCUAUCUGGUGAAAAAUCGGUAGGGCCGAGUGGAAAAAUUGGGUGGCACCGAUUUUGUUGGUUUACUUUUGACAGAGAUAUGUUGUGAGAAAAUGAGUGAAUAUUUUUGGUGGCUAUCUCUAAGCACUUGAGCAACCAAUUUAUCAUAAUACCUCACCAACUUUUAAUAGUAUUGGCUUUCCUAUGGACUCAAAAGUGAUUUAUCACAAAUGUAAAAUGUAGAGUCUUCUUGCUUGAAGCUUGAGCCAAUCCUAUUCCUUUCCUUCAUCAAGGUUUUUUGUUCUCACAACCCUUUAGGCAAGGUAUAUUUGAACUUUUUUGAAAUAUACUUGGAUAAGAUCAUUAGUCCAAUGAUGCAUAUGUUGUGAUCAAUUAUCAAAACCACCUUAGGGAGGAGUUGUGCUUUCACUCUCGUACUCUUGUAACCGGCUUACCCAACAAGUCACCUUCUUAUAAUCUACAAGAUGAGGUGCAUCAUACUCCAACUCCGCCUUAUCCUCCGGCUGGUCUUUUCAAACAACCUAUCAAUCCUAUUGAUUCAAAUUUCCACGAAUCACCCCCUUCAUCUGGCGACUCAUCUGCCAAAAACUUGUCACCUUCUUUGUAUCAUAUGUUUUCUUGCUAAAACUCUGAGUUGCAUAUACUUUAUCAUGCCCUCUUGUUUUGUAGGGUGAGGGCUAAGAAGAGGAACCCUUGGCGAUUCAUUUAUCAAUCCUGAAGUUCUUGAGCCAGAAAAUCCAGACACGACGGCUUCCAAAGCCACCAGGCGUGUUCAAGAACAUCAAGAAAUCCAAGUUGAUUUACCUCCUCAAACUGAAAUAGGAACAAUUGCUACUUCACAUAUGGAUGUUGAAACUGACCCGAAAACUCGUUCUGAUCCUCCCAUUCCUUAGGGAACCCUUCAAGAUGUUUCUUGUGACAAGAAUGCGGAGGUGGCCAUCAUUGGGUUGAGUUAUACUGCUCCUGGAACCUGUGAUGUGUUGGCAAAGCUUGUUACUAAGGAGGAAGUUGUCCAGUCUAUCAAUGGGAAGACUAAACUGGAGCUUCCAGGUUAUGAGACUUUCAAUAUUGAAGCAUUGCGCGCUGGUUAUCUUGAGCGUCUUUAUGCAAGCUGACAAGUGAAAACUGGCCUUGUGAAUAUGAUGAAUCUAAAAUAUGGGGUAUGCUUCACCUUGCUGUGUAUUCCGUGUUUCAUAUAUCCUCAUGUAGCUCCCAGGGGCUGACUCGUCUUCUUGAGAUUAGUCGGGUCUUGAUGAUUUAUGGAAGAAUUCGACAUAUAGCCCCCAAGGUCCGACUCAUCUCCUUGAGAUGAGUCGGGUCUUAAUGUUUUGUAAAAGAAUUCGACCUGUAGCCCCCAAGGGCCGACUCAUCUCCUUGAGAUGAGUCAGGUCUUAAUGAUUUGUAAAAGAAUUCGACUUGUAGCCCCUAAGGGUCACCUCAUCUCCUUGAGAUGAGUCGGGUCUUCUCCAUCAUAUAUUCAGAAAAAAGCUUAUAUGCAUUAGCCCCCAAAUGCCAAGUAUUUUGCUUGCAAUCUGCUUGGGACUUGUUUACAAUCUUCCUUGUCACAAUCAUCAUAUUGUCCUACCUCCGGCUUAUUGUUACUCCAAUUUUUGUAGGAAGCUAUGAAGGCCACUGAGUUAAAAGUCACUCAUUUGACAAAAUCUCUUGAGGUGGGACAGACCGCUCGAUCGGAGCUUGAGGAAAAACUUCAACUAUCCUUGGAAGAGGCGUAAAAAAUCAAGGUGGUCUUUGAGGUAGAAAGCAAAUCCAUAAAACUCAAAAAGCCACCUUGACCAAAUGUGCUAAAAAUGUUGAAGAUCAAUUGAAGGUUGUCUCAAAAGAGCUAUUCGGGUUAAAAAGGCAUAUUGACAACAUGACUCGAGACAUCUUUGGUUAGUAUACUGAGAAACUUUGUCAUUAAUCCGCCUAAUACUUAUUUAUGAAUACAACCUCGUGAAGAUUUGUGAACUUGAAUUUUUGUAGGGCACCGUACGUGCAAUCUUCAAGAUAACUGCUUACUAAAGGUCAAAGUCGUAUAUGCGUUGACAGAGCAGCUUUACACCGGAAGCCUAUGCAAAAUCAUAGUUGUCAUGGGGAACAAAGAGCCGGUGAAACUCGAAGAAGAUGUACUGGAAUUCCUCUCUACGAUACCAAGGAAAAUUGGAGAACUCAGGAGAUCAGCCACCCGAGCUGGAGCCACAUAUUCCUUGAGUCGAGCUUUGGAUUACUCAACGGAGCUUGACCCAGCAUAAAUGGGUGGGGGGUUCCAGUGCUAAAGGCAGACGGAUCAGCUUUUAUCGAGGAUGACUAUCGUCAGUGCGUUAAGGUGGCUCGGGUCUUUGCGAGUGAACUUGUAAAUGACAUGUCAUUGAAGAGUCAUCAUCGAGUGUAUGACUCAAACAACACUCGAGUCCAAACACUCGUAUUUAAAUCGAUUAGGUCGACUCUGAAGUGUCAUGAGCAAUACUUCGCCCCAGAUGUUGACUCAUCUCCUAUUUUGAAUGAACAAGCCAUAUUUCAAGUCUUGACCCACUACAACCGGAAUUUGGAAGACCUUCAGAUCAUAGAUUCGGGGAAUCAAGCAAAGGACCAGCCGGAUACAUCUCACGCACAAGACCCUAACAAAGCUUAACCCAGAAAAUCUAAAGGCCGGGUUACAAAAAAAUAACUUUCAUUCCACCAUUUGGGCUUGAAGUUCCUUGUAAUAUGGUUUAAGACAAUAGUUGUUUUGCCUGUAUCGUGCCUUUGUGCACGUUAUCAAACUCCUUGAUCUUGUCAUGAUGGCAAGGAAUCUAUAUCUAGGCGAGUUUUUGUUAACUCGCCUUAUAUCCUUAUGCACAUGAGUUAGAUAACUUUUGGUAGUUUAAUCUGUUCUGUCUUGGCUGACCCUUGCUUAAUAUUUGAUUGCUUCAAUCAACGCGGAGCAGGUUAUCAUAUCUCGGUCUCUAACAUUCUUUCACGAUAUUUGCCUAUUGAGCCAUAUAACUUCAAACUAUCCAUGAUAGUAUGAUUACUCUAUAACUGGGUCACUCUUUUAUGAGCCAGAAAAAUAGUGUUUUCACGUGAAAAGAUAAAAUGAUGAUAAUAUAAUAAUAAUUUGGCUGAGUGAGACACGGUAAAAGGAGACCGGCUUUCGAGGCUCAAGUCUUGCUUCAAUGAAGCAGGUAUGAUAACCCAUGGUUUAUCCUAGCUUAUGUAUGUCGGCUCUCACGUGACAAACCAAUUUUUUAACCUUGCUAAUUUAGGGUCCAUAGUGGAUUAACUAAUCAAGAGUACAUGGACUCACUGAUGAGAGUCACAUCAAACAUACAAGAAGGUUUAACCAUUUUGUGGUGUCUUUCCAGAUCAAGAGGGUGAGAAAUCUAAACUCGAUGAGUUCAAAGCCCCCAAGUGACCUAUGAUCGAUAGAAAAGCCCAGCAUAUGAUUAGAGGAGACAAUGCUUCUACUUCAAAACAUAUGGAGUUCAGAUAAUCUGGCUUUAUUCCAUUGAUCAUGAUGAUUUGUUUGGACCAGUAGCCCCUAAGUAACAUGUUUUGAAAUAAUAAAGACUCAUGCUCAACUUGUAGGCUGAAAACAACAUAGGCCGUGAGAUUCGAGGAUGCCACCUUUAUUACGUUCAAAACUAUAAAAGUAUGUAUACAAAUUGGGGGGUUAUAGGAAAUAAUGACCGAGUGGCUCUAAGUAUAAUAAGGCCGCAUGCGAGCAAUGUUCCAGGGCCGGGUUGUCUCUGCUUCAAAGGUGUUCUUACCGGGUCGUAGAUCGAUCAGGUAAUAUGAACCAUUGUUGAGGUUUUUGUUGAUGAUAAAUGGGCCUUCCCACGACAAUGAAAGUUUGUGCAUCCCUUUUUGAUCUUGAAUCAGGCGGAGCACCAAGUCGCCCUCUUGGAAUGUGCAGCUUUUAACUCUAUGGCUAUGAUAGCGAUGUAGGUCAUGUUGGUAUAUGGCUGAACUGGAUGUUUCUAAGUCUCACUCUUCCUCCAAAGCAUCCAAGAAUCUUGUCGUGCUUGUUCAUUGUCACCAUGUACAUAAGCAAUGACUCUAGGAGAGUCAUGACGAAUAACACUCUAUAAUACCGCCUCAGCACCAUAAACCACAAAAAAAGGCGUGUAUCGAGUGGACCUGUUUGGAGUUGUACUGAUACUCCAGAGUACUAAGGGGAGUUCCUCAACCCAACAACCCAGGGUACGUUUUAAUGGGACCAUAAGCCGGGGUUUGACCCCUCUCAGAAUCUCCUCAUUUGCUCUUUCAGCCUGCCCAUGGGAUUGUGGAUGCGCUACUACUGCGAGGUCAAGCCGGAUGUGCUCCUUCUGAAAAAACUGCUCCAUAGCUUCUUUGGAUAAGUUGGUGCCAUUGUCCGCGAUAAUGCUAUGAGGAUAGCCCAAACUAUAGAUUAACUUCUUCAAGUAUUUGGCCACUGAUUCCGCAUCGCAGUUGCUGACGGGUUCUGCCUCUACCCAUUUAGCGAACUUAUCAACCUCCACCAGCUCGUGGGUCUUUUUAUUCGGAGACAUUUUGAAUGGACCAACCAUGUCAAGCCCCCACACUGCAAACGGCCAUGUAAUUGGGAUCAUGCGCAACUCUUGAGCCGACACAUGAGCAUGUCGAGCAAACUUUUAACAUCCAUCACACUUGCGUAUGAGGUCUUCUGCAUCUUCAUGAGCCGUUAGCCAAUAAAACCCAUGUCGAAAGGCCUUUGCCACCAAAGAUCUUGAGCCGACGUGAUGUCCACAGUCACCAGCGAAGAUUUCAUUGAGAAUUUCUUUCCCUUCCUCAUGAGGCACACGGCAUUGAAAUAAGACAGUGUUGCUCCGCCGAUGUAACUCGCCCUUGAUUAUGGUCAUCGACUUCGAUCGUCGAACUAUUUGGCAGGCCUCGACUUCCUCGGUCGGAAGUUCUCCUCGAGUGUGAUAAGCCAAACAUGGUACCGUCUAGUCUAAGGUAGCACGUAGAGCCGCCACCAGCUAUGAUUCCGGAUUAGGAAUAGCUAUAUCCUCUUCAGACGGUAAUUUCACCGAGGGGUUGUGCAGGACAUCCAAAAAUACAUUGGGAGGGACCAACUUCCGUUGAGAACCAAGUCACAAUAAAGCAUCUGCUUCCUCAUUGAGCCGGCAAUCAAUGCGAUCGACUUGAUAGCCAUGAAAGUAACACGCCACGUUAGUAACUGCUAGUUGAUAAGCCGACAUCAAAGGAUCUUUCCAAUCCCAAGUCCCUGAAACUUGUUGAGCCACUAAAUCUAAGUCUCCCAAACAGUUGACCCGACUGAGGUUCAUUUCUUUAGCCAUCCUUAGCCCAUGCAAUAAGGCCUCAUACUCAGCUUCAUUAUUAGUAUGGCGAAACAUGAGCCAUAAAACAUAGCAGAACUUGUCACCUUAUGGGGAAGUUAACACGACCCCAGCCCCGGAUCCUUCUAAUUGCUUGGAACCAUCAAAGUGCAAGGUCGAGUAGGUGUUAUUUGGCCUGUCUUCUGGCAUUUGUAGCUUUGUCCAGUCAUUGAUGAAAUCCAACAAUGCUUGGGAUUCGAUGGUCGUUCGGGGCAUGUAUUUCACCUGAUGUGGGCCGAGCUCGAUUGCCCACUUAGCGAUCCGUCUAGUGGUAUCUCGAUUUUGUAUGAUAUCGCCAAGGGGUGUUGAACAGACCAUAAUGAUUGGAUGCUCCUAAAAGUAGUGUUUUAACUUUGGGCUUGCCAUAAAGACCCCAAAGACCAGUUUCUGCCAAUGUGGAUAUCGUUGCUCGGAAAGGUUCGAGACUUCACUAACGAAAUAGACUCGUCGUUGAACUGGAUAUUCCUCUCCUUCUUCCUUCGGUUUGACAACAACUGCAACACUUAUCAUCUUUGAGUUGGCAGCAAUGUACACGAGCAUGGGCUCUUUGUCGCUCGGGUGACUAAAACCGGCGACUCAGCCAACUACUUCUUGAGAUCUUCAAAGGCUUCGGUUGUUGCGUCAGUCCAAACAAAAUUGUCCGCCUUUUUCAACAACUGAUAGAGAGGGAUUGGCUUCUCCACCAGGCGGCUUAUAAAUCGGCUCAAUGUUGUGAUACGGCCCGCCGGGAGUUGGACUUGGUUUAUGUUAGUCGGCCUACCCAGUGAGGUGAUCUCCUUUAUCUUGUGAGGGUUAGCCUCAAUGCCUCGUUCAGAGGCCAGGAAGCCCAGUACCUUACCCGCAGGGACCCCAAAGACACACUUACCCAGGUUAAGUUUCAAUUGGUACACUUGAAGGUUAUCAAACGUCUCCCCACGACCGUCCAAGAGUGUCUCCUUCUUCUGAGAUUUCACCAUGAUGUCAUCAAAAUAAGCAAGAGUGUUGCGGCCGAUCUGUGAGUGAAAGCAAUUCUACACAUAUCGUUGAUAAGUCGCCCCUGCACUCUUAAGCCCGAAAUCCAUAGAUACAUAGGAGAAGGCACCAAAAGGGGUUAAGAAAGUUGUAUUCUCCUGAUCCUCGUUAGCAAUUUGAUCUGGUGAUAACCUGAGUAUGCAUCCAAAAAGCAUAAUCGCUCGCAACCCGGCGUAGAGUCAAUGACCUGGUCGAUACGUGGGAGAGAAAAAGGAUCUUUGGGACAGGCUUUGUCGAGAUCUAUGUAAUCAACACACAUGUGCCAUGUGUCGUUCUUCUUUAGGAAAAGCACCAAUUUAGCCAACCAUUCAGGGUGAAAAACUUCAAUGAUAAAACCGGCAACUAGGAGCCGGGCUAGCUCUUCUUCUAUAGCCUUGCGUAUCUCCUCGUUAAAACGACGGAGAUAUUGAUGUAUUGGUUUCAUAUUUGGAUCCACAUUAUGAUGGUGAUCAGCGAGUUCCCUCGGUACUGCAGGCAUGUCAGAAGGCUUCCAUGCAAAGAUGUCCCAAUUCUCACAUAUGAACUCGAUGAGCGGGCUUUCCUAUUUAGGAUCCACACCAGUCCCAAUGUUGAACUGCUUGGAUGAGUCACCUGGGACGGAGUCAAUCUAUUUGGUAUAUUUUGCCGGCUUAAACUUGCGAAGUUCUUCGGACCCAGUAGUUGGCUUACUGAGAGGACUCAUGUCAGUCGGGUCAACAUUAGCCGUCUAAAACUUUAACUCCUCGGCAGCGCAUGCCGACUCAGCAUAGGCUGCGUGCCCUUCCUCACACUCCUGAGUCGUCUUCCUGUCACCUCUCACCUUGAUAAUGCCAUUGGGACCCGGCAUCUUGAGCUUGAGGUGGACAUAAUAGGGGUGAGCCAUGAAGCGUGCAUAAGUUGGCCUUCCGAAGAUGGCAUGAUGAGGGCUCUGUAUCUUCACCACUUCAAAAGUCAAAGGUUCGACCUUUUAGUUAUGCUCAUCACCAAGGGCACGUCAAGCUUAAUCCUCCCAACUGGUUACGCCGACUUCCGAGGGACGAUGCCAUGAAAAAUGGUGGUUGAAGUUUCCAAACUGUUGUUGGGGAGGUUCAUCCGCAGAAAGGUGUGAUAAUAUAGUAUGUUGAUGUUGCUUCCUCCAUCCAUUAGGACCUUUGUGAGGAUAUAUCCAACCACUUGAGGUGCUACCACCAGGGCCAGAUUUCGAGGGUUGUCGACCCACAGGGGAUGAUCCUCCCGGCUUUGGGUGAUCGGCUGCUCAUACCAACGGAGAUACUCGGGAAUAGCCGGCUCAGCCAUGUUGAUAGCUCUCUUUGUGACCUAUGUGUAUCGUUUUCAAGUAUUGGUGGUCAAGACAUGGUACUGACCACUACUUGGUUUCUCAAGAAGACGGUUCCGGAAAUCCCGCGUGAUAUAGCAGUCUUCCCAUCAAUGAUUGGUCGGCUUCUCCCGAGUGCCAUGCUUGGGCCAAGGCUCCCUGAGCGCAUCCUUGUAGUUGCGCGCCUUAUUCGCCUGAUGAACCUUUCCAGAGCGGUCACUCUGACACUGGUUUUUGAAACUCACUUUGGUACUGACCGCAGCUUUUGACCCGCCUUCGGGCCGCUUCCGCUUGUUGUCACCUAAGCCUUCAGCGUUCCCACUUUUGAAAGGACGAACUAACCCCGUGUUAUCCACAAAGGCACGGCUUCGACCGGCUCUAUGCCAACUGGGUCGAACAUGGCGAGCUGACUCGACGAUGUUGGUGCGGAUGUCCGACUCGGGUGUUGCUUCAUUGACCUUGCCAAUGAAGAUGUGGAUCUUUCCGAAGGGGACCCGGUACCCGUACUCGAUUGAGUCGGCAUCGAGACCCCAGCUUGAAUCAUUGAUGUAGAUCUUGUCGUGGAGACUCCUAGUCAUACGACCCGCAACGUAUCUCCCGAACCCUAGAAGAGCUCCCUCCAAGAACUUAACUCCACCUUGUGAUUGCCCCAUGGUGGGCGCCAACUUUCGUGGUUUUGUCGCAGCAGAUGUCCUCGUUGAAGGACUUAGAGCUGAGGCCAUCGUCGCGAUGUAGCGACUCGAAGGGGUUGAUCGGGAACGAGAGACGGAUUUACCCAGGUUCAGCCCCUCCAGUGGAGACAAAAGCCUACAUCCUGCUUUGGUGUCUAUAUUGAUGGAGAUCUUGAUUACAAGGAUGACGAAUAACUAACCUAGCUCUCGAGAGUUUCUUGCUUGAGCUUUUCGGCUCGCGGGCUCCCCCUUAUAUAUAGGCAGAGGCAUCGAGUUUACAACAGAGUUCAGGUCAAUAAAUGCAUGUGACAUAUUACAAUUCUACCUUGUCUUGUUUCCCAAGUUAGGAAAGCUUCUGGUGUCUCCUACCUCGUGGGCUUUGAGUCGCUAUCUUCAAGUACUCGGCCGCCAAGCGGCUCGCUUGGUAAGUCUCCUUGUUGUCCUUCUAUCCUUUCUGCAGCCCAUUGCGUACAUACAAGAAGAGUCGCCUACAGUCUAACCCGACCCAAACUGCGGGUUAUACCACGGGGUCAUAUCCCCGACAAACUCCGACUCCGUGUAACAUCCCAAAUUUUGGAAUGUUAAUAUAAUUACUAGACUGAUUGUUUGUUUGUUUGACUAAUUGAAACUUGAGUGAAAUUUGAAAACAUUUUAAAACUUUUGAAUGUGAGGGAAUAAAAGCACUUUCCCAUUUUCUUUUAAUUCAAAUUCAUCCAUUUAAAAUCAAUGAGAGAAGAUAACAUGACUUCUCCAACUAUAAAGAUUUUGAAAGGUGGAUUUGAAAACUAAUAAAAGAUUUCCUAUAUGGAUUUCAUUUUCGUAUUUGAUCAUAUUGCUAUUUCAAAGUUUAAAUGAAUUCAUAUAUUAAAAAAAUAUGAGAGGAGGAACAUGGCCCUCCAAACCACGGGCAUUUUGAAAAUUAUUUGAACCCUAAAACUUAGGAGGUCAUUUGAAAAUAUUUGUAAAAGGAAAUAAAACAUUUAGGCAAUUUUCUGGAAAUAAAUUUUUUUCCUGAAGUUCUUAUUUUGGCCGUGGAAAAAUGUCCAUCUUAUUGGAUUUAUUUUUUGAAAAUUUUGAUAUAUAAUACUUCUAUAUUUGGAAAAUUAUAUUUAUUUUAUUUUCUAAGUUUUACCUUCCGGUUUUUAUUAAAAAGAAACAAACCGUUUUCUUCGGAAAGGCAUCUGGUCCCGUUAGGAAUAUCUGAUCCGGCCCGAUACAUUCGUUCUUCCACCUCCCGUCUCCUUUCCUUCCCUGCCGCGUGAAGCUUCCACGAAGCUUCCUCGCCGAUUCCUUUCCCCGAUCACUGCGUACCUUCCUUCCCCUCACCCCCCGAGGCCCCAUUUAAUAUCCUCACCCCCUCCUCUCUCUGUUUUCCCCAAGACCCCUUUCUCUCCACGCCCCAGCGUCGCCCUACACCCUCGCCGGAGGUCCUGCUCACGCAGAAGCCAGGAGCUCCUGCCGCGCCACCUCCCUUCGCCCCACGACCCUCCUGACGCUACCAGGAGAACGCCGGGACCCUCCUCCGCCAGAACCACCACCCUGUCGCCCCCCUACACCACCGGAGCCGCCUCCCCUCGCCGCCUCACCUUCGAGCGUGCCAUUACCAGCGCUAGAGCUCCUCUCUGCCACGGCAAGCUCCCUCUCUCUCUNUUCUUUUUCCCACAGUUGGAUCCAUAAUAUACGCUCUAGAUUAGAUUAGGAUACCCUUUCGGAUUUAGUUAGAAAACCGAUCGGUUCCCUGUUAGUUAAUUUAAAACCGAAAGGUUUUCCUUUAUAUUGUGACCGUCCGUUAGUUAGCCUAAAUCGCGCACGAUCUCCAGCCAAUCACAGCCUGCCACGUCGCCUUUUCUUUUAAUCUUUUUCUAUUUUUAAUUCCGAAACAUAUUUGGACCUGAUUUUAGAUUGCUUAUAACUUUUAAUCUAUAACUCCAAUUGAGGUGAUUCUUUUUGCAUUGGAUCACAAAUUUUUUGUAUUUUUUGUAGUUAUAAAAUUUUACCAUGUUUUAAAUUUUAAACUUUAAAUUUAAACAGAUUUCGUUUAAAUCUUAUUUUGUUAAUAUCUGGAGUUUAAAAAUAGAUUUUUAGUUGAUUCUUUUUGCUACUGAUCACUAGUGAUCUUAUUUAUCAGUAGGUAAAACUUCAAAAAAUUUGGAGUAUUUUAAAUCAUUAUUUUAUGUAAAAUAGAUUUUGUUUUAGUUCUUUCUAGGACUAUUGCUAUUUCUUUUGCUAUAAUUGUUUUUAAUUUAUUUUCUUUUAUACUUGUGAAAGGUUAUAUUUUGUUUCAUUUUAGUUAACGGUAGGUUUUCAACAACAACAAAAUUUUAUUUUAUUUGAUAGCAUGAAAUCAAUUCUAGUUCGAUAAUAACUUGCAAAUUGAUUUUGUUGCUAGUUUGAUGUCCUAUUUGAAAAUACUUUCAAAAUAAUAUAGUUUUAUGAAAAAUACUAUAUGUUAUCUUAGUUAAUUUUAUAUUUUCUUUUCUAUUAUUUUACUAUUUUAGUGUUUUAUUUUCUGAUAAGUUUAAUUAGAAGAAAAACUAUUUAGUGAUUGUUGUAGUAGAAGACUCCAUAGUUUUUCUUUGAACUUCCUUUUGGAUUUCUAUUUGAUCAUUCUUAUUGAUUUUAUUGCAUCAAAUUUUAUUGUUGUAUGUUAUAUUUAUUUCUAGGAUGAUUGCUAGUAGGAUUGCUUAUAUGAAUACUAUGUUUGAUUAUAUAGAUAUCAUCGGAGAGUGACGAAUAGUUCUAUCAAGUUAUUUCUUGAGAGCGAUAUUCUUGUUCAUCAACCUUACCAGGCAAGUUCACAUUGAUCAUAUUUUUACCUCUGAUUUUAUUGCAUUAGUUUCAACCUUAUUCACCCAUUGCAUUCAAGUAGGUACUUGGAAACUUUGGUUAUUGAGUAGUAUGUUAUGAUAGGCACCCCUAAACCCUUGUUACUUUGGCGGGGACGUUAUUUUGCUAUGCUCAUGGUAGACGGGGUUUGGUUGAGUGUUUAUCAUGGGUGUUGUGAGAAACUUAAUAAUGAAGACCUUAAGAAUCCAAGACUUGCAAGACCUCAGAACAAAAUAUACCUCUGGGUGAAGGACGGUUCAGAUGGGCUCCGUGGGAAAAACCAGCGGAGGACUUGGGAUGCAUGCAGAAGCGCCAUGACAUCUUUCGGAAAGCUUCACCCAGGCUCAAAGAGAUGGAUGGAUAUUUGAAGACCCAAGUCUUACCUGCAGAGCCACAAGUCAUUAUGGGCUCUGGCUUGGUUGGACAACGUGGUGACUUUGGACGAGCGGUACUACGAGAUGUACAAGAACGGUAGGAUUGGAUGGGCACCGACAGUGGCUCAGAGGAACCCGUUGAAAGACCAUGUUUUGAUCAUCCGGUUCUCAAACAUCCUGAAGUGUGAGGACUCCAACGGAGGCGAUCAAAUCUUGUGGGGAACGUGUGCAAAACUCUGCUGAGUACUCAAACGUAAUUGAUUAGCCGUGUCCACGGUCAUGGGCAACUUGAGUCGAAGGAACUAAAGUUAUUAGGAAUUCUCAACACCAUUUAAUAUUGAUGUGGGUAAUAUUUAUAACUUGGGUAUGAGAAUUGGUUGGUGGAACCAUCUCAUUAACAACGAACAAUGUAGUAAAUCUUGCUUUGACCCUCUCUUGUUGUAGGAAAAUUUGCUUUACGCCAAACUUAAAACUACGGCCCCAUGUGUCGUAUAUGCAUAUAGUAUAGAUGAUAUUUUCACCCCUCUCUUUUCUGACUUGCCGGCAUAUUCGAUAUGCUGACCUACACGGCUGCAACAUCUUAUGUUGUAGAUAUUGUAUUCGACGAGUAAGAGUAUGAUUCAAGGUUACGGUCUGCACUCAACUUGUCGUUGGUGUUUAUUGGGACUCCACUGCCUUUGACUGUUUCCGCUGAGAUUUUGAGGUAUAUAUCAGUUUUAGGUUAUUUUACAUGUGAUUGCACUUUGAUAUAUACAUUGAUGUACUGUGUGUUCCAGCAUACUGAUCCAGUGAUGGCACGGAACACACAGAGGCUUGACUCGUUUUGAGUCGGGUCGCUAUAGAUAUGGUAUCAGAGAACAUGUUGAUUGUAGGACAUGACCCUAGAAACUGGAAAUCCCUUAGGAAAGCAUCUCUCUAAUAUUUUAUUUUCAAGAACAUUCUUUACUUCUCAUCUCUUCUGAUUUCAUCAAAUGUUCUCUCUCACCUCAAAUAGUUAGACAAUACCCUUUCCCCUUGGACCACAUAAAGGAUUAGCUGAGUCCCACUUCAAAGUAAAGAGCAUUUCACCAUGCAUUUGAAAAACUGAAGCUGCACCAAUUGAAGACUCUCAAGAACCGAAGAAUUUGAAGACCCUGAAGUGUUCCAAUAUUUAUAUGGCCAUUAGAAGUCCAAACACCUGUUAUAUACCCAUGUUAGAUACGAUGAUUUGUGAGCCGUCAUUUGUGUGUGUUUUCCGACAGCCACAAAUAAAACCUAUUCUCAAAAAUAUUGUUUGUAUUGUGUGUAUAUCCCUCUUUCCCGCUCUCUCUCUUACCCAUCUCAUCCCCAAAACCUUGGACCAAAUAGAUGACAUAUGAAGCUGGACUUGUAAUCUCUGGACCAAUGACCCAGCUCGAAGUUGAAAUAUGGAUUCAGAACAUGGAGAACCACUUCAGGAGCAAUUUAAUUUCAAGGAAGUAUGAAGUGGCACAUGCUCUUCAGUACUUUACACAAAGUGCUGCUAUCUGGUGGAAAAUGCAUCAUGACAUACAAGGAUUUAGUGGAGCAGAAACUUAGGACGAAUUCAAGAAGACUCUGUUAAGAGCUCGUCUCAUUCAGAAGUGCUAUGAUAGCCCGAUGAAGAAACCUUGUGCAUGUAAGAUCUGUGGAGAAAUAGGACACACCCAGGGAGAAGACAAGGAUGGAUGCCCUCAUUGUGAAGAAAAUCACCUAGGGGAGGAAUGCCCAACUAGUCAGGUGACUUGUUUCUUGUGUGAAGGAACCACUCACUACCCAGCCCAGUGUCACGUUUACCACAACGUACAACAAGUUGUCAAGCAACAGAAAUAAUCAAUGAAGGAAACGCUCAAGAAGAAGAUUUUAGAAGAACAUGUGAUGAAGGAAAAUAUUGGAGACCCUGAUGGACAAGGCCUAACCAUAUUUUUUCCCAAUGCAUGUUACUCAUGUGGAGAAGAAGGACAUUUUUGAGAGGAUUGCAUGAAGGAAAGCCAUAAAUAUCUGGGAGACUUCUCGACAGAAAAAGUAGAGUUGGAUCCACUUGAAAUAGAAGAACUGGCCCGAAUGAAGGAUUUCGGAAAGAAGAGAAAGUACACCAGCCAUAGUCAAAUCCCGACACAUAAAGACCUGAGUCAUAUCAGAUGUUUCAAGUGUAAGGAAUUGGGCCACUACAGCAAUAUGUGCCCAAGAAGGAAGCAGGAAACCCAAGGAGCAACAGCAAACACCAAGAAGCCCCGAGACUUGUCGGAACGCAUUCGUUUUCAUUGCAAGGAAGCAUGACAUUAUGCUAGUAACUGUCCACAGGGAAAGAAAUCUAAAAUGGAGUAGUUAAGUUCUGACAAUGGCAAUAAGUGUAGCAUGAAGCCCUCUUGUUAUCAUGAGUUUAUGGAGUUAAAUUUUGUAAUGGAAGUCUCUGAGAUUGUAAUAACUUCAUGAAUCAAUAAAAUUUAUUGUGUCAUGAUGUCCUAUGUUGAAACUAUAUGCGAUGUUUCUCUAUGAACAAAGAUCUCUGACCAUUUAUGAGGAUAUGAGAAAAUAUGGUAUAUGCAGGCAUGAGUAUAUUUCAUUUUAAGUGUGGUAGUAAUCGGUAAAACCACAGGAUCCAAGGAAUAGGAAUGUACCAUGCAUACCGAGGAGUCAAAUCCACCGAAUACAUUUGAAGGAAAUGUUGGACCAUAUCAAACUAUGUGGGUGACAAAAUUUGUAACCAAGUACUUUUGAAGUGGAAUUUCGAGAAUAGAAUGAGGAUGAAAUGAAGGAAUUACUAUGAUGAAACAAUACCUAAGGAUAAUCAAACCAAUGGAAAGGAAAAUUAGUUCAAGGAAUACAACAUGUACCAAGGAUGCAUCCCAAGAUUUUCAAAAAGGUUGCCCCAAGAGCAUGAAGGGAUAAGCUAUGACGUGUCAGCAAACGUUUUCUUAGGAGCACGCACAAAACCUAAGAGUGGUAAAAAUACGAUAGAUGUUUCGUUCAGCUUGCAGAACCAAUGGAUUCGUCCGAACUUCAUUCAUGUACAAGAGAAAUUGUGCAAUGCUUGUGAGGAUGCCCAAGUGUUAGAAUGCAAGAUUUGCUAAACCUUAUACAGAGCAAUGAUUUGGGUGUGGAAUAGAUUGAUCACCAUGAUGACUUACUCUUAUCAUUCUCUUGCUAUUCAGAAUGGUAAAUCUGAGAGACUUACUGUCGUGGUUUUUUCACGGCAGAUGUCCUCGUGAAAGGACUUAAUACUGGAGCCAUCGCACCUUGGUGGUGACUCAAAGGGGUUAAGCGGGAGAGACACGGCGAUUUACCCAGGUUCGGCCCCUCGGGAGGAGGUAGUAGCCUACGUCCUGCUUUUGUGUGUAUUGAUAUGGAUUCGAUUACAAGGAAGGCGUAACUCGCCUAAACCUAGCACUCGAUGAUUUCUCACCUGUCCUCUGUCCCCCGGGACUUCGCCUUUAUAUAUAGGUCGAUUCCCUAGGGUUUACAAGGAUUCCUUCCUUUCUACAACUCGUGACCAUUGCGGUCUCUAAAUCGCCAUCUUCCAAAGCUGGGAGACCCGCCAAGAGCCAUACUCGUCGUACGACCUCGAUUCGGUCAAAACGAGGCCCAACUAAACGUUUAGAUGAAUCGCCCAAUGGAUAACCCGGCCCAACUAGGGCGGGUCAUCCACUGGUUACAUUCCCAACAUUAGGCCCCGAAUUGACUUGAACCUUUCCUCUUCAUGCCAAUACCUCUGCUCCAUUAAAGGCGAUUCAUUCCCUACUCUUCUGCGUCUGUCAAAAAAUUGUACACCCGCCAUUGCCUUUGGGCACUGAAAAUCCCUUAAGUUGCCAGAUCAUUACUAAGUGGCCUUUUCUUAUUCCUUUUUUUUCGGGAAGACCGCCACAACUCCAACGGAUCUUUAGCGCAUUGUUAUCCGAAAUAUUCGGCACGCAUUUAUAGCGAAUCUUUUAUCCCCCGGCGGUUCCCGCUCAUGGCGCCUCAAUUCCAACACCUGCCUUGAUAAAUAGGCCAGGGGGGACACAACUGGCGCUUCCCACCUACCAGUCUUGUCACCUUCCUCCCCACCGGUGCAGCGAGAAAAACUUAUCGCCCCGAGGAAUCCGCCGCCGACCGUGCUUUCGGCCUUCACACGAGGAGCUUCGGUGCCGCCUGUGGGCUUUCGCCGUCGUCCAUUCUUGCGCCGCAACCAACACAUCCGCCGUCGUCAUCGUCGACCGCUUCGCCGUCGUUAACCUCGCCAUUUACCACGAACUUCGCCGCCGCUGAAAACCUCUUCGCCCGACGGGACGCCAGUGCUUCUCCAGCAAACCCCAUCACCAUCGGCUCUUCUUCCCCGACAGCAUCAGGUUAGGCCUCCACCUAAUUUUAGGAGUAGAUUCACUCUCCGCUUGAACUCCCGCCAUUGUCGUGUUCUUGAAGCUCCUUGCAUAUAGAUGCUACCUGCUCUAAAUCGAUUAACACGAGCGUUGGUAGGAUAGCUAAUAUUCCGAAUACUUUUACUUAUCCGUCUUUACUCGUGAAUAUUUGAAAAUAAUGUUUCCGCCAAGCGAAGGGCGUCAUCCGAUAAUAAACUGUCGCGACCAGUCAUUUUCUUUAGGUUUUCUCUUCUGUCUGGUAGAUCCAUUCCUUAUUUACUGUUUGCAAAAAGUUGUUUGUAGUCCUCAUCUCCUGGUACUUCAAAUGAAACGCUUUUACCGUCUUCAGAACGUAGCCCUUGAGAAUAACCACACUUCCAUAGGUCGCCAUAGUGACCCAACUCGCCCCUUUGAUCUGGCGGGUCAAACCUUUCCUUAAUCAAAGUACUCGGCGGGUUAAAUGAACUGAUUUCAUCCCAUACAGUAGGUGUCCAAGGCAUGUAAUAUCAUACUUUACUUAUUUGUAGCAUGGGCGCCGUCUUCAAGAGUGACUGGCUUCCUACCAAGGUUGAUGACUCCAUAUUAGCCGAUUAUGUGAAACCAGGCAGUUUGGAUCCUCAGGAUGUUAUUGGCUGGCGCACCGGGUUCGGAGAAGAUCUCCCUAACCCCAAAGAAGGGGAAAUAAUCGUUUUUGUUGAACACCUGGAGCGAGGUUUUAAGCCGCCCGGAUCAAAGUUUCUUAGGGACGCCUUGACUUUCAUGAACGUCCGUCUCCAGGAUCUGGGACCCAAUUCCAUAAGUAAUUUGUGCCAAUUCCAAGUUCUUUGUGAGGCUUAUCUGCGGAUCGAGCCUUCUGUCCCUUUAUUCUGGCAUUUUUUCCAUCUGAAUCACAAAACGGAAUUCCCUAACGGCCCCAGCUUGGAACUUGGUGGCGUCAAUAUCCAGCGCUGCAGGGCUAGCCCAUUCCCCUCACUCACCAUGCCUAGCCAUCCCAAAGGCUGGGGCGAGUCUUGGUUUUACUAUCAAGAGACGUCUCCUGCAGGCGAGAACAAGCUUCUGGGUUACAGGCCAACUCGCCUUCCGACCAACUUCAAGCUUCCAGACAAGCUUACCGAGGAGGAGGAAUCGGAAUUCAUCCCAAUACUAUCUGAAUUAAGAUCUUUGACGAACAACGGCCUUACCGGGGUCGACCUAAUCCGCUGCUGGGUUGAAUGGCGUAUCCUCCCUCUGAGCCGCCGGGAUGGCCUGAUGUGUGAAUUUGAUGGCACCCUGGAUCAUCCUCAAUGCUAUUUUCGCACAGCUUUAAUGGAAAAGGAUAUUGUUACCAUUAUCAAAAAGCUGACUGGCGAGCCUGCAGGAAAAUGCGGCCAGAUCGGCCUUAAGCCUUUCUUCAAAAUCAACCUGGCGCCCAAGGUAAACAAACCUAACCCGCCUUUGGUCUUUAUUCUUUAUGCUUCAUUUGUAUUGUGGUUUCGUAACAUAUGCCAUUUCAGAAAGGCGAUAAAUUCUGGUCCAGGAAGCCCAAAAGGCAAGCCAUGAAAAAUGUCAAGCCGCCCUCAAAGAAAACCAAGGGUAAGGGCAAAUCUGUUGCAGCUGAACCAUCCGAAAUUGACGAAUCUCAAGUCGGCGAUGCACUUUCGGAGGUAAAAAUUCGUCCUCUUUUCACUCGCCAUCUAUUACUGUUAACCUUUGUAUUUAUAUCUCUCCAUUUCCUUGAAAUAGAAUGAAGAUAACGAAAGCCAGGAGGACUCUGUUGAGGUAAUUUCUGUUUCCUCCGAUUCAUCUCCUUCUCCACCUAAGUCGGCCAGGCAAAUUUGUGGGAAAGUUCCCUUCUCAAAUCCAAAUGCUUAUUUGGACCCAAUUUUCCUACUGAAGAAAGCACAGCAUGCCUCAAAUCGGAAAACACGGAGUCACUCCGGCGAUCUGGUAUCUGGCUUACCAGCAACGAACAAAAGAAAACCAAGCGAGGUACUCUUAUGAGUAACCAUUCUUCAUGUCUCUUUGGAUCACGCUUGUAACCCGCCUGUAUUAUUGACGUAUAAUUCUUACAGAACUCUCCUCCCACUUCUGGCGACUCAGUGAUGUUGACACUUCCACCAAUGAUUCGAGUUCCGGGGUAAGUCUUUUGAUAACCUUGCCUUGACUUUUGAGAAUAACGAGCUUUCAAUUCCUUAACGUGCUUAUUCCCUUUUUUUCAGGGCACAGGCCAAGAAGAGGAAACCCAGUGGAUCAACUCCUGACGCAACUUCAGAACCCACGAAAGAAUCAACUCCGACUCAAGACAAUCCGGAUCAAACUGAGCCUGCGACUCAAGCGGAUCUUCCUGAGUCGCCGAAGGAAACAAUGGAUGCCCCUAAGCCGCCGAGCCCAUUGACGACAACAGAAGACCCAGAUGUUGUGGUUAUUACUGGUUCUGGCUUUUCUAAGCCGGCGGCGACAGUUUUGUCCAAACAUGUAGCAUCCUCCUCUCAAGCCAUUCCCGAGUCUGGGCUCUCCAAGGCGAAACUUUCCGAAUAUGCAAAUUUGGAGUUUAAGGAACUCUGCUCUGGCUUUGCAAGUCGCCUGGAAGUGAGCUAUGAGAUGGAGAAAAACCUGCUGCAGAUGUUAAACAACAAACAUGAGGUAAAUUUUGUUAUACUAUAUUAUUCCCAUUAAGCCCCAAGGGCCGGGUCAUCAGUAAAAAGAUGAGUCGGGUCUUGAAAAUUUAGAAAAAACUUCGCGACCAGUAACCCCCAAGUGCCGGGUCAUCAGCAAAAAGAUGAGCGAGGUCUUGAUUUUUGUAUAAUUUCAUCUGAAAAAAUUAUACAUUAGCCCCCAAGUGUCAGGGAUAUUGCUUUGCAGUAGUUCUGAGACUUGCCCUUAUUUUAAACUUUCAAUAGGAAAACCAUGCUCAGACCGAAUCGGCGCUGAGCGAUUUAAGGAAAAACUUAGCUGGACAACAAGACGCCCGAGCUAAGUCGGAGGAAAAAUGCCAAUUGGCCUUGGCCGAACUGGUAAAACUCAAGGCCGAGUUGAAAAAAGCUCAGGCUGACCAAAAUGCCGCCUUGAAGAGAGCAGAGAAGGCUGAAGCUAGGCUGGUCACUGUACAACAGGAAUUGUCCGGCUUAAAGCGUCAUAUCUCCAACAUGGCGCAAGGCGUCUUUGGUAAGCUUUACUUAAACCUUUGAUCUCCUCCUCUCCUUUUUUUUUAAAAGAACACUUAUGAUAAGUCGCUAAUCAUCAUGAUUCAGGUCUGAGAGCCGCCAACCUUCAAGAAGACUGUCUGUUGAUGCUGAAGGCGAUUUACACGCUGACAGAGCAAUUGUACACAGGCAGUGUCUUGACUGUUAAAGCUGUGAUGGGUGCCAAAGAACCUAACACUUCCAUCAAGAAGGUGCUUGGCUGCUUGUCCACACUUCCCCCUCAGAUUGGCGAGUUAACUCGGUCAGCCGCCCGGAGAGGUGUUCUGACUGCCCUGAGUCGUUGUUUGGCGUAUGCUCCAGAAAUCAACUUAGAAGAAGUAGCCGCAGGCUUUCCUCAGCUCAAGGACGAUGGGUCAGAAUUUGUUGAAGAGGACUAUCAGCGAGUCGUCAAGGACUCUCGGCUGGCUGCAACUCAACUUGCCGCAAGCCUUGAUUUAACAAAAUACCAGGCGGCUUAUGAUAGCAGAAACAAGAAGGUCAGCCCGCCAACCUUCAUGACGACCAGCCUAACUCCUCGGCGACCCAAGAAUCCUUUCCACUUGGAAGCAGACUUGGCAUCAAUUCUGACUGAUGAAGAUGACUUUGCUGCUUUGGCCAAGUGCAAUUGGGUAUUGGGCGACUUGCAAAUCGAAGUCGGCCAGAGCUCACAUCAGGAUGAUCCCGACGCGCCAGCAAAGUAAACUUUAUUGAAGUUGGCCUGAGAGCCAUGUAAUAGAUCCUUUUUCCGUAAGUCAGUACUGUUUUUGAUGAUACCUUUUGCAAGAACCUUUAUAUCGCCCUUAAGGCGAUUUGAAAUAUUUGACCCGCCUUUAUAAGAGUCUUCUAUAACGCUUAAUUUGCCAUGGAUGAAACAAUUCUUAUCACCCUCCUGUCUUAAGCUUUGAGAAUAGCAUAUGUGAAAACAAACAAAUUAUAGAUAUUUUCAACAAGCAUCAGAAAGAAAGGGCUUAAAACCUUCAGGGCUAUGCCACGACGAAAAAUAGCAACAGUAAUUUCGUCGGCUCAUAAGGUCGCGACAGGGGGAGGCGAGUCAGAAGGCUCGUGCACCCACCCUAAAUGCAGGUUUCGUCGGCUCAUAAGGUCGCGACAGGGGGAGGCGAAUCAGAAAGCUCGUGCACCCACCCUAAAUGCAGGUUUCGUCGGCUCAUAAGGUCGCGAUAGGGGGAGGCGAGUCAGAAAGCUCGUGCACCCACCCUAAAUGCAGGUUUCGUCGGCUCAUAAGGUCGCGACAGGGGGAGGCGAGUCAGAAAGCUCAUGCACCCACCCUAAAUGCAGGUUUCGUCGGCUCAUAAGGUCGCAACAGGGGGAGGCGAGUCAGAAAGCUCGUGCACCCACCCUAAAUGCAGGUUUCGUCGGCUCAUACGGUCGCCACAGGAUUACACAAUUUGCUUUUUAAUGAAGAAGCCCCCAAGUCGGGGAGUAUUUUAUUACUUCAUAAUGAAACUGAAAAACUUACAAAGUGUAGAGCUUAAGAGCUCAAGUGUAGUAAGGCCGCAAAUGGGCAAUAUUCCAGGGGCGAGUUGACUCAGCCUCUGUGGUCGGUCGAUUAGGCCGAAGAUCCACCAAAUAAUAAGAACCAUUGCGGAGGUUCUUGCUGACGACGAACGGCCCUUCCCAAGGGGGUGACAACUUGUGCAUGCCUGCUCGAUCUUGUAUUAGACAAAGCACUAAGUCGCCUUCCUGAAAGGUCUGACUCUUAACCCGGCGACUAUGAUAACGCCGCAGAUCUUGCUGAUAGAUAGCCGAACGGGCCGCAGCCAGGUCGCAUGCCUCCUCCAAGGCAUCCAAAGAAUCUUGACGCGCCAGCUCAUUAUCUUUCUCCACAUAUGCGGCGACUCUAAGAGAGUCAUGCCUUAUGUCAGUAGGGAGAACAGCCUCUGCUCCAUAGACCAAAAAGAAAGGGGUGAAUCCCGUGGACCGGUUCGGGGUGGUCCGAAUACUCCAGAGUACCGAAGGUAACUCUUCAACCCAACAGCCUGGAGUCCUUUCCAGGGGAACCAUGAGUUGGGGCUUGAUCCCUCGCAAGACCUCCUGAUUCGCCCGCUCUGCUUGCCCGUUGGAUUGCGGGUGAGCGACUGCAGAAAUAUCAAGUCGGAUAUGUUCUCGACGACAAAAAUCCUGCAUCGCCCCUUGGGACAAGUUAGUACCAUUAUCAGUGAUAAUACUGUGUGGAUAUCCAAACCGGAAAAUCAGCUUCUUCAAAAAUUUGACCGCUGUCUCCGCAUCGCAAGCUCCAACAGGUUCCGCCUCAACCCACUUGGUGAAUUUAUCAACUGCCACCAAUAGGUGGGUCUUCUUGUUGGAGGACAUUUUAAAGGGACCAACCAUGUCCAGCCCCCAGACUGCAAAAGGCCAAGUAAUGGGAAUCAAUCUUAAUUCUUGAGCCGGCACAUGAGCCUGCCUCCCAUAACAUUGGCACCUCUCGCACCGACGAACUAUGUCUUCUGCAUCUGCAUGAGCCGUCAACCAAAAGAAAUCAUGACGAAAAGCCUUUGAUACCAAAGAACGUGACCCGGCGUGAUGUCCGGGGGGGGGCUCCGGAAUGAAUGUCAUUUAGGAUCGUGCAUCCUUCUUCGGGGGAAACACAUCGCUGAAAAACCCCAGAAGCGCUCCGUUUAUAUAACUCGCCAUUAAUGAUGACCAUGGAUUUGCUGCGCCGAACGAUCUGGCGAGACAAAACUUCGUCGGUGGGUAACUCGCCGCGAGUGAGAUAAGCCAGAUAAGGGAGAACCCAAUCCGGACUAACACGGAGAGCCACCACGAGCUGAGACUCGGGAUCUGGUAUCGCCAAUUCCUCCUUUGAGGGUAAAACCACGGAUGGUUUAUGCAAGAUAUCCAGAAAAACAUUAGGGGGAACCGGUUUUCUCUGGGAGCCGAGUCGCGAGAGGGCGUCAGCGGCCUCGUUGAGGAGCCGGUCAAUAUGGUCCACCUGAUAGCCAUGAAAAUGACCCGCCACAUCAGACAUAGCUCGUCUGUAAGCCGCCAUCAUGGGAUCCCGAGAGUCCCAGGUACCCGAAACUUGUUGCGCCACCAAAUCGGAGUCACCAAAACACCUGACUCGUGUUAGGUUCAUCUCUUUUAUGAGUCGCAAGCCGUGAAGCAAAGCUUCAUAUUCCGCCGCAUUAUUAGUGCAGGGAAACAUGAGUCGGAGAACGUAACAGAACCUAUCUCCUUGAGGGGAUACUAACACAACACCAACCCCUGAGCCUUCCAGCUACCUGGAUCCAUCAAAGUAAAUAGUCCAGUAGGUAAGGUCAGGCCGGUCUUCCGGAGCCUGUAGCUCUGUCCAGUCGUUAACGAAAUCAACUAGUGCUUGGGACUUGAUAGCUGUGCGGGGAGUAUAUUGUAUGUGAUGAGACCCAAGCUCUAUCACCCAUUUGGCGAUUUGCCCAGUUGCCUCCCGAUUCUGGAUGAUGUCACCAAGGGGAGCAGAACUAACCAUUAUGAUCGGGUGCUCCUGGAAAUAAUGCUUAAGUUUUUGACUCGCCAUAAACACCCCAUAGACCAGUUUUUGCCAAUGCGGGUAUCGCUGUUUGGAAAGAGUUAACACCUCGCUGAUAAAAUAUACUGGGCGUUGCACUGGGUAUUCCUUCCCUGGGGUUCUUCCUUUCUUUCAACGACCACAGCCACACUUACUGCCUUGGAAUUUGCCGCGAUAUACAGAAGCAUAGGCUCCUUUUCAGUGGGGGCUGCCAGGACCGGCGGGUUAACCAAUUGACGUUUCAGGGCCUCGAGCGCCUCAUCUGCCUCAUUUGUCCACACGAAUCGAUCGGACUUCCUCAAUAAUUGAUAAAGAGGAAUCGCCUUUUCCCCUAGGCGACUCACAAAACGACUUAAAGCCGCAAUGCGACCCGCCAGUCGUUGAACUUGAUUAACAUUCGCCGGCUUUCCGAGAGAGGUAACCGCUUCGAUCUUGUCCGGGUUAGCCUCGAUGACGCGCUUCGAUACCAAGAAACCCAGCAAUUUUCCUACAUGUACACCAAAAACGCACUUGGUAGGAUUUAGCUUCAUCUCAUAUACCCGUAAAUUAUCAAAAGUCUCCUUAAGGUCUUCCAAUAGUGUCUCCCCCUGGCGGGUCUUGAUCACAAUAUCGUCAACAUAGGCAUGGACGUUGCGACCAAUUUGGUUACGAAGACAAUUCUGGAUGCAGCGUUGUUAAGUCGCCCCCGCGCUUUUGAGUCCGAAAGGCAUGGACACAUAGCAAAAGGCCCCGAAGGGGGUUAUGAAGGCCGUCUUCUCCUGAUCCUCUACGGCCAUCUUGAUCUGGUGAUAUCCUGAAUAGGCGUCCAGAAAUCACAAUCGUUCGCAUCCCGCCACCGAGUCAAUGAUUUGAUCGAUGCGGGGAAGAGCGAAGGGAUCUUUGGGACAAGCUCUGUUGAGAUCCGUAUAGUCAAUACACAUACGGAAAGUGCCAUUCUUCUUGAGUACCAACACCGGGUUAGCCAGCCAUUUGGGGUGAAAAACUUCCACGAUGAACCCGGCGGCUAAAAGACGGGCGACUUCUUCUCCAAUCGCCUUGCGUCGUUCCUCGUUGAAUCUGCGAAGGUAGUGCUGGACAGGUUUGCAUUUUGGGUCAACGUUAAGAUGGUGCUCAGCAAAUUCUCUCGGUACACCAGGCAUGUCAGAAGGUUUCCAUGCGAAGAUGUCCCGAUUCUCACGGAUGAAUUCGAUGAGCGCGCUUUCCUAUUUGGGGUCCAGACCCAUCCCGAUGGUGAACUGCUUGGAUGAAUCGCCAGGCACGAAAUCGAUUGUCUUGGUGUCAUCCGUCGGCUUGAACUUGAUGGGCGACUCAGAAUCUGUAGUUGGCUUCUUGAGUGGUGACAUGUCCGCCGGGUCAACAUUGGCUCGAUGGUGUUUGAGCUCUUCCGACGCACAGGCGACUUCCGCAUAAGCCGCGUCCCCUUCUUCACAUUCCUUUGCGAUCCUUCUAUCUCCAUCAACUGUGAUGGGUCCUUUGGGACCAGGCAUUUUGAGCUUGAGGUAGACAUAGCACGGGCGGGCCAUGAAGCGGGCGUAAGCCGGUCGCCCGAACAGCGCAUGGUAGGGGCUUUUUAGUUUGACCACCUCGAAGAUUAGAGACUCCGACCUGUAAUUCUGCGCAGUUCCAAAUGCCACUGUGAGCCUGACCCGGCCUAUGGGAUAAGCCGACUUGCCCGGGACAAUUCCGUGGAAAACCGUGGUUGAAGGCAUCAAGUCUUUCUCCAAUAGAUUCAUCCUCUGGAAGGUGUCGAAGUAUAGGAUAUUGAUGCUGCUGCCACCAUCCAUUAAUACCUUUGACAGGGUGUAACCCCUCACUUGGGGAGCCACGACCAACGCCAGAUCGCUCGGGUUAUCUACUCUUGGCGGGUGAUCCUCCCUACUCCAUGUUAUGGUCUGCUCAGACCAAUGGAGAUAUCUGGGGAUCGCCGGCUCAGAUACAAUGUACGCCCGGUGACUUACCUUUUUAUCUCGCCUGCAAGCAUUAGUAGUGAAAACGUGGUACUGCCCAUUACUUAGCUGUUUGGGGUUGCUGCGGAAGCCCUCAUUAUCAUCCUGGUCCUACGGAGCCCCCUGUGGAGGCGGCUGCUGGAAAGCUCCCGGCGGGUUGUACCGCCGCUGGUGGUGCACCGGGUACUGGCCGCCGCCUGGCUGCGGGCCUCUGUGAGCCCCUUGUUCGGGAAAGCCGCCGAAGGGGUUCUGUCUUUGGUUGGACGCGGCGAGUUGGUCCUGGCGCCGGUCUGGUAGUUUCCUGAGUCGCCAAGUGCUCUGGCUCCUCCGAUCCCUGCGUGAACCCCACAAAGACCGGGCGAGUUAAAUUUUGCGUUAUGACUGGGCGGACGUACCUGGCCGGCUCGACGAUGUGGGUGGAUAUGUCCGGCUCAGGAACGGAUGAUCCGAUCAUGCCGAUGAAGAUGUUGAUCUUGCCGAAGGGGACCCUGUAGCCAGAUUCAAUCGAAUUCGCUUCAGGUCCCCAUCGCUGGUUGUCGAUGUAGGGUAUCCCACGGCGGCUCCGAGUCAUGAGUGCCGUCGCGUAACUCCCAAACCCUGGUAGGGCUCCCUUUGAGAACUCAACUCCACUGUGCGUAGGCCCCACGGUGGGCGCCAACUGUCGUGGUUUUUUCACGGCAGAUGUCCUCGUGAAAGGACUUAAUACUGGAGCCAUCGCACUUUGGUGGUGACUCAAAGGGGUUAAGCGGGAGAGACACGGCGAUUUACCCAGGUUCGGCCCCUCGGGAGGAGGUACUAGCCUACGUCCUGCUUUUGUGUGUAUUGAUAUGGAUUCGAUUACAAGGAAGGCGUAACUCGCCUAAACCUAGCACUCAAUGAUUUCUCACCUGUCCUCUGUCCCCCGGGACUUCGCCUUUAUAUAUAGGUCGAUUCCCUAGGGUUUACAAGGAUUCCUUCCUUUCUACAACUCGUGACCAUUGCGGUCUCUAAAUCGCCAUCUUCCAAAGCUGGGAGACCCGCCAAGAGCCAUACUCGUCGUACGACCUCGAUUCGGCCAAAACGAGGCCCAACUAAACGUUUAGAUGAAUCGCCCAAUGGAUAACCCGGCCCAACUAGGGCGGGUCAUCCACUGGUUACAUUCCCAACACUUACCCAUAGAGAGAGAUGGUGUUCUUUGAAGCUUUUGUUUAAGCCUUAGAAUGGUAUGAUGAAAGCCCAUGUACAUGACAAGUGUUGUCACGCGUCGGAAAUUUUAGGGUGAGGAUGAAGCCAAGACCCUUCUCUCUGCAGCAUACCCACAAAUGGUAGACCACCAUGAUAAUCAUCGAUAGGUUAUUUAGAAUGGUCACGAGACUUGUCAGUUAAGAAUACCAAGUGAUGGAAGAAGCUUUUAUCAACAGAAGAACCCUCGAUUUUGAGGGAAAUGUUAUGAGCAUAAAGCAAGAGCAUCACCAAAGGAGUUGGUAUGGAGAAUGUGAGGAGUCAUAUGCCAAGACCCCACAGGAUUGUUUGAAAUUUGAGGGACCGGUAACUCUCAUUUUAAGUGUGGUAGCAUCCCACUUUGCACGAGAUUGGAUUUUUUAGAAGACCCCCAAACCCUAACCUUUUCUUUCUAACCUCUUAGAAUCUCGAGGACGAGAUUCAUUUUAAGUGUGGUAGGUUUGUAACAUCCCAAAUUUUGGAAUGUUAAUAUAAUUACUAGAUUGAUUGUUUGUUUGAGUGAUUGAAACUUGAGUGAAAUUUGAAAACAUUUUAAAACUUUUGAAUGAGAGGGAAUAAAAGGACUUUCCCAUUUUCUUUUAAUUCAAAUUCAUCCAUUUAAAAUCAGUGAGAGAAGAUAACAUGACUUCUUCAACUAUAAAGAUUUUGAAAGGUGGAUUUGAAAACUAAUAAAAGAUUUCCUAUAUGGAUUUCAUUUUCGUAUUUGAUCCUAUUGCUAUUUCAAUGUUUAAAUGAAUACAUAUAUUAAAAAAAUAUGACAGGAGGAACAUGACCCUUCAAACCAAGGGCAUUUUGAAAAUUAUUUGAACCCUAAAACUUAGGAGGUCAUUUGAAAAAUCUUUGUAAAAGGAAAUAAAUCAUUUAGGCAAUUUUCUGAAAACAUAAUAUUUCUUCUGAAGUUUUUAUUUUAGCCCUGGAAAAAUGUCCAUCUUAUUGGAUUUAUUUUUCUGAUAAUUUUGGUAUAUAAUACUUCUAUAUUUGGAAGUAUAUUUAUUUAAUUUUUUAAGUUUUACCUUCAGGUUUUUAUUAAAAGGAAACAAAUCGUUUUCUUUGGAAAGGCAUCUGGGCCCGUUAGGAAUAUAUGAUCCGGCCCGAUACCUUCCUUCUUCCACAUGUCGUCUCCUUUCCUUCCGUGCCGCGUGAAACUUCCACGAAGAUUCCUUGUCGAUUCCUUUCCCCGAUCUCCGCGUACCUUCCUUCCCCUCGCCCCUCGAGGCCCUAUUUAAGAUCCUCACCCCCUCCCCUCUCCAUUUUCCCCAAGACCCCUUUGUCUCCAUGCCCCAGCACCGCCCUCCACCCUCGCCGAAGGUCCUGCUCAGGCCGAAACUAGGAGCUCGUGUCGCCCCACCUCCCUUCGCCCUCGGACCCUCCUGACGCUACCAGGAGAACGUCGGGACCCUCCUUCGCCGCAACCACCACCACGCCGCCCCCUACACCACCCGAGCCGCCUCCCCUCGCCACCUCACCUUCAGUUGCACCAUUACCAGCGCUGGAGCUCCUCUUUGCCACGGUAAGCUCCCUCUGGGGGGGGGGGGGGCUUUUUCCCACCGUUGGAUCCAUAAUAUACGCUCUAGAUUAGAUUAGGAUACCCUUUCGGUUUUAGUUAGAAAACCGAUCGGUUCCCAGUUAGUUAAUUUAAAACCGAAAGGUUUCCUUUAUAUUGCGACCGUCCGUUAGUUAGCCUAAACCGUGCACGAUCUCCAGCCAAUCACAGCUUGCCACAUCACCUUUUCUUUUAAUCUUUUUCUGUUUUUAAUUCUGAAACAGAUUUGGACCUGAUUUUAGAUUGCUUAUAACUUUUAAUCUAUAACUCCAAUUGAGGUGAUUAUUUUUGCGUUGGAUCACAAAUUUUGUGUAGUUUCUGUAGAUAUAAAAUUUUACCAUGUUUGAAAUUUUAAAUUCUGAAUUUAAACAGAUUUGGUUUAAAUCUUGUUUUGUUAAUAUCUGGAGUUUAAAAAUAGAUUUUUAGUUGAUUCUUUUUGCUGCUGAUCGCUAGUGAUCUUAUAUAUCACUAGGUAAAAUUUCAGAAUUUUUGGAGUACUUUUAAUCAAUAUUGUGUGUAAAACAGAUUCUGUUUUAGUUCUUUCUUGGAUUAUUGCUAUUUCUUUUGCUAUAAUUGUUUUUAAUUUAUUUUGGUUUAUACUUGUGAAAGGUUAUAUUUUGUUUCCUGUUAGUUAACAGUAGGUUUUCAACAACAAGAAAAUUUUAUUUUAUUUGAUAGCAUGAAAUCAAUUCUAGUUCGGUAAUAACUUGCAAAUUGAUUUUGUUGCUAGUUUGAUGUCCUAUUUGAUGAUACUUUCAAAAAAUACAGUUUUAUGAAAAAUACUUUCUGUUAUCUUAGUUAAUUUUCUUUUUUAUUUUCUAUUAUUUUACUAUUUUAGUGUUCCAUUUUCUGUUAAGUUUAAUUAGAACAAAAACUAUUUAGUGAUUGUUGUAGUAGAAGACUCCAUAGUUUUUCUGUGAAGUUCCUUUUGGAUUUCUAUUUGAUAUUUCUUAUUGGUUUUAUUGCAUCAAAUUUUAUUGUUGUUUGUUAUACUGAUUACUAGGAUGAUUUAUAGUAGGAUUGCUUAUACGAAUAUUAUGUUUGAUUAUAUAGAUAUCGACGGAGAGUGAUGAAUAGUUCUAUCAAGUUAUUUCUUGAGAGCGAUAUUCUUCUUCAUCAACCUUACCAGGCAAGUUCACAUUGAUCACAUUUUUACCUAUGGUUUUAUUACAUUAGUUUCAACCUUCUUCACCCAUUGCAUGAAAGUAGGUACUUGGAAACUUUGGUUAUUGAGUAGUAUGUUAUGAUAGGCACCCCUAAACCCUUGUUACUUUGGCAGGGACGUUAUUUUGCUAUGCUCAUGGUAGACGGGGUUUGGUUGAGUGUUUAUCAUGAGUGUUGUGAGAAACUUAAUAAACAAGACCUGAAGACUCCAAGACUUGCAAGAGCUCAGAACAAAAUAUACCUCUGGGUGAAGGACGGUUCAGAUGGGCUCCCUGGGAAAAACCAGCGGAGGAUCCGGGAUGCAUGGAGAAGCGCCAUGACAUCUUGCGGAAAGUUUCACCCAGGCUCAAAGAGAUGGAUGGAUAUUUCAAGACCCAAGGCUUACCUGCAGAGCCACAAGUCAUUAUGGGCUCUGGCUUGGUUGGACAACGUGGUGACUCUGGACGGGCGGUGCUACGAGAUGUAGAAGAACGGUAGGAUUGGAUAGGCACCGGCAGUGGCUCAGAGGAACCCGUUGAAAGACCAUGUUUUGAUCAUCCGGUUCUCAAACAUCCUGAAGUGCGAGGACUCCAACGGAGGCGAUCAAAUCUUGUGGGGAACAAGUGCAAAACUCUACAGAGUACUCAAAGCUAAUCGAUUUGUCGUGUCCACGGUCAGGGAUAACUUGAGCCGAAGGAACCGAAGUUAUCAGGAAUUCUCAACACCAUUUAAUAUUGAUGUGGGUAAUAUUUAUAACUUGGGUAUGAGAAUUGGUUGGUGGAACCAUCUCAUUAACAACCAACAAUGUAGUAAAUUUUGCUUUUACCCUCUCUUGUUGUAGGAAAAUUUGCUUUACGCCAAACUUAAGACUACGGCCCCACCUGCCAUAUAUGCAUAUAGUAUGGAUGAUAUUUUCACCCCUCUCUUUUGUGACUUGCCGGCAUAUUCAAUAUGCUGACCUACACGGCUGCAACGUCUUAUGUUGCAGAUAUUUUCUUCUACGAGUAAGAGUAUGAUUCGGUGUUACGGUCUGCACACAACUUGCCGUUGGUGUCUAUUGGGACUCCACUCCCUUUGACUGUUUCCGCUGAGAUUUUCAGGUAUAUAUGAGUUUUACGUUAUUUUACAUGUGAUUGAACUUUGAUAUAUACAUUGACGUACUGUGUGUGCCAGCAUACUGAUCCAGGGAUGGCGUAGAACACAUAGAGGCUUGACUCGUUUUGAGUCGGGUCGCUACACUCUGACGGAGAACUGGUUAGACCCCUAUUUUGGUAACUAUAUCAUAGGGUAUAUGUGAUUACUUUUGUUUCUACCUUUUUGGAAUGGAAAGCGCGAGGUUUAUGUUAUUUCAAUCCAUGGAAUCAGAGUAAGAUUCGAUAGAUCCGUGUAGUGUACAUAUUGAUAGUUAGUUAAGUAAAUGAUAAGUGAUGUGGAUAAGUGAUAUUUGUACAAACAAUUAUGCUAAUAAUCAGUCUAAGGGUUAUAGUAAUUUAAUGGUUGAUUUGUACAAAUUAUCAUUUUUCUAAUAAAACGUCUAGGCUUCUGAGUGUGCUAAUAAUUCGUAGCCAGAUUUUAGAAUCGAUUUGAAUGGCCUACAUAGAUGAGUAUACAUGUACCCCGUGUGUAAAUAAAUAUUGUAUAAGAGCAUUUAGAUCACUAGUUUAGUGAUAUAGGAAGGAGUACUUACUUGAAAGCUCUGAGUUCGUUUGACAAUAAUCAGUUCAUGCAUUUAUAGUCAUUAAUUAAUAUUUUUGUUGCACGAAGUUGUUUGUGAUAUAAUUUUAUGCAUUUCAUUCAUCAAUGCCAUGAUUUUUUUAUUACAUGUAUAGUUGCUCUCUGACAAUGUUGAUAGCGACAAAUAUGACCAGAGGGGGUACAAGAAACAAAAGUUCAGAGAGCUCCAUGCGGGAAAGCAUAAUCGUCGUAUCAGGAUCGGGAAUGGGGGUUUCAGAUGCCCGUUCUGCAUCCAAAGGCUUAACUCCGCAUUUGCAAGUGUUCUGACGCAUGCUAGAGGACGAGCCGUUGGCUCCUUCAGGUAGAAGUAUUCUCCCAGAGUGGCGCAUGCCACGUACGUGGAGUACGUGGAGAAAGUUUAUGUUGUUGUUGGGUACUAUUAGGAUUGUGCUAUAUAUACAUGUACAACACUACCCUAGCUAUCUAGUUUGUGUGCCUUAUAUCUAUGCUUGAGUAUGUUUAUUAUGUGUUGAUCGAGAUGUUGGUGAGACAUUGUUUGAUGAACUAGUACGUAGAGCAAUGUAAUUGCGAUCUUCGGCUGCAAUCGGUUUGGUUGAUGGAAUAUUUAUGCUUAUCUUAGAGUUCCUAUACAAUUUACUACUUGCAACUAUUUGCCCACAACAUGCACAACUACAUAUGAGUGUCGGCAAAACAAAUUACACUAUGCAUAUUUCGUUGAAAAAUGCUAGACUUACCUUGAAACUUCUUGAACACGGUAAAAAUAUCACGUGUCACACGAAAAUGGAAAUUUCAAACCCAUUUACAAACAUGGUUAUUUUCACGGAUUGAAACCAUGUGCGAUGACUAACAUUAUGCUCCGGCAUGUGUGUCAUGAUUGUCCAGAAUGCAUUCCCAUGGAUCGCACAUCUGCAAACGUAGGAUUUACAGAGAUCACGGAUCAGGGCAGUCCAUACCCCUCACAGCACACUAGCACUUGCUGCACACGGUUUUGUCUAUUGAACCAGUGCCUUCAGAGCGCAUUAUUUUUUUGGCCCAGAAAACCAUCACCAUCCCCGCAUCGCAAAACCCUCCCCCUUCCCCAGUCACACCGCACUCCUCCCCAACUCUACAUGUCACCACCUAUCACUGCGGCGACCACUUAGCUCGACGCGUGUUGCCCCCGUCGGCUGCUGCCAAAUCCCACCGUGUUUUGCUACUGCCUCUUGCCGCCAGCUACUUGUAUGGAUUUUCUUGAUACUGCUCGUCGUCGACCCAGCUCCAUAUGAUUUGGGAUUCUGUGGUACUCAGGGUUUCUCUCAUAGAGAACCUAGUAAAUAAUUUACUGAAAUAUUUUGUUUGUCUCUUAUCACAGUCUGUUUGUGCGUGUUAAUCACCAGGUGAAACUCAUCGCCGUGGACAUGUAAUUGACUUGAUUUAAUUACCAUUCUGGCAUGUGUUUCCCAUGUUGGUCUCAUAACAAACGAACUACAUAAUGGAACCAAUAGUGACCAUUCACAUUAUCGUACACGGUUGUCAUUCAUUACCCGUCUGUGAAACUUUCACCUCAUCACACACCCUGCUUAGUGUUGAACGUGUGUGCUGCUUUUAGUCAUUGCACACACUACACAGUUUCAAGGGAACAAGCUCACGGAAGAUAUGUUGGAACCGCUUGUAGACGGCGUAUGGCCAAAUGAAAUGCGAGUAUGAGCGCUGGUCAAGCUUGCUCUCCAAUCCUCCACUCGGAACGCGGUGAUGAGAAAUGCCAACUAUAGACCGUCCAACCCCCAUUUACUCCACCACUCAUUUAACCUCUUUUCUCCCUUCAACCUUUCCCCACAACGCAAGAAGUACACCCACGACUCCAAAUACAGAGAGGAUAUCAUGCUCGGCUCCAAUGGCGAUGCUCCCAGCGCUUGCUGACGACGAGUGGCAAUUCACCAUUUGUGCCUACAUGGACACCCACGUAAGGUUCAAGGGCCUCUCGGUGGUGUACACCAAUGACCCGGUCUGGGUGGAGAACUCCAUCCACGCCAUGGAGCAGUUAUUUCCCAAAGACAAGUAAAAAGUGGUCGGCUUCGACCUCGAGUACACAGACAGACGACUUGGGUAUGAUCAGAAGGUUGUCGUCUCCCAGUUGUGCGUGGGCAUUACAUCCUUGUCUAUCACUACUGCCUAGCCACAAGUCAUUGCGAGCAUUUCUCCAUGAUUAUCAAUAGCCUUGAGUACAUAUUCGUUAAGGUGGAUGAUACAUCUCCAACGUAUCUAUAAUUUUUAUUGCUUCAAGUUGAUAUAUUAUCAUUCUAGAAUACUUCUCGGGUAUUUAUUUACCAAUUUAUAUUAUUUUUGAGCACUAACCUAUUGACCCAUUGCCUAGUGCAAGUUGUUGUUUUCUGCAUGUUUUUCACUUUUCAAGUUUUCCAAACCAAACGAAGUCCAAUUGACCUGAAAAUUUUUGAUGAUUUUGUUUGGACCAAAAGAAGAGCAACAAGCAUUGGAGGAAGGUUGGGGCCCACAUGAGGGCCCCAAAAGACAACCCGGCACGGCGUGAGGGGGUCAUGCCCUGUUGGCUUGUGGGCCCCUUGAGGCCCUCCCGGCUCCGUUCUCUAGCUUAUAAAUUCUCAUAUACCCAAAAAACAUUAGAGGGAGUCCCGAAACACUUUUUACGUCACCAUGGGUCUCUGUUUCGAUGGGAGGCCAUCUGGAGCUCCCUUCCGUCACCCUGUCGGAGGGGCUCUUUAUCAACCUUGCUUCCCUCAUGAUGAUGUCUGAGUAGUUCACCACAAACCUAUGGGUCCAUAGCGAGUACCUAGAUGGCAAUCUCUCUCUCUUUAUCUUCAAUACAAUGAUCAUCGCAUCUUCGCUUUGAUCCACAUGAUGUAAUUCCUUUUGUGUGGUGGGUUUGUUGGGAUCCGAUGACAUGUGGGUUUUUGUUCAGAUUAUUCAUGAUAAAUAUUUGAGUCUCCUCUGAAUACUUAUAUGAAUCUUAUGUGCAUGAUUAUGAUAGCUUUGUAAUUCUCUUGAUCUAUUGAAAUAGUUUGGCCAACUAGAUUGAUAUUUCUUCAGUGAGAGAGGUGUGUAGUAGUAGGUUCAACUUGGUAAAUUUGUAUAUCCCACUAACAGAAGGGGACAAGAUGUGUAUUUGUGUUGGUGCUACUAAGGAUAAAACGUUGGGUUUUAUUCACAUUGUUUGAGUUUACUUUGUCUACAUCAUUUCAUUGUUCUCCAAGCAUUACUCUGUUUUACUUAAUACUCUAGAUGCAUGUUGGAUAGUUGUUGAUGAGUGGAGUAAUAGUAAUAGGUGAAGUUAGGAGUCGGCCUAUUUGUUUAUGGACGUGAUGCCUAUCAACACAUGAUCAUUGUCGUGAAUAUUGCAUGACUAUCCGCUUUUCUAUCAAUUGCCCAACAGUAAUUUGUUUACCCACUGUAUGCUACUUUUCAUGGGAGAUGUCGUUAUGGAAAACUAUGGCCCCCAGGUCUAUUCACAACGUAUAAAAAAACUUCAAUACCUUGCUGCCAUUUAUUUGUUUUCAUUUUAUCUUGCUAUCUACAAUUAUCUACACACCUCACUUGCAAAUAACAAGAACAAGAGGAUUGACAAUCCUAUUACUUGCGUUGGGUGCAAGUUGUUUGUUCUUUUGUGUGCAGCCACUGAAGAUUGUUGUGGUUGAUAUUCCUAUUGUUUCUAUAAAUCUUGGUUUCGUAACUCGGGGAAAUACUUACACACAUUAUGCUACGAUAAUUUGUUCCUCUUCACGGAAAACCCAAUGCAGAUCACAAGUAUUAGGAAGGAUUAGUGGCGCCAUUACCAGGGAAUAUCAUCAUCAACUGCCAAGUAACGUCACACAAAUUUUCAUUCACUUGUUAUCCUUUUUAUUUUCUCGUAUAUUUAGUUUGUCUCAUAAAAAAUACGGGGGCAAAAAUACAAAAAAUAUUUACCUUUGCUUGUCACUAGUUUGCAUCUUUGUUGUCUAGUUUACUUGCCUAGCUAUGUUAUCUUUAUGUUUGUCACGCCAAAAUAGAAAGUAAAAUGCAAAUAUUAAGAUAAAUGGAUCCUCAUAAACUAACUAAUCUUUUCAAAGUACAUGUUUAUGUUGAAACAAUUGCUAGUGAGAGUGCACAAGAUUAUCUUUAUGAGGUCUUGCUUGAAAAUCAUGAAUCCAAAUAUUGUGAAAUUUAUAAAGUGAUUCAUGAUAGUUCCUUGAAUGAAAAGCAUGAUUGCUAUAUUGUUGAAUUUUAAUAUGAUCCUACAUGUAAUCAUUAUUAGAGAGGCAAAUAUGGGUAUAGAAAUUUUCAUGUUACUCACUUCCUCUCUUGAUAUUCGAAUUGUUAAUGCUUCAUUCUUCCUACUUGCUUAUGCUAGACACUUCUUGUAUUGACAAAUUGUUUGCUUCUAAAAUGCAUAUGCAUAGGAAGUAUGUUAGACUUAAAUGUUCUUGUCACAUGUUUUAUUAUGCUCUCUCUGUUAUUCACUUCUUGUCUUUUAUGUGGGCAUCAUUGAAAUUUCAAGCCUAUCUUAAUGACUAUAAAGAAAGAGCUUGUUGGGAGACAACCCAAUAGUUAUCAUUCAUUUAUGUUUGUUUGUUAUAAGAUGAUUAUUUUCUAUGCAAUUAUUGUGUUUUUAUGUUUUAAUUAGUGUUUGUGCCAAGUAAAGCCUUCAGGAUGAUUUGUAUGAUGAGUAGAAUUGAUAUGGUGCAAAUUCAGAAACUUUGACGUACACUGUAGAAUUUCUUUGAUUUUACUCGGACGUAGUUUUAAGCUGAAUUUUGUACAAACUAUUUCUAUACAAAUUCCGCAGGUCUUCUUAAAUUUUCAGAAUUUUUGGACUUACAGAAGUAUAGAUUCAUUACACAUUACUACAGAUUUUUAUGUUUCAGUCAGAUUCUGUUUUUUUGACCGGCUACUGUAGGGAAAACAACCCACAGUCAUUUCUCUCUAUUAAUAAAGGGGUUAAUAUGUACAAAGGAGGGCUAAAAUGUACAAGAGAUGUAGGGGUGUGUGGGAUACAAACCUCAAGGAGGUAAAAAUGCUAUCCAUCUAAGGAGAUCAUCCCUAAAACUAGGUUUAAUCCUGUGUGCUAGAAGUGAAAUAUCCAGAAUAAAGCCAGCCCUCCAUUUUCUGAGCCGUGGUUGCUAAUGAUGAAAAACCUUUGCAUUUCUUACAGUCCAUAUGUUCCAGCAAGCAAUGAAGACCACUUCAGUGAAGAAAGGGUGAUGAAAGUCUCUUCUUGCAGCUAAAGAAGCACUCCACAUAGAAUUUCCCUGCCAUGAGAUGUGGAGAUAAUUCCAGAUCCUGGCACUGAAGAGACAGUUGAAAAACAAAUGAUCUCUGUCCUCCUUGAUCCUGGCAUGGCAAAGAACACAAAGAUUAGAAUCAGACACCUUCCAGUGAAGCCUCUCAAGCAUAUCUUGAGUGUUAAGUCUGUCCAUAAUCAUCAGCCAGGCAAACAUCUUGAUUUUCAUGGUGCAGCAGCUCUUCCACAUCCAGCUAAGCAGGGGGUUUGGUGUGAUGGGUUGGUGGAUAUGGACAUAAUACUUCUUGGCAGUGUAUGGUUUAGAGUCUUUACUCCAGAGCCAGAUAUCAUCAUCAUUCUGGUUUAUAUGAAUAUCCUGAAGCAUAGAGUUUACAUAAUCCAGCUCUUUGUAUGCUUGUUCAGAUAGAGGAAAGUGGAACAUGUAGAGCAUAUUGUUCUCAUGAAAAGCAUGGAAAACUUCCUCAGCAGUGCAAAAAGAAUCCACAACAAAGGAGAACAGUCUGUGGAACCUAGCAGCCAGUGGUCUGAUAGAAUCUCCAAUCAACCAGGAAUCAGACCAAAACAAGAAUGUAUCACCUCUAUUUGGUUUAACAUAAGCCACAGCUCUGAAUUUAUCCAGACGUUUGCAGAUGUCCUUCCACCAGAAAGAGCCACAAAGUGAGGUACCUUGAGGAACUGUGUUAUGAUAAUAUGUGUUCCAAAUCAGUUUGACCCAGGGAAUAUCAGCUUUAUUCAAAAACGUGUAUGCAUGUUUUAGGAGCAGGGCCUCAUUCUGGAUAGCAAGAUUCAUAAUCCCCAACCCACCCUUCAUCUUAGGUCUGCAUGCAAGGUCCCAGGCAGCAAGAGAGGGGGCAUGAUCUUGAACAUUCUUUCUCCAUAAACAUUGUUUUUGGAUUCUUUCUAACUGCUUAAGGAUUCCUGGAGGAACAUUUAAACUGCACAGAAAGAAGAUAGGUACUGAUGAGAGAGCUGAGUUUAGAUAUUGCAAACGGCCCCCCUGGGCCAGGAAGGAAGAACUGGCACUGAGUCUUCUCUCCAUGUUAUCCACUAAUGGCAUUAGAUCAAUUAUCCUUGGUUUAGUUGUUCCCACAGGUAAACCAAGGUAGGUGAAUGGCAAAGAACUCACCUUGCAAGCAAUAGCAUCUGCCAAUCUUUGCAGUUCAUCUUGAUCUAUGCUGAUGGGGAGCAGGGCAGACUUGUGAUAAUUUACCUGAAGACCAGUGGAUUGGGAGAACAGAAGUAGCAUUCUUUUGAACUCAAGCAACUGAGAUUCUUCUGCAGGUAGAAUUUUGAGAGUAUCAUGAGCAUACUGCACUAUGGGGAAGUCUCUGUCAUGACAAGGAAUUGGCAAUUGAAUGAGACCAUCCUCUAAUAGCUUAUUGACUAAAGUUUGCAAAAAAUCUACAGCAAUUGCAAAAAAGAAGAGUGGACAUAGGGUCUCCCUGUCUGACCCCUUUCCUGCACAUGAAUUUUCUUCCAGGAACUCCAUUGAGAAGAACAGAGGAGGAGCCAGAAGUGAGCAGUUGUUGCACCCAUAGGAUCCAUCUAUCAUUAAACCUCUUGUAUCUGAGAAUCUGAAAGAUGAACUCAUGUUCCACAGAGUCAAAAGCCUUUUCAAAAUCCAGUUUGAGGAUGACAAUAGGUUUCUUGGACUGAUGACAUUGGUGCAAGUACUCUAGUGUCCAUCCCACACAAUCUUGGAUGGUUCAGGAUUUGAUAAAGCCAUACUGGUUUUUGUGUAUACAUUUCAUAACUUGUAGUUGCAGUCUAUUGGCCACCAUUUUAGACAAAAACUUAAGUCCCAUUCCUGUGAGAGAGAUAGGACUAAAGUCACCAACCUGCUCAGGGGAGCUUUUUUGGGAAUCAGAGUUAUAUAUGAUGAGUUCAUGUUUUCAAGCUUGGCAAUGCCACCAUGGUAAUCAGCUGCAAGUUGAUAAAAUUCAGGGCAAAUAAUAGACCAACAUUUCUUGAAGAAAUACCCAUUGAAACCAUCACGACCAGGGGCCUUAUCAAUGGGCAUUUCUUUCACUGUCUGAUCCAUUUCAGCCUUGGUAAAAGGUUCUGUGAGCACAUCCAGCCCAUCCACCUUCUGAAUUAGGGACUGUAGGUCAAAAGCCAUAUUAAUACCUUGGGAGGAGCCCAUCCUAUCCUUGAAAGAGGUCCAGAAACAACCAGAAAUUUGCUCAUGAUCAAAAAUAACAAAGCCAUCAUUCGGCUUAAGAGAUGAAAUGGAAUUUUUCCUAUAUUUUUCAGUUGCCAUGCCAUGGAAAUUUUUUGUGAUUUCUUCUCCAACUUUGAUGUAACGAAUUGUAGCCCUUUUUCCAGUAAAGGAACUACAUAUGCAAGAGAUAAUCCAAAUGCAACUUGACAAUCACCCUGAAAUUAGCCUCAGGCCUAUACAGGGGUCUUAACUCCUCUAGAUCAUCAAGAGAGAGAACAACCUGGUUGCACCUAUCAAUAAGAAGCUUGAGCCGAGAGAGGUUAGUUUGCCAUUUCUCUAGGGCCUGCCUUAGGUGUUUGAACUUAUCCAUGAUGAUGGCAGUAAUAUGCCCUUUCCUGGAUGGGAUCUUCCAAGAGUCCCUGACACAAUCCAUGAAGCCAUCCAAUUCAACCCAAUAGUUUUCAAAAUGAAAGAGAUUGCAUUUUGGGAUGGAAGUGUUAACUGUGACAACACAGGGGACAUGAUCAGAUGCAGUUUUAGCCAAAGGGAGGACUUGCGUCAGAGGAUAUGAUGAAAUCCAAGAAGCAGAUGUAAAAAACCAAUCCAAUUGCUCUAGCAGGGGUGAAUCUUGCAUAUUUGACCAGGUGAAAGAUCUGCCCUUAAUAGGUAAUUCCAAUAGCCCAAGGUGGCCAAUGAUCUCAUUAAAAAUGAACAUGUCAUUUACAUCAACCCCAGGAAGGUUUCUAUUUGAUGGAGAUCUAAUAAAGUUAAAAUCCCCAAGAAGUAACCAGUUGUCGUCAGCAGGGAUGUUGAGAUUAUAUAACCAGCUGACAAAAAGAUCUCGAGCCUCACCCUGACAAGGUCCAUAUACAUUGACCAGGGUCCAAGUUUCUGCAGAGUGAUUGGAUGUAAAGGAGAUAACAAGGCCAAAAGGUUGACACUCAAUUAAGGUUCCAGUAAGAACAGAGGAGCUCCACAAAGUGAUCAGACCCCCAGAGGCACCACGGGAUGGCGAGUAUGCAAACUGGUCAAAUCGUUUAGGACAAAAACUUCUUGCUGAUCGAAAAUCAAUCUGUUGCAUUUUUGUUUCCUAUAAGCAUACUAUAGAGGGGGGGGGGGGGGGGCAUCUAUUUUGUUGCGAACAGCUCUCUGACGAUGAUCAGAAUUGAGGCCACACACAUUCCAGCAGAGGACAUGCCAACUUCGUGUAGAUCUACUAUCCAUAAUAACUAAUAGAUAUAGCAAAUGUGGAGUUACAUAAUAACUCACACAACCAAGGUUCAGAACGUUGUAACAAAAGAUAAACAGUAGUCUGACAGACCGCAUAACCAUCAAAACAGGGCAAUAACAACAUAGUUUUAAACAUCAGAAGAUGGGGUCUUGGAUGCAGCAGGAUCCUCCAUAAGACGAUCCACCGAAAGCUUCCCCGCAGCAAUUCCAAGCUUCUGGCCAGUUGCUUGCAAAACAGGAAUUGGUGUUGCUGGCGGAGGCUAUUCUCCCUCCUGAUUGUCCAUAGGCUUGGCCUUGGGCUUCCUAUUCUUGGGAGUGUGCAUUGGAAGUUCCUGCAGCACUGGUUUGAAGCCGUCGCGCUUGAUCGAGCCUCUCGUGCAGCGGCGAACCGAGGAGUCGACAAUGGGAGUGGCCUGCUUGCGAGAAACUUUCUUCCUGACAGCAGGUGAAGUAAAAGCGAACUCCCCUGAUGGUGGAAGAAAGUCUUCAUGUGUUACCUCAGUAGUAGUAGUAGGGAUGGUCUCGAUGGGCACCAAGCUUGAACCUGCAGACUCAACAUCAAAAGCAUACGACCACGAUCGCUUGGGGAUCAUGAUUGGCAGCACUGGCGGCUUCUGAAUAUGGCGAGGGACAUGCAUAGUACAUGUCGCGCCCAUAAGAGAUUCAAAAGACCUGGCCCAACAUAGCACAGGUGACAAUGGUGGACCAUAGAAAACCCUUGUUGCUCUAACCACCAGGUUUGAUUGUUGCAUCAGUGGACGAUUGUAUGGGACGAUCGCCAAGGGGUUAAACAGAGGCGCCUCCUCGGCAUGAUCUGCUUCCACAGGCUCUUCGUCGGCGACAACUUCAGCUUCUGGUGCAGCAGCGCCAUUGGGAGGGGCAGCUUCAGGAGCAGCCUCGUCAACCGCAGGUUGGACAAUAGGCAUGUCCACAACAACAUCAUCAGCAGCAGCAAGCUGAAGGUCAAGGAUGACCAAUUCAUGAACAGAAUCAGAGGAUGUUGGUUGAUCAAUAGCCAUGGAUUCCUGAUCUUGUACAGGUGCAUCAGGUUGUGGCUCUGGCUCUGCUGCUUCUGGUUCCCAACCCCAUCCUCCACCGACUGGGGCUUGUGGCUCUCGCUCUGGGGGAGGUUGUGGCACCGCGUUCCAUCCCGAAGCUGGGUAUGGUGGCAGAGCAAAUAACAGAUUGUCAUUGAUCAGUUGACCAGGAAGUGGGUGUGGGUUGCCAUUGAGGGGCAUGGGAUCUUCGUCAUUAGGCAUCUGUUCACCAAAAUUUGCGCCCAAGAUGUAAACUGGCGCAGACCAGGAGACCUUGGCCCCUCCCCAUGCAGCAUAUUCUGAGAAGGUGACACUCCUUGGCACCAUAUUAUCUUCAGGAAAAGAAGCAAAGAUAAUGGAUCGAACCAAAUACGGGUCAUCGCUGACCCAAUGAUGGAACUCUCCAAAAGUGUUAAAGGCAGCCCGAAGAUCAUUAGUAUUGCGGAAAUCUAGCGGAACUCCAAGUAGCAUCAGGCAUCCUUGGCGGAAACCUGUCUGCCCCCUAAAACCUGCACCAUCACUAUGACGCAUGAAACGAACAAAGGUGUCGUUCCCUAGUGCUUGAGGGACCAUUUGAACUGUAGCAAAGCUUUCUGUCGCAUCCCUAAGCUCGAACACACCAACCCCCUCAAUCCAUGGCUAGGUCGAGCGAACAUGAAAACCCCUAUUGAGAAGUAGGGCGGUAACUUCCUACCGUACCUGGGCCACCAACUCAGCAGGAGGGGCAGGCAUUACUUCGGCGAUGAUGAACUAUUCAUGCCUACGGUUGAUGGGGUUGGUAGGCGUGAUGAAGGUCCUUGGGAGACGAUCAGGGCCUCCGUCAAUGAUGUUGUGGCCCUGUGAAAUGAAGCGUUGGGGAUCAAGCUCGAAGUUGGCCAUUGUAGUCGAAGAAGCGGGAGGCGGCGGCGUCAAUGGCGGCGUCCCAGAGGGAGUCCGGGGAGACGGUGGGCUUGACAAGACCGGGAGGAACUGCUCGGCAGGCUUUGCAGCUUCCCCAAGAAUAGCAGAGGUUCCUGAGAUAUCUGCAACAGGGGAGGUGGUGGGGCACUUGCGUUUCCAAGUAAGACAAUUAUCUCGCAUAAAGGAAGUGCAGUCAGAUUUGGCAUGUCCCGCAUUUCCACAGGCAGGGCAAAUUAACGUGGCGGUACAGUUGGAAGCGAGGUGCCCUUGAGACAAACAAAUCAUGCAAGAAUAAAUCUCUUUAACCAUGCCAUUAAUCAAUUCAUCGAAGAGUUGGUGGGCCUCCUGCGAAGAUGGAAUAUCAGGCUGAUGACAAGAUUCUGGCCCGGCAGAAGAUGUCGUUGCCGAAGACCCAUUAAUGGUUUCGUAGAGAGGCCCACUAUCAGGGCAAUCCAACGAAAUAGAUUCAAUAUGAUUUGAAACCCCUCCUAGCGUGGUGGGAUUAGCCGAGAUUGCAUCAUCCGAGGAGGAGAUCCCAUUAAUUUCGCCACCUUCCAUUAGGGUACCGGAUGAUCCGAGACGGGAAACAUGCUGAUGAACUGAACCAAAGGUGAUGUGCGGCGAGGCGGACAUCCACCGGAGCUCUAUCGGAGAUGGAGCACUAAUAAUAACACGUUCCUGCGGAGCGAUCGAAUAACCCGCCUUGGACAGAGUAAUAAGCUCAUCUUGAGAAACAUGGCACUGAUAACCUUUGCAAACAUCAUAUUGCUGUAACGCUGCAAAAGUUAAUUUUUUGCGAGCAGAAGAUCCCAACUUAAGAGAGGAAUUAAUAGGUUUGGAAUGCAUUGCCAUCAGACCUAGGGUUGCUCUUCGUUUGGUCGGGCUAACAAUGAUCCAUUCUGCAUCACAUUGCUUCUUCCAUAACUUGAAUUCCCACCGCCAAUUAGGGCCACCAUACCCCCAAAGAUGAAAGUAACACUUAAAACUUGAGCAUUUGUACGAGCGUAAAUCCAGAAUGUAGAAGCCAACUUGCUGGCAAGAGACCUUGAAGGAGAAAACCGAGUCCGCAACUUGGGAAACCCUAAGUUCUAUGGCGGAACCUCCAAUAGCUGAUUCAAUCGCAGCAGCGACAGAUUCCUCAGAGAGGCGGAAAGCAUGGCGGCCAAAAGAGGCAACCAUUGUGAAAGAGCGAUGAUGUUUCGAUGGAUGCACCGGAAAGCCAGAGAUGCGAUAAACCUCAUCCGCGAAAGCCAAAUUAGGAGAAAAGUCCAGAUCCAAAGUGGAGCCAGCCAUGCAAGCCAUGGAGAACCACGUAAAGGUGGGGUGCUAAGGUUCACCUGAUAAGAUGAGCUGAUGACGAGGAUCAAACACCGGCUAGAGGUCCAAAUCGCCAUGGAGUCACCGAGGUGGGAGGUGGGGGAGGUGGGAGUCGCCACCAUCCGGGUUAGGUAACACUUGCCUGCAUAGUUUGCUUGUUUUUAUGAUCCCAUGGAUUUUAUUGGGGGGUAUAAGCUAUGGAUAAGUUAGAAUACAGUAACUUAUGCUAAAAUAAAAUAAGACUCAACUUAUAACAACACCUGAAAGUAUUUGAUAUGUUGCUUAUACUAACGGAUCUCACGAAGUUUUGUUGAGUUUUAUGUGAUUGAAGUUUUCAAGUUUUGGGUAUUAUCCCGAUGGACAAAGGAUUGAGAAGCAGAAAAAUCCUAAGCUUGGGGAUGCAAAAUUCAUCCUAGGGUAAUAUUCUAGGAAUACUCAAGCAUCUAAGCUUGGGGAUGCCCCGGAAGGCAUCCCCUCUUUUCGUCUCAAUCCAUCGGUAUGUCACUUGGAGCUCCAUUUGUAUUCAUCGCAUGAUAUGAGUUUUGCUUGGAUCAUCGUCUGCUUUUGUUUUCUUUUAAUUUUAGUUUGCCACAAUCAUCGUUUGCUGGACACACCUCUCUGAGAGAGUUACCACAUCAUCACGAUUUGUUUCAACACUUUAUGUGCUUCACUUAUAUCUUUUGAGCUUAGCAAUUGCUCUAGUGCUUCACUUAUAUAUUAUUGAGCAUGGUGGCGUGUAGAUUUUUAUAGAAAUAAUAUGCUCUUGUUCUUCACUUAUAUUUUUUUGAGACUUCAAUAAAUAGUGAUGGAAAUUUGCAUGGGUCAUAAGACUAGAUAAAAAAUAAUGGGUGCUCAAUGAGUGAUAAUUAAAACCAUCAUGUAGCACAUAUGGAGAAAUUAUGGGUUAAUGAUACUGAUGUGGUGAUAUGAAAAAGGUGUGAGUGCAUUAUUAUUAAUUCACAUAGGUGUUGAUAUAAAGAGAUGUUAAACUUCUAGUUCAUCUAAAAAAAUAAAAGGGCAUGGUGAUGAUGUGUGAGCACUUCUAUUCCUGGUUGAAAGCGCAACUUCUCCCUAAGGUGGUUUUGGUAAUUAAUAACAACAUAUGUGUCAUUGAACUAGUGAUCUUACCCAAGUAUAUUUCAGAAAAGUUCAAACAUGCAUUGGCUAAGGAUUAUGAGGAGAACCCCUUGAUGCAAGUAAAGGAAUAGGAUUGGCCAAGCUUCAAGCUACAAGACUCUACAUUUUAUAUUUGUGAGAAAUCACAUUUGAGUCCAUAGGAAAUCUAAUACUAUUAAAAGAGGGGUGAGCCAUCUAUGAUGAAUUACUUGCUCAAGUGCUUAGAGAUAGCCACCAAAAAUAAUCAUCCAUUCUCCUAGAAAUGUUCUCUCUCCAAAGCUUAAACAUCAAAAUUGAUACCACCAAGAUUUUCUAUUUGGACCUGCCGAUUUUCCACUAGACAAAACCUUUGCCAACACCUAGAAUCUCGGUACCACCAACAUUCCGUUCGGUGCCACCGAAAACCAGUGACCAAGUUUUUGGUAUGUAGUUUUCAAGAAUCAGAAAUUCUGAGUCUUGGAAUCUGUCUCUCCAAGAUUUGGAAACUUCCCUAGGUCACCAUAUCGGUGCCAUCGAGAUUCCUAUAUUGGUCUCACGAGAAUUCUAAAGUUGCCACAUUUUGUGCAAAUCGGUGCCACCGAGAUUCACUUCGGUUUCAUUGAGUUGGGGAAUAGUCUUGUAGCGAUUGGAUUUUGGGAGAUGCUUAUAUAUACCUAUCCACCACCUCCAUUCAAAGAUGAAGCACUCAGAACACACCAACACUUGCCAUAUCCAUUUUUGUGAGCGAGAGCCACCUACUCAUGUGUUGAGAUCAAGAUAUUCCAAUCCAUCCAUAUGAAACUUGAUCUCUAGCCUCGCAAAGUUGCUUUCCAACCAAUCAAUCUCUUCUACCCAUGCCAAAUUCGUGAGAGAGUGAUUGAGUGCUGAGGAGACUAUCUUUUGAAGCACAAGAGCAAGGAGUUCAUCAUUCUAACACAUAUAUUACCUUUUGGAGGUGGUGCCUCCUAGAUUGGUUAGGUGUCUCUUGGGAGCCUCCUACUUCGUGUUGUGGAGUUGAACCAAGAAGUUUGUAAGGGCAAGGAGAUCGCCUACUUCACAAAGAUCUACCCUGAGUGAGCUAGUCCAUCGUGGGUGUAAGCAAUGAUGGAAUAGACAAGGUUGCUUCUCCUUCGACCCUGUGUGGGUUGAGACCUCCAUGGACAUGAGUGGCCAUUACCCGCCGUGGGUUCAAGUCUCCAUCAAUGUGGACGUACGAUAGCACCACCUAUCGGAACCACGCCAAAAAUUGAUGUGUCAACCUUUGCGUUGGAUCUUCCUAUCCCUACCCUCUACUUACAUGUGCAUGUCAUUAUUUUCCGCUGAUAUACUAUUAGACUUGCAUGUGUAGGGUGUGCUUGACUUACUACAACUUGUAAAACUUGCCCACAACUAAAAUUGGGAAAAGGCUAAGUUUUUAUUUGGUCAAGUAGUCUAAUUACCCCCCCCCCCCCGCUCUAUACAUACUUCGGAUCCUAUAAGUGGUAUUAGAGCUUUGGUCUCCAUUGCAUUGGUUUCACAACCUAUGAGAGUAUGGCGUUUAGUGAGGGAAAUUAGCAUCGUAGAGCUCCAAAUUUUGAUGGUACAAACUUUGCUAGUUGGAAGCAUAAUAUGAAGAUGCGUAUUCUUGGUCAUAACCCUGUUGUUUGGCUUGUUGUUCAUGUUGGUUUGCAAGGUGAAUUCUUUGGUGAUGGAAAGGAACCAGAUCGUGAAACGACUACGAAAUAAUUGAAGAUGUUUAAAUACAACACUCAAGCAUGUGAAAUUAUGUUCAACUGCAUAUGCCCUGAAGAGUUCAACAAGAUUAGCUGUAUUGAGAACGCCAAGGAAAUUUGGGACACUUUGAUUGAUAUGCAUGAAGGUACUGAAUCUGUCACGGAAUCUAAGUUGGGUGUGCUACAAAGUCAGCUUGACAAGUUCAAGAUGAAGAAUGGUGAAUGGGUCAUUAAGAUAUACUCUAGGCUUGCUCUCAUCACAAAUGAGAUUGUCCGCUUAGGACACGAAGAUAUGACCGACAGAUUCAUCAUCACAAACAUACUUAGAUACAUGGGUGGGAAAUAGGAAACCGUGUGUACAUUGAUCCAAAUUAUACCAAACUACAAAGAUCUCAAGCCAACGAAAGUCAUUGGAAGGAUUGUCUGUAAUGUCACUCAAGGACAAAGAAAAGUUGCACAACAAGUCAAGCGGUGCUUACAAAGCUUCAAGUGAUGCUCCCACUACUUCAAAUGACAACCUUGUCACCAAUGAAGACAUAAGCCUCAUGGUCAAUAAAUUCAAAAAGUUCUACAAGAGUAGAGGCAAAGAGAGAAGCUCCAACUCAAGAUAUGAAGAGAAGCGUUCAUCUAGUUGUGACCGGAACUGCUACAAUUGUGGAAGGCCCAGACACUACUCCAAUGAGUGGUCCCCCCCCCACAGAAGAAGAGAAGAGUCACCUAGAAUACGAAUCUCAAAAGAAGAGUCACCUCGAAGAAAGAGAAGGAGUAGAGAAGAUCCUUAUGAACAAAGAUCCUUAUAAUUUCAGAUCUAUAAACCAAAAAUACCCAAAAAAAUGUUGCCAUUUAUUUACUUUUGUUUUACUUUUAGUUCUAGCAAUCUUUUAUCUAUCUCUAUGAUAUCUCAUCCUUGCAAAUAAAUGUGAAGGGAUUGACAACCCCUUUUUAGCGUUGGGUUCAAGUGUUUGAUUAUUUGUGUAGGUGCUAAGAUUGGGGCCUUGCUUGUUCCUCCUACUGGAUUGAUACCUUGGUUCUCAACAAACCGAGGGAAAUACUUAUCUACUUUGCUGCAUCAUCCUUUCCUCUUCAAGGGAAAACCAAUGCAAGCUCAAGAAGUAGCAUCAGCCUAUUUGUUUAUGGACGUGAUGCCUAUAUACACAUGAUCAUUGCCGUGAAAAUCGCAUAACUAUCCGCUUUUCUGUCAAUUGUCCAAAGGUAAUUUGUUUACCCAUCGUAUGCUAUUUUUCAUGAGAAUGACAUUAGGGAAAACUAUGGCCCCUGGGUCUAUUCACAACAUAUAUAAAAAACCUUCAAUACCUUGUUGUCAUUUAUUUGUUUUCAUUUUAUAUUUCUAUCAGCAAUUAUCUACACACCCUACUCGCUUGCAAAUAACAAGAACAAGAGGAUUGACAACCCUCUUGCCCGCGUUGGGUGCAAGUUGUUUGUUCUUUUGUGUGCAGCCGCUGAAGACGGUUGUGGUUGACAUUCCCAUUGGUUCGAUAAACCUUGGUUUCAUAACUCAGAGAAAUACUUACCCAUAUUGUGCUACGAUAACUCAUUCCUCUUCACGGAAUAUCUAACGCAGAUCACAAGUAUCAGUGGACACCACCAACGAUGAAAAGGUGUGCAAUGCCACAGGCUUGGCUUGUCGGAAUCUUGUGGACAUCCAACGCCAGUAUAGGGUCUUGGGCGGCAAGGAGAAGCAUAAGGACUCCCUGGUUGACCUCUCCAUGGAAAUCAUUGACCCCUACUAUAGAGUCAUGAAGGGUUUUUGGAAAGAAGAAGGUUGCGUAGCAUCUCGCCUAGGUUCGAGGACUAGAUGAAGAUCACAUCAAGUACGGGGCCAAGGAUACGUAUGUAAGAUAUGAGAUGUGCAGGCGGAUUGUUGACAUGAGGAAGUGCAUCUGUGUUGCGUCGAUCGGCACCCCUCGUCACAAGAAGUAUAGAUGAUUUCAUGAUCGUUACUACUUGUUUAGUAUGCAUGUACUUUUAAAUUGAGGCGUGCAAAUGUUAUGCGUAGUCAGUCUAUAAUGUAAUUGGAUGUUUAUUUUGGUUAUGCGAUAAUGUUGUUGUUUUGUAGAUAGAGAAAAUCACAUUUCUUACUAUUAAAGAAAGGAACACGUCGGUCGUGAUUUCAACAAUCACGGACAAUUGGGUGCGAGCAAGUGCUUGCCCAUGGCACACAGAGUUUAUUCUCAGGAAUCAUCUAUAUUUGUAUCGGUCAUCUAACACAACCCCGAUUACUAACCUGUUUGCCGAGUAUAACACACAUCUUGUUAGGCCGAAUCAUUUCUGGUACUUUUAAUUAUCGCAAACAGUUCGUCCGAGCGACCUAUUUGUCGGGUAUCACACACAACUUCAGACGUCGAAACAGUUGUGUUAUUUUGGCUCGUCAUAAAUAGUUCAUCCGGGUGAACCAUAUACCAACAAUCGCACACAUCUUGAUAUGUGCAACCGUUUGUGUUAUUUUUCAUCAUCGCAAAUAGUUCAUGACGGUGAACCAUAUGACGUACAUCGCACACAUCUGUAUUUGGUACCUGUUUGUCUUAGUUUUUUUCUCAUCCCAAACAUAUCGUAAAUGUCGACUGUAUGCCAUGUAUCCCACAUGCAACUUUUAUCUGAAUUGUGCUUGAUGGACCAGACAUCGCACACAGUACAUUCUAUUGGUGACGUAUAUAGCAUUAUACCGUUUGUGAUCCAUGCAUUGCACACAGUUUCGUCAAAGGGUCUCAGAUGCAUGUGUCGUCUUAGGACCAUCCUGCAGUAGUGUACUAGUUAGACUUUUAGAAGUUGUGGGUUUUAUGAUAUAUUUGUUUUGGUCAAAAUUUUAGAAUUUUCAUUCAAUGUUGGAAUUUCUUCAUAAAACCACCGCCUCACAUGAAGUUGCUAGAGCAUAGUACACCUUGCAUUGACCAAAAUUUAGUUAGUAUUAGCAAAGUGAAAGCCUGUGAUCUUAGAGCUGAAGAUCUGAUAUUUUGGAAAUCAUGAGAUGUAGUGAAUGUGAGUUAUUUAGCCAAGGUGUGUGUGGGGGGGGGGGGGUGUUGGCUUGGUCUUUCGAUGUUGGCACGCCCACCCAUCGAGAAGUUUUUCAAACAAAACUUCACUACUCUCCAAGGUGUAUCAUACAUGGAAGGCUUCUAAUAGGAGUCAUCAAAAAAUGUCCCCAAAUCAAAUAUACAAACUAUGGGAUAUAAUGUAACAUCCCAAAUUUUCAAUUCAGAAUGUUAUACAAUAGAUCAUCUUUGCAUAUCAUAUUUUAUUGCAUUCUUGGUUGAUCCUAGAAAUUCUACGCAACUCAAGGACCCGCGGAGAGAGUUGGGAAUUUCAUUAUUUUUCAUAAUUGAGUUUUCCAAAAUUUUGAAAAGAGGAUCGUUCGGUUUUAAUUAUUUUCUCUUCAAAUAUUUCUAAAUAUGAAAUAAAAUAGAAGGGAUAAAAUGACUUCCCCAAAAUAAAAGAAAUAUUGGAGGAAAAUAUUAAAAUCAAAUAAGAAUUGUAUUCGGAGUUUUAUUGCUAUUUUAUUAGAAUUAGAAUGCGUUUUUCAAAAUUGCAUUAUACUCCCAAAUGCGUUUUUCAAAAUUGCAUUAUACUCCCAAAUGCGUUUUUCACAAAUGCUUUUCCAAAAUUGCAUUAUACCCCAAAUAAAUGUUUACCUUGUCCGUUAUAUUUUUAGAGGACGGGGAAAAUUUAUUUCACGCUUUUUGGAGUCCGUUUGAUAUUUCUUUUUAUUUAUCUUCUGCGCGUCGGAAUUAUUUAAGAAAAAAAGUCAAACCGUUUAAACGGGUCGUGUCCGACCGGGACUAUCCCGUCGGCCUUUAUAAGCCCAGCCGGGGCGACCCAAACCCUAAUCCUAGCCGCGCCCAGCCGCCCCAUCCGCCCAGCCGCCUCGCCGUCGACCCCGCCCCGAGGUAGCCGGUUUUAAAAAAACUAUAUUUAUUUUUUUAGAUUGGUUUUAUUAUUAUUAUUCCCGGUUUAUUUAAAUAGCGGACGUUCGUCCGUACGUUCAUUUUAACGAACGAUGUUCAUCCGUUAGCCGCAGACAGCGAACGUUCGUUCGUUAGCCUGUUCGUCAGUUUUUCUUUUUCCAGGGAUUUUCCGCGAUUAUUUUCAAUCGCGAUUUCUGCCGUGAUCUUCGUUUUAGUUUAUGUUUUCGCUCGAUUGUUGGAAUUUGGUGAUUCAAACACCGAGAUCUUCAUCUCGAAACCCUCUUUCUGUUUAACCAGGGGAACAACAGCAACAACCCACCACCACCACCACCUAUUGAUCACUUAGCUCGUUUCUUAAGGCUAAAUCCGCCGGUGUUCUCCAGUAGCACCGAGCUGAUUGUUGCAAAUGAUUGGCUCCGCAAGAUUGGAAGAGAGCUGAACACUGCAGGAUGCACAGAUGUGGAGAGAGUGUGUUUUGCUGCACAUCAGCGAGAUGGACCCGCAGCAUCAUGGUGGGAGAAUUUCACAGUCACUUACCCCAUCAAUAGUGUCACAUGUGACCAGUUUCAGCAAGCUUUUCGCAUCGCCCAUGUUUCAGCAGGAGCUAUGGCCAUGAAGAAGCGCGAGUUUCGCAACUUGCGCCAAGGAGGACGCACAGUGGGGCCAGUAUGUGGAUGAUUUUAGUAAGUUAGCACGUUAUGCCCCGGAUGAUGUCACUACAGAUGCUGCUAAGCACGAGAAAUUCCUGGAAGGACUGAAUGAUGAGCUGAGCAUGCAGUUGAUGGUAGAAACCUUCAACAACUACCAGGAGUUGGUAGAUAGAGCUCUCAUGAUUGAAGGGAAGCAGCAGCAGAUUGACAACCGCAAGAGGAGGUAUGGACAAGGGAAGUACAACUCAGGAACUCAACAGAGGCCCCGUUUUACCCCGAACUCGGGAGGACACAUUCACCAUAACCAUGGAGGCCAUCAGUCCAAUGGAGGGAGUUCGCAUAAUCAUAAUGGCCCCAAGAAUGGGAAUGGGAAUGGAGGAAGCAACGUACAGAACCGUUCCAACCCAGCAACACCCGCCAAGAAGAAUCUAAGUCACAUUACUUGUUUCAAGUGCGGGAAGAAUGGACAUUACGCCACGGAGUGUUCUGAAACAAAGAAUGGGAAUGGCAAUGGAAGCUCUGGGAAGAAGCCCAACCCUUUCAAUAGGGGACAAGUGAACCACGUUAGCGUGGAGGAGGUUGAAGCGCAACCCGAUGCAGUAAUAGGUAAGUUUUUGGUUAAGUCAUUUACUGCAAUCGUUCUUUUCGAUACUGGUGUCGCAUUCAUACAUAUCAAGGGGAUUUGUGGAUAAAUAUAACCUGCCAACCCAAGCCCUUAGGUCACCCAUGUUAGUAACCUUGCCAGGAGCAGAGUACAUGGCUAGCCUAUGGUGUGAUCGGUUACCAUUAAGGAUUGGUAACUAUGUGUUCCCCUUAGACCUAAUAGUAUUAGAGUCACAAGGACUGGAUGUAAUAUUAGGCAUGGAUUGGUUAUCAAAGUAUGGAGGGAACAUUGACUGCGUCAGUAAGUCGAUUUUGCUCACCACCCCAGAAGGAAGAAGGAUUAAGUAUGUAUCCCGGCAUGUGCCGAAGAGAACUCAAGUAAACUCCUUAUCAGGAGUGGUACAGGAGGAAGUACCAGUGGUGAAGGAUUUCUCUCAUGUAUUCCCAGAGGAGUUGCCAGGCAUGCCACCGGAUAGAGACAUUGAGUUUUUUAUUGAGCUUUUGCCAGGCACAGGGCCAAUAUCUAAGAGACCGUAUCGGAUGCCCGCAAAGGAUUUGGAAGAAAUUAAGAAGCAGAUUAAGGAGUUACUGGAUAAAGGCUAUAUUCGCCCAAGUUCGUCACCUUGGGGCUCACAAGUGCUUCUAGUGGAGAAGAAGGAUGGAUCGUUGAGAAUGGUUGUUGAUUGUCGAGGAUUGAAUGAAGUGACAAUCAAAAACAAGUAUCCACUGCAGAUGAUCAAUGAUUUUUUUGACCAGUUGCAAGGGGCUAAAGUAUUUUCCAAGAUCGAUGUGCGAUCAGGAUACCACCAGCUGAAGAUUCGAGACCAGGAUAUACCGAAGACAGCUUUUACCAUAAGUUAUGGGCUAUAUGAGUAUACCGUUAUGUCAUUUGGUCUGACUAAUGCACCUGUCUAUUUCAUGAACAUGAUGAACAAGGUGUUUAUGGAGUUUUUGGAUAAGUUCGUUGUGGUGUUCAUUGAUGAUAUUCUGGUCUACUCAAAGAAUGAAGAGGAGCAUAAGGAGCAUUUGCGUUUGGUACUUGGGAAGCUCAGAGAACAUCAGUUAUAUGCCAAGUUCAGCAAGUGUGAGUUUUGGUUGAAGGAAGUUGGUUUCCUCGGACACGUUAUAUCUGGGGAAGGAAUAGCAGUAGACCCCACCAAAGUUGUCACAAUGACUAAUUGGGAAUCACCCACGUUAGUUGGAGAGAUCCGGAGUUUUCUUGGACUCGCAGGAUACUACCGGAGGUUCAUUGAGAAUUUCUCUAAGAUUGCAAAGCCCAUGACGGAGUUGUUGAAGAAAGGCACCAAGUUCAAAUGGACUGAGGAGUGUGAAGCCAGUUUUCAGGAGUUGAAGAAACGCUUGGUUACCGCCCAAGUGUUGAUUCCCCAGAUCAACUCAAGGAAUUAUCAAGUGUAUUGCGACGCUUCUCGUCAACGACUUGGAGCAGUGCGGAUGCAGGAUGGAAGAGUUGUUUCAUAUGCCUCACGACAGCUUGAAACCCAUGAGUUGGACUAUGCUACCCACGAUUUGGAGUUAGCAGCCAUAGUGCAUGCAUUGAUGACAUGGAGACAUUUUCUCAUCGGAAACCACUGUUAAGUGUACACGGAUCACAAGAGUUUGAAGUAUAUUUUCGCGCAGAAGGAGUUGAAUCUCAGACAGAGGAGAUGGUUGGAGCCCAUCAAGGAUUAUGAUAUGAGGUUGCACUAUCAUCCCGGAAAGGCUAAUGUAGUAGCCGAUGCGUUGAGUCGCAAGAUUCAUGUCAAUACACUCAUGACCAGAGGAUUACCCGAGGAGUUAGCAGAAGAUCUUCGCGAGCUAUGUUUGGAAAUAGUUCCGAAAGGUUAUGUAGCAGCAUUGGAAAUUCAGUCUACCCUGAUGGAUAAGAUCAGAGAGGCUCAGAAGACUGACAAAGAGAUUGCCGAGAUAAAGGAAAUGAUGAGCAAAGGAAAGGCUAAAGGAUUUCGUGGGGAUGAGCACGAUACCUUAUGGUUUGAGGAUCGCGUAUAUGUGCCUAAUGACCCCGAGAUCAGGAAGUUGAUUCUGUAGGAGGCCCAUGCUUCGCCGUAUUCGAUUCACCCAGGAAAUACCAAGAUGUAUCUAGAUUUGAAGGAUAGUUUCUGGUGGACCGGAAUGAAGAAGGAUAUUGCGGAGUAUGUAGCAGUUUGUGAUGUAUGUCAGAGAGUGAAGGCAGAGCAUCAGAAGCCAGCGGGUUUACUACAGCCAUUGUCGAUACUUGAAUGGAAGUGGGACAAGCUAGGCAUGGAUUUUAUCACGGGAUUACCCAGGACUUGUUCAGGCUACGACUCGAUUGGGUUGUAGGUGAUCGUUUGACGAAGGUAGCUCAUUUCAUUCUAGUAAAGACCACUUACAACAGUGCUAAGUUGGCAAAGAUAUACAUGACCAGGAUCGUAUGUCUGCAUGGAGUUUCGAGGACCAUUGUAUCACAUAGAGGAACUCAGUUUACCUCAAAGUUCUGGAAUCAGUUGCAUGAAACCUUGGGUACCAGGCUAGAGUUUAGUACAACCUUUCAUCCACAGACAAAUGGACAGACCGAGAGAGUCAAUCAGACUCUCGAGGACAUGUUGAGAGCUUGUGCGCUAGAUUAUGGAUCUAGUUGGGACGAAAAUUUGCUGUAUGCAGAGUUCUCUUACAACAACAGCUAUCAAACCAGUUUGAAGAUGGCCCCUUUCGAAGCCUUGUACGGAAGGAGGUGCAGGACACCGUUGUUAUGGGAUGAGGUUGGAGACCGUCAGUUGUUUGGACCAGAUUUGAUUAAAGAGUCUGAAGAGAAGGUUAAGUUGAUUCGUGGUAGACUCAAGGUAGCCCAGUCCACGCAGAAGAGCUAUGCGGAUUCAAAACGCAAGGAGACAGUUUAUGAAGUCGAAGACAGAGUCUAUCUUUGAGUGUCCCCACUUCGAGGAGUUAAGCGUUUUGGAGUUAAGGGAAAGUUAGCACCACGUUUUGUGGGACCAUACAAAGUUUUGGAGCGUAUGGGAGAAGUUGCUUACAGGUUGGAAUUGCCAGAAGGAUUGUCAGGAGUUCAUGAUGUUUUCCACGUUUCCCAGUUGAAGAAGUGCCACGCAGAGAUGGUCGAUAUUCCUCUGAGAGGUACAGUGCCACUAGAAGUGAUUCAAUUGGAUAGCGAUUUGACUUACGAGGAGAAACCACUGAAGAUUCUCAAGUUUGCCAGCCGAGUCACGCGCACCAAGGUUACCAAGUUCUGCAAAGUUCAGUGGAGCCACCAUACCGAGGAUGAAGCCACCUUGGAACGAGAGGAAUACCUACGGAAGGAUCACCCGCACCUAUUCUCUAGCCAAACCGAAUCUCGAGGGCGAGAUUCAUCUUAAGGGGGGUGGGUUCGUAACAUACCAAAUUUUCAAUUUGGAAUGUUAUACAAUAGAUCAUCUUUGCAUAUCAUAUUUUAUUGCAUUCUUAGUUGAUCCUAGAAAUUCUACGCAACUCAAGGACCCACGGAGAGAGUUGGGAAUUUCGUUAUUGUUCAAAAUUGAAUUUUCCCAAAUUUUGAAAAGAGGAUCAUUUGUUUUUAAUUAUUUUCUCUUCAAAUAUUUCUAAAUAUGAAAUAAAAGAGAAGGGAUAAAAUGGCUUCCCCAAAAUAAAAGAAAUAUUGGAGGAAAAAUAUAAAAAUCAAAUAAGAAUUUUAUUCGAAGUUUUAUUGCUAUUUUAUUUGAAUUAGAAAAAAAAAUGCGUUUUUUAAAAUUGCAUUAUAGUCCCAAAUAAAUGUUCACCUUAUCCGUUAUAUUUUUAGAGGACGGGGAAAUUUUAUUUCAGGAUUAUUGGAAUCCGUUUGAUAUUUCUUUUUAUUUAUCUUCUGUGUGUCGGAAUUAUUUAAAAAAAUCAAACCAUUUAAACGGGUCGUGUCCGACCGGGACUCUAUCCCGUUGGCAUUUCUAAGCCUAGCCGGGGCGCCCCAAACCCUAACCCUAGCCGCGCCCACCCGCGCCGCCUCGUCGCUGAACCGCCUCGCCGUCGACCCCGCCCCGAGGUAGCCGGGUUUUUUUAAUAAAAAAACCAUAGAUUUAUUUUUUUAGAUUGGAUUUAUUAUUUUUAUUCCCGAUUUAUUUAAAUAGCGGAUAUUCGUCCGUACGUUCGUUUUAACGAACGAUGUUCAUCCUUUAGCCGCAGACAGCGAACGUUCGUUCGUUAGCCUGUUCGUCAGUUUUUCUUUUUCCAGGGAUUUUCCGCGAUUAUUUUCGAUCGCGAUUUCUGCCCUGAUCUUCGUUUUAGUUUAUCUUUUCGCUCGAUUAUCGGAAUCUGUUGAUUCAAACGCCCAGAUCUUCGUCUCGAAACCCUCUUUCCGUUUAAUCAACUUGAACAAGAUUUUUGUACAGUGAAAUUUGACUCUAGUCCAGAUUAGUAAGAGAAUCUCGUUUCUUUCGCAGUUUGAGUUUCGUUGCUUCGUUUGUUUUGAUUCUUUUUGCCAACCGGAGUUCUUCAAUUGAACUUUCUGGUUAGAUCUCUUAUUUGAGUUUUACCCAUGCAUCUAGUUUGAGUGCUUAUGUGUGUUAUUGUUUGUUUACGAUAGAGUACCCGGAGUGCGAAGCGUACUACUACGAGUUUCUAGGUUUUGCGGAUCAUCAGCAAGGCAAGUAACACUUUGAUCAUACCUCUUACUAACUAGUUUUAUUGCAUUAGAUCAACCCUCAAACAUUGCAUGGUUAGGAUCUGUUUAACAUGUGAGUUUCGGGAAGUAGAUUGAGGUAGAACCUAUUGUCCUGUUUAUUAUCAAACCUUUGGGAUUUACUUCUACAUUAUGCUUAUAUUGCUAUGCUAUGCUCGUAGACGUGGAUUGGGUGAGUGUAUCCAUGACAGAUGUGAGUAUUGUUAAUUAAUGGUUCACUUAAGGUGGCUACUUAAAAUAACAUCUGGGUGGAUUGCUUGAGGCACCCUGGGGUACCCAGUGGUUGUGAGGGCACCUGGAGAAAUCCAAUGUGGUCCUAGGAUAUCCCGGAGUAACCGUGUGAUCAUCCUACGGUCCGCCACCCAGGCUCAAAGGGAUCAUAAGAUUAUUCAUUCUAGAAACUUUCGUGUGCAGCCACAAGCCAAUAUGGGCUCUGGCAUGGUUGAGUAAGUUGCGUGAAACUCUUGAAGCGGUAGACUAGCAGAUGUAGUGGGUUGUAGGUGGUACGGUCUACCCAGAGUAGAGAGUUAAUGCUUCAGAAAGACUGUGUCUCGAAUCUCCGACCAUGGAUGUAUUCGAGUCUUCUGGGAAAAGUUCGCAAACCUCUCUAGAGUGUACAAACUAAUCAUGGUUAGCCGUGUCCCCGGUUAUGGACAUCUUGAGUAUCUGGUUCUUGGAUUAUCAUGUUGAUCUCAUCACUCUAAAUUAAUUUGUUGGGUUAGUGAUGAUGCUUAAUUGUGAUUGAGUUGGAGGAACCUUCUCAAUGUUUAACAACAACCAUGAUAGUUAAAUAAAACUUAUUACUUUGUGGUAGGGUAAAGAUUGGCUUUAUGCAAAACUGUUAACUAUAGAGCUUUCCACCAGCCAUAUAUGCAUGUAGAUAUAGCAUUUAUUCUGUUCAUUACUCUAUGUGUUACAUUGUCAGCAUAUUCCAUGUGCUGACCCGUUUUGGGCUGCAACAUUUCAUGUUGCAGACUUUUCAGACGUUGAGUAAGGUGCCAUAGGUCGUUGUCUUUCACUCAGCUAUGUCGUUGGAGUUGAUGGACUCACUUUAUCUUCCAAGCCUUCCGCUGUUAUCGUUUUUAGAUGGCCUUAAGCCAUAUUAUUGUAAUAAGUUCUCUUUUGAGACAUUCGAUGUAAUGAAGUGUGUGAUUGAAACUCUGUUAUAAAUCCUCAAGUACUAUGCGUGUCAGCAUUACUGAUCCAGGGAUGACACGGAUGCAUAGAGACUAGACUGUUUGAGGUCUAGUCGCUACAUAUAAAUAGGUGGUAUAUAUGACGCAAUAUGUCGGUUUAGUAUAGUCCUACAAAUUGAUGUAUUAUUGUUAACUUGUAAGGAGACUUUUGUGUUGUUAUCACUACUAAACACACAAAGACUGUAAAUAGUAAAUUAUACCAAGAACCAAUGAUGUCCAUCGCUCCCUUGCCUCAUCCACCUAAAUUCUAAAGAAAUAGGAACGUCGAGUAUCCAUGUUAUAGUUGUCAAAUUAUAGGGGGCACUGCCUUUCUAAACCAUUACCACCUCCCUGUACACACACGUGUUUCUUUCUAUUCCGCGCAAAUAUUAAUUACCUUCCAAAUACAUCAUUAUCCUCUUCCAUUUCUAUCGAGCUUUCAGUUAGAUUGAAAUACGCCCCUCUAGCACAAUUGCCAAUUCACGGGUUUCAUGUAGUCUUAUUCCAAAUCGUGGGCAUCGCCUCCCCUCCCCCUCAUCUUCGGUGAGGACAGCGUGAUAGUCCCAAGCCCACCAUCGAAUUGUUUUUCAUUUUGUGGUCACUCCACCAAUAUUUCUUUCUACACUUCCCCCGCGAGUCUUAUCACCACUGAUGGUGCCUUCCCUUUCGAGGUGAUUGAUGACUUCAAAGUUCUAGAUCUAGGCAUCGAUGGUGUCCUCCCUCUUCAUGAACGCAAGGUUUAUUUCCGAGUGAUUGCCAGAUUCAAAGUUCUAGAUCUACGCAUCGAUGGUUUCCUCCCACUUCAUGACCAUGAGAUUUAUUUCCGGGUGAUUGCCAGAUUCAAAGUUCUAGAUCUAAGCAUUGAUGGUGUCCUCCCUUUGCAUGCCCGUGAGGGUUAUUUCCAGGUAAUUGAUGUGUUCAAAGUACUAUAUCUAAGCAUCGAUUGUGGCCUCCCUCUUCAAGACGGUGAGGAUUAUUUCCAGGUGAUUGACGGAUUAAAAGUUCUAGAUCUAAGCAUCCAUGGUGUCCUCCCUCUUCAGGAACGUGAGCACUAUUUCGAGGUGAUUGGCGGAUUACAAGUUCUAGAUCUAAGCAUUUAUGGUUCUCCCCCUCUUCAUGACCGUGGGGAUUAUUUCCAGGUGACUUUCAGAUUCAAAGUUCUAGAUCUAAGCAUCGAUUCUAUCCCCCCUCUUCAUGAUCCUGGGGGUUAUUUCCAUGUGAUUGUAGGAUUGAAAGUUCCAGAUCUAAGCAUUAAUGGUCUCCUUCAUCUUCAUGACUGCGAGGGUUAUUUCCAGGUGACUGCCGGAUUCAAAGUUCUAGAUCUAAGCAUCGAUGGUAUCCCCCCUCUUCAUGACCGUGGUGAAUAUUUUUAGGUGAUUGCCGGAUUGAAAGUACCAGAUCUAAGCAUCGAUGGUAUCCUUCAUCUUCAUGAUCACGAGGGUUAUUUCUAGGCGAUUGUCGGAUUCAAAGUUCUAGAUCUAAGCACCGAUGGUAUCCCCCUCUUCAUGAACGCGGGGAUUAUUUCCAGGUGAUUGCCCAAUUCAAAGUUCUAGAUCUAAGCAUCAUAGUUUAGAGUUUAGGAAUUUGUCAAAAUAGUUAAUAACUAGCUAAUAAUGAUGUCCUUUCUCUUCAUGACCUUGGGGGUUAUUUCCAGGUGAUUGCUAGAUUCAAAGUUCUAGAAGCACCGGUGGUGCCAUUCAUCUUCAUCAACGUGAGGGUUAUUUCCACGUGAUUGUGAGAUCCAAAGUUCUAGAAACAUCGAUCGUGUCCUUCAUCUUCAUGAACGUGAGGGUUAUUUCAGGUGAUUCAUGACUGUGAGGGUUAUUUCAAGGUGCUUGUCGGAUUCAAAGUUCUAGCAUCGUAGUUUGGAGUUUACGGAUUUGUUACAAAUAGCUAGUAAGUGUAUUCCUAAUAAUGGUGUCCUUCCUCUUCAGGACCGUGUGGAUUACUUCUAGGUGAUUGUCAAAUUCAAAGUUCUAGAUCUAAGCAUUGAUGGUGUCCUUCAUGUGCAUGACCAUGAGGGUUAUUUUCCACGUGAUUGUCGGAUUCAUAGUUCUAGAUAUAAGAAUUGAUGGUGUGCUCCCUCUUCAGGACCUUGAGGGUUAUUUCGAGGUAAGUGUUGAACGAAAAGUUCUAUAUUUUUGCAAGAAAUAUUGGUUAAAGUAUUUAUGUUAUUUUUUCUACAUCUGAAUUGAAAUCUUGUAUGUCCCAAGGUUCUAAGAAAGUGGGGCUGGGAAGGGAGGGGCGUGUGAUAGGUAUGUUGGAGGGUUUGUGGAGUAGAAUAGACUCGGCAUCGAUACUAGAGAAAUCAAGUGGUUGAUAGUGCGAUAAUGUUUUUUCAAUAGUGGAGGGUCACUCUUCGCAUGCAUAUGGGCUCUCUGGUUGGAUACCCCAUCCAGCACAACAUCCUCUUGCACCAUUGAAUCAUCUCAUCUUGGGAUCUCCUCUGUCACUAUCUUUCUCUAAGAUUUACACUCGGUGGUGUGACGACUAGUAAUACAGACAAUGAUACCCCUUAUGUAUGUAAAUUCAAGGAGAAUGUUAGUUCUUUCAUUGUUGUUUUUUUCUUUUUGAAAGAGUUGGGACGCUCAUCAUCUCCUCAAAUAGUAGUUCCCUCGACGUGUCGCAUUUUUAUUAGUCGGGGAAUCCUUUCAUUGGGCGUCGGCAUAAAGAUCUAGAUCUUUUUCUUUUUGAAAGAGUUGGGAUGCUCAUCGUUUCCUCAAAUAGUAGUUCCCUUCAAUGUGUCGCACUUUUCUAUUAGUCGGGGAAUCCUUCCAUCGGGCGUUGGCAUAAAGAUCUAGAUCUUCAAAUAACAUUGAACAGACAUGUGCCAAGUGUACCUUCUCUAUCUCCUUCAUGGCUGGUUUUUAUUCAAAGAAAUUUUAGAGGGUUUUGAGAGUAUUUGGAUCCUUUGGAAAUUUCCUGCAUUGAUCAUUUGAUUCACACGACUGAGAUCCCGAUUGCUCAUUCCUACCCUAUUUUAGAGGAAAACUUUAGUGCCCUCCCCUAGUAUGGCAAUUCGAUAGGAUUCAAAAGGCCACGAUGCUUAAUCGUGUAUUUUGUUUCUAUACCUGGACGUCUUCGGCCUGUUAGGGACGUAGAUCAAAAAUCUGGAGCCGACGAUCGUCAAGCAAACAUUCGCCCUUUUUGUCGGCCUCUAUGGCCCACCUGAGUUCCAUCGCUUCAGGAUUAACAUCCAGUGACAUAAUUAACGGGUGUGUUGGGCACACCUAGAAUUUUGAGGUAUUUUUCACCAUAUAAGAAUUCAACCAAAAUAAUCAUUUUAAACACCCCUAACGUUCUAUGCAAUAGGCCAAUCAACUACUCCCUAUGUUCAAAAUAAGUAAUUUAACUUUAUACUAAUUUUAAUAUAAAGUUUGUAUAAAGUUUGUAUAAAUUUAAAACGUUUAAUUUUAGACGGAAAGAGAGUAUGUUAGAGUGUGCACAUCCAUCAGUUUAAUCAUGGCUGUAUUUUAGAGUGUGCACAUCCAUCAGUUUAAUCGUGGUUGCACCGCUCUUUAGAACAACUUCAAUGGAUCGAUUCAAAUGGACGAUGCUUUUGUCCGUUUUUUAUCAGUUUGGGUCGGUCGCGCGUCCGGCGUCGGUCUUGUUUUAGAUUUAGAUCGACAGUGCGUCCAACGUGCCGACCCAUUUCAUGUCCGCACAUAAUUUUUAAAAAAGUCUCGCGGCCAUAGAUCAUGCGAGCGGCCAUGCCUCAUGCCGGCACCAUGUCAGUGUCGGCAUACAAUCAACACACAGUUCAUGUUGCGCACUCGCUAGCGGCCGGCACACAUGCCAGCACACAAAGAAGGGGUGGUACUUGAGUUAGAUUAUUCGACGCCCGUCUUGGGGUCUUGCCCAAUGUCUCUCAAACACUCGCAAAGAAGCUUGUCCUCGGCCGUCGUGUAUGCCUUGGUCCGCUUGCUCUUGCGCUUCGGCUGCUUCGCCAAGGCAGCUUGGUUGGCGAGCUCGUCCUCGAACAAAGGCUCCCCUUCGAUGUUGCACUCGUCCUCUUCCUCUUGCCUGUAGUCCUUCGAAAACUCGUGGUCGAAUGUGAAGCCGUUCAGGUCCAUGCCGACUUGAUCACGCAUGAAGGCCGCCUGAUCUUGAUCAAAGAUGGACGGCGUGAACGUCCCUCGGUCGUCUUGACUUUGUGUCUCGUCGAGAUCGUAGCCGGUGGGAUCGUCGUCCGGUGCACCACCAUCAAAGAUCAAGUUCUGCAUGUAGUCCUCGUCGUCGGCGGCCGGCAUUCCGUCGAACGGGUUGCGUGCGCCCGGCAACACGUCGGCUGGGAUCUGCCGCGGGCGUUUCUUCACGCCUCCAGAUGACGAGCCACCGGCCACCAGUGUGGUGUUGAGGUCGAUGGGCACGGGCGCGAGCGUGGAAGGCGCCAUCAUGCUCACUUCUGACGAGCACUCCCCGAAAAGGCGGGAGGCCUGCAGGUAGACGUAGAAGUCGGGCAUCGAGUUACAAGCCGACGCGCAGGGCGAGUCAGGCAGCACCAUCCGAGGGAACGCGGAUGAGUCGGUGCUGGCCGCGGCCACGACGGCGUUGACGAGGCCAUGUUGGUUAGGGUUUAACCCUAGCAUAUAGAGCGCAUCCCUCGUUGCCGCCGCGACGCCGACGUUUGUGACCUCCUACUGCGCGGCGACGACGACGACAGUCGUCGUGAUGGCUUCAUCCCUCGCGCCCGCCACGUGUCUGCGGCCCUUCCUCUUGACCGACUCUCAUGCCCGUUGUUCGGGCGUCAACGUCUUCUUCGGCUUGAGCGCGGCGGCGGACUUGCGCUUGCUUUUGUCGGAGGGGGCGGUCGUCAUGCCGGACCAGGCGAGGCCGGUGGCGGCGUCGAGGUCGUCAUCCAUGACGAGGGUGGGGUGGGAGCGCGCGCAGGCGGGAGGGUUUUUGAGGAACAUGAAAGGAAAUGAUGAAGGCUAUCACCGACGAGCAGGCCCGAGGGAAGGAGAAGGCGCGCGCAUGUCUCGUAUCCAUGCCGAUGCAAAUCCAGCUUAAAAAUGGACCGAAGAUGAAUCAGCAAGAGGACGUCAAAUGGACAUGCGUUGAACCGAUUUUUUAUGUCCGCACCAAUUCAAACGAACUCGAGCACACAAAAUGAAUCGACCCUUUUAAAGUUGUUGUCACAGCACUGUGCACGAGCGGCCUACCCAACCCCGCCGCUUGUGUCGGGCCGGCGCACGGAGCGUGCAAAUCCAGUUGCCGAUAGAGUCUGUCAAGUUGCAGAACAGCCUGGCAGCGCUAGUGCUACGUCACGACAGCGACAGGGACACCAGGUUUUACUGACCACAACUGGACACACAGAACAAGCACUGGCACGCUCCCCGUCCCAAUCAAAGACAAGAGUUUUUGGCAAUAAUGACAGGCCACGGGGCCACCCGAUGUGUGCAUGCACAAGAUAUUGCAGCGAGAUACUACUGGAGUACUACUGCUACAUGCCAUGCCAUCCCAUGGACGGAUGAGCCAUGAGUGCGUGCCGGAAAGAAAGANNNNNNNNNNNNNNNNNNNNNNNNNNNNNNNNNNNNNNNNNNNNNNNNNNNNNNNNNNNNNNNNNNNNNNNNNNNNNNNNNNNNNNNNNNNNNNNNNNNNGCUCCUCCUCUUUCUUCUUCUUCUCCUCCUCCUCCUCCUCCUCCUCCUCCUUCUUCUUGAUUUCUUCUUCUUCUCCUCUUCCUCCUCUUUCUUCUUCUUCUCCUCCUCUUUCUUCUUAUUCUACCAUAAUAAGCUCAAAAUGAAAAGAAAGAAGAAGAAGAGAUGAAGAAGAAGAGAAGAAGAAGAAGAAGGAGGAGGAGGAGGAGGAGGAGGAGAAGGCGAAGGACCUUCUAUCCUUCUCCUCCUCCUCCUUCUCCUCCUCCUCCUCCUUCUUCUUGAUUUCCUUUUCUUCUCCUCCUCCUCCUCCUCUUUCUUCUCCUCUUUCAUAUUAUCCUUGCUUUAAUUAACCCAACAAUGACAUAGUUAGCCCAUUUAGCUCCAAAAUACCGUAAUAAGCUCAAAAUGGCAUAAGAACCUUGGUUAGCUCAUGAAUAUUAUAUACUUAGCUUCUUUUCCUCUAAAAGGACAUAAUUGGAAUAUUUAGCUCAAAAAAGACAUAAUUAGGUAAUUUAGCUCCAACAAGAGGAGAAGAGGAGAAGAAAUAGGCAAAAUGAAAAGAAAGAANNNNNNNNNNNNNNNNNNNNNNNNNNNNNNNNNNNNNNNNNNNNNNNNNNNNNNNNNNNNNNNNNNNNNNNNNNNNNNNNNNNNNNNNNNNNNNNNNNNNGAGGUCCUCGUCGGCGUCGUCAUCGUCGUCGCCGAGGCUGUCGUCGGAUGUGUCGUCGCCGUCGUCGCGGCCGUUGCCGUUGAGCAUGAGGCGAUCCCCCCGCCUCCUGUCGGACCGAGGCGAGUCCCUCGGCCCCGCGCCGCCGGAGACGCCGCCGCCGUUGCUCCUGAGCCGCCGCCGCGGCGGAGGCGCCCCGCCGGACAUGGACACGGCGGCCCUCCUGCCUUCCCGGAUCCGCUCCAUGUCAGAUCUGAGGCAUGCGCCUCCGAUCUCCCUCCCUCCUAGUCGCCGCCGGCGUCCCGGCAGACCGCCGCCGCGCAGAUCCGCGCACCAACCGCCUCAACAAAUCCCCACGGGCAGAGCGAGAGAGCCCGCCCUCCUUCUCCUUCCCCUCGUGCUCACAAGUAUCUCUCCUCUCUCUCUCUCUCUCUCUGUAUCGGUGGUGGUGCUGCUCCUCCUAGAGAGUGCUCUCCUCUCUUCUCUCCCUCGGCUGGAAUGGCUGCUGCUUCUCUGGUGUGGCCUCCUCCCCUCCCCUUGUGGCUCGCUUUCUAGGCCUCAUCCUCUUUUUGUCGCUGCCCAUCCCCGCAUCCGACGGCCAGGAUCCGCCCGACGCAUCCGACGGCCCCGACCCCCGCGCGCCUGCCACCGUGGCCGCCCCCACCGCCUACCACCCAACACGCGAUAAAAUCUCGUGGACGCUUCCUUACGCCACAAGCAUGGCCCGAUGACCGACACGUGGCGGGGCAGCCGAGCGGGGUGAAACCCACCGGCAACGGGAGGUGGGUGGUUGAUGGAUGGCGGCACGCCCGUUUGUUCGCUUCCCUAACAAAUCUUUUUAUCCUCUUGUAAAAACUCAACACUCCACGCAAAAUAAAGCAAGAAUAAUACAAUACGAGUACAUAAAGAUGAAAUGGCGCUACGCCAUCGGCUUUGGCACGGGACCACCGCGCGCGGGGUCCGCGUGGACGGAUGGGCCGCCUGAUCUGGACAGUGCGGUGCGGUUUAACCGGGCUGACGUGGCGCCUGCGCGCACCGGUUGGUUGCUACGGGUGGGUUAAAAGGGCACGAGGAAAGUCUCCAGGCAGCAGCAGCGGCAGUGGAGGCGGGCGGGGCCCACGCGCGGGCCCGGGCAUCUCCCGUCUCAUCCGCUUUUCUUUCCUUUUUCUUUUUCUCUUUCCUAACGUUCUGCUCGUGGGCUCCGACGUGGCGGAGGGGGUGACGUCGGCGGGGCCCGCCGGCCACCAACCUUCACCGCACCACUGGCCUACUUCUACUCUGAUGAAUUAUUAGUAAGAUAUUCCUUGAAAACACCCAGUAGUUUAAUAUCAUUACCACGGAGGAGAUCCGGAAGAUGUCAUUGUAUACGCGGAUUGGCGCGGUUUUACUUACACUAACUUUGGAGCAUUGAAGGCCGGUAAAUUUAAAUUUAAAUGUUUUCGCUGUGGUGUGGUGUGGUGCGGUGCGGGGCGUCGUGUUCUGGAUCCAGACGCCACCGGCAUCGGGUGCAUAUAUGCAUGGCGACGUACUGCUGCUCGCUUUAAAUUGCAAGUUUUUUAAACGAGCCACGUGCGCCUUCUUUCCAGCAUUGUACACCCAAAUUGAAUUUUGAAAAGAAAUAAAGAGUAAUUCAAGGCAUAUUUUCAGUAGGUGGCUAUCAAUGAAAAUAUGCCUGCGAAUCACUUUUUUUUUUUAAAAAACUCAAUUUGGGUGUAUUUUUGGAAAACAAAGUUAGAGGAUCGAUUUUGUUUUUUUAUCAUGACUUUACAAAUAUGAUUUCAUGAUGAAAUUUUGAAUGCACAACAAGUAUUUCCAAAAUAUAUCAUUUCUUUAAAUUUAUUAUUUUAUUUUGAACAUUUGUGCCUAGUUAUAGAAACUCCGCGUCCGUUGUAGGCUUCUUUUUGCUUAUGUCACUGAGUGUAUGUAGAAGGUACAUGUGGUGUUUAAUUUGACGUGGUUAGCAAGGACACAAGAUUUUGAUUCAUGAAAAGGGAAAGGACAUAUGGAUAGUAAACUUUGAAUGCAAUGGACAACAACAAGCACACGCUUCCUCAAAGAAGGGCAUCAAGAACAUUUUUCCUUGGCAUCUCGAUUAACUCAAUAAAACGUGGGUGUUCCCUCCUCCUCCCCUCCCUCGCACAUCGACAAACACACACGACAUGCACAUGUGUGCCCUUUUUGUGUGUUUGUGUGCGUUGUUGCUCACCCCGCAUGCCCAUAGUUUGGGAAGACCAUGUGUCCUUGAAGCUUCGCCCGUUGGCCAACUUCACACCUAUGCUUAUUGCAUUUGUGAGAUUUGAAAUAACUGCUAUGAGUGAUUUUUGGAAAGGACGAUGGGAGAGGGUUAGAUCCGGCAAAUUUGCUGAAAUAGCACUAUGUGCCCUUCGUUAGUCGGGGACGGGAAGCGAGACUCUCGACUUCCUUUUGAGAUCAGAGGGAGCAUGCCAAAGUGAUAAUGAACGGCCAUGACCGUGCCUUCCAUUCAUGGUGAUUGGUCAAAACUUUAUAUAAUCUCCAAAGAAGGAGUUCCAAGAAAUACACAAAGAGGUGUAUUCUAGUUGUUGCCAAAUUAGCAACUGCGAAUGGCGGUCUCCGAGUAGAGAUUAUCAUAUCAAAUACAAGAUUAUUAAUUCUAAACGCUCCUCCUAAUGUGUGCAUGUACUCUCAUCGCUCUUGAAAAAGUGCACCAAUUUCUAAAUUGUGAAUUGAGAAAAAUGUGUGCGCGUGGGGGGGUGUUGUCCCCCCUAGGUGUGUGUGCAUGCCCUUAUGCAUCUUGUUUCCCACGCAUGCGUCGUCACUUAGCUCGUGUGGCCGCGUUCGGAAAGCCAAUCCACGUGCCCAUGAUGCUUCACCCAUUGGUCGCAUUAGAAGCUAUCUAUGUCGCAUGCAUGAGGUUUGGAAUAACCGCUACAUGUGAUUUGCGAAGAGAGUUAUGUUUGGAGGGAAAUACCAAAAUAGCAAUAGUGUGCCCUUCCUUGGUGGAAGAUAAGAAGCAAGACUCGUGACUUUCUUUGGAGAUCAGAGGGAGUAUAACAAAGUGAUAGUGAAUGGCCAUGACUUUGCCUUAUCAUUCAUGAUGAUUGAUCAACGAUUUAUAAAAUGUCCAAAGAGCGGUUCUGAGAAAACAUGGAGGGGUGUAUUCGGGGUGUUGAGAAUUUAGCAACUCCCAAAUGUGGUUUACAUGCANNNNNNNNNNAUUUAUCUUAUCUAACACGAUAUUAAUUAAUUCUACACACUCCUCCGGAUGAGUGCAUUUAUUCCCACCACUAUUGAAAAACACAUCAAUUUUCUCAAUUUUGAAUGGAGAAAAGCGUGUGCGUGUGGUAGGUGCUUUUGCUCAAAAUCAUUCCUAUAAGUGUGCGUGUGCAUGCGCAUGUGUAUCUCGUUUCAUGUNNNNNNNNNNNNNNNNNNNNNNNNNNNNNNNNNNNNNNNNNNNNNNNNNNNNNNNNNNNNNNNNNNNNNNNNNNNNNNNNNNNNNNNNNNNNNNNNNNNNNNNNNNNNNNNNNNNNNNNNNNNNNNNNNNNNNNNNNNNNNNNNNNNNNNNNNNNNNNNNNNNNNNNNNNNNNNNNNNNNNNNNNNNNNNNNNNNNNNNCGAGAUUUGGAGUAACCGCUACACGAAAUUAGUGGAGAGGGAUAGGUUCUGAGGGAAAAGACCAAAAUAGCAAAGUGUGGCCUUCCUUACUGGCAAAUAGAAGCAAGACUCGUGACUUCCUUCACAGGUUGGCGGGAGUAUAACAAAGUAACAAUGAAAUAACAUGUCAUGGUUUUGUCACGACGGAUGUCCUCGUGAUAGGACUAAGUCUAGGAUCCAUCACAACUAGGUGGUUGUUUGGAUGGGGUUGAUCGGGAAUGAGAGACAAGAGUUUACCCAGGUUCGNNNNNNNNNNAUGACUUCCUUCACAGGUUGGCGGGAGUAUAACAAAGUAACAAUGAAAGAACAUGUCAUGGUUUUGUCACGACGAAAAUCCUCGUGAUAGGACUAAGUCUAGGAGCUAUCACAACUAGGUGGUUGCUUGGAUGGGGUUGAUCGGGAAUGAGAGACAAGAGUUUACCCAGGUUCGGCCCCUCCGAUGGAGGUAAAAACAUGUGUCCUGCUUUUGGUUUUUAUUGAUGAUGAUCUCGAUUACAAGGGUUCGAAAUCUCUAACCUAANNNNNNNNNNCUGUGUCCUCCUUUUUGUCUUUAUUGAUGAUGAUCUCGAUUACAAGGGUUCGAAAUCUCUAACCUAACUCUCGAGGAUUUCUAACUUGUCAUUUCUACCUCAGGGGUCCCCUUUAUUUAUAGGUUGAGGCCCUAAGAUCACAAUAGAGUCUGGGUCGUACUGCAACCCGUGACUUAGUCUAAUUCCUACUCAUCUUCUCAUCCAAGUAGGGAAAGCUUCUUAUGUCUUCCGCAACGAGUCAGCCCACCAGGUGAUUGCGUAACCCGACCUUCAAGACGAGCCCCCCCUUGGGCCUCAUGUCUCAUGUAGGUCUUGUUAUUUGGUUGGAUUUGGAAGGUCGGGUCAUGCCGUGGGCGGGUUACGCCAUGGGGUAUAUCCCCAACAUUAGCCCCCAUUUUAAUUUGGAUUCAUCCAUGUUAAACUCCAACUUGAAAAAUGAAAAAGAGCCUUCAUAGAUGAAGUUAAGCUUUGAUCCUUUUACCCUUAAGCCGAUAUUUCUCCUUGCUGAUGACGUGUCCGAGUUGAUAAUAUGUCGGUUUAUUUCUUCUGUCCAACACUUAGCUUCUUUUUUAUCUCCUUCGCCACCAUAUCAUCAUAAUGACUGUUGACAUGGACGGGUCAUGAUGACGAAUCUUGUUUUUGAACAGUAGUCAAAUCUAGGCAGAUGCGAAAAUCAAGGCGACACAGCCGCCGCUAAUUGCUUUAAUCCAUUAUUUUUGCUGCGCCGCUUCGGUUUCAAACCUUCCCUUAUAAAUAGACCGUACGGGGUCAUUUCUUGAUUUUUCUCCCGUCUUAUUCCUCUCGCCAAUUUCUAAAUUGUGAAUUGAGAAAAAAUGUGUGCGCGUGGGGGGGUGUUGUCCCCCCUAGGUGUGUGUGCAUGCCCUUAUGCAUCUUGUUUCCCAUGCAUGCGUCGUCACUUAGCUCGUGUGGCCGUGUUGGGAAAGCCAAUCCACGUGUCCAUGAUGCUUCACACAUUGGCCGCAUUAGAAGCUAUCUAUGUGGCAUGCAUGAGGUUUGGAAUAACCGCUACAUGUGAUUUGCGAAGAGAGUUAUGUUUGCAGCGAAAUGCCAAAAUAGCUAUAGUGUGCCCUUCCUUGGUGGAAGAUCGGAAGCAAGACUCGUGACUUUCUUUGGAGAUCAGAGGGAGUAUAACAAAGUGAUAGUGAAUGGCCAUGACUUUGCCUUGUCAUUCAUGAUGAUUGAUCAAAGAUUUAUAAAAUGUCCAAAGAGCGGUUCUGAGAAGACAUGGAGGGGUGCAUUCGGGGUGUUGAGAAUUUAGCAACUCCCAAAUGUGGUUUACAUGCANNNNNNNNNNGUUUAUCCUAUCUAACACGGUAUUAAUUAAUUCUACACACUCCUUUGCAUGAGUGCAUUUACUCCCACCACUAUUGAAAAAACACAUCAAUUUUCUCAAUUUUGAUCGGAGAAAAGCGUGUGUGUGUGUGGUAGGUGCUUUUGCUCAAAAGUAUUCCUAUAAGUGUGCGUGUGCAUGCGCAUGUGUAUCUCGUUUCAUGUGCAUGCAUUAUCGCUUAGCCCAUGUGCCCACGCUCGAGAAGCCAAUCCACAUGCCCUUGAUCCUUCACCCAUUGUCCAUAAUAGAAGCUAUGUAUGUGGCAUGCAUGAGAUUUGGAAUAACCGCUACGCGAAAUUAGUGGAUAGGGAUAGGUUCUGAGGGAAAAGACCAAAAUAGCAAAGUGUGGCCUUCCUUACUGGCAAAUAGAAGCAAGACUCNNNNNNNNNNNNNNNNNNNNNNNNNNNNNNNNNNNNNNNNNNNNNNNNNNNNNNNNNNNNNNNNNNNNNNNNNNNNNNNNNNNNNNNNNNNNNNNNNNNNACUUUCUAGGUUACCUAUAAAACUUUCUAGGUUACCUAUAAAACUUUCCAGGUUACCUAUACUACUUUAUAAAACUUUCCAGGUUCCAUAAAAAAAUAUUUCAUGCCGGGGUGUCUCGAGAUGUCGUGUCGGGGCGUCGUGUCGGGGUUUCGGGGCAUCGUGUCGGGUGUCAGGGGUGUCGUCGAGAUGUCGUGUCGGGGCGUCGUGUCAGGGUUUCGGGGCAUCGUGACGGGUGUCAGGGGUGUCGUCGAGAUGUCGUGUCGGUGCGACAACUACUAUUGCGAGCUGUUGUAAUAUCCUCGGUGUUGAAGUCGAAUAUCACCGGUGCCUGAAGGGGGUGGUCCCAACAGUAAUGUUUCUGCACCGACCUGCAUGGGGGUGGUUGCAGCAGCAUCGUUGUUGCAGCACGUGAGCUUGAUGGCAUAGUAGCCAUGGCAGGUGCGUGACAAGCUCACCGACGUUCCCCAACGUUGUGGCUAGUGCAAGCAUAGGCGGCAACCGGAGGGCUCUACACGGUCAACUACAAACCUAACAACUAACCUAACACACAGUAGGUAAUUAACAACUAACCUAACAACUAACCUAGCUCGAGGGGUAAUACCACUAACAACUAACCUAAUUACCACUAACAACUAACAAGUAACCUAACUAACCUAAUUACCAGUACGUAACCACUAACAACUAACCUAACUAACCUAACUAACAAUAGGGAAUUAACAACUAACCUAACUAACCUAAUUAAUGAAUUAACGAAAAAAGGAAAAAGGACUCACCGAGCUCCGGCGGUGGAGGAGAGGGCGGUGGAGGGGGGCGCAGGGCGGCGGUGGGGUGUGUNNNNNNNNNNNNNNNNNNNNNNNNNNNNNNNNNNNNNNNNNNNNNNNNNNNNNNNNNNNNNNNNNNNNNNNNNNNNNNNNNNNNNNNNNNNNNNNNNNNNAAGAGAGAGAGAGGCCAGGUUAAACCUAAAUAAACAAGCAAUCCAGCACGCGACUAAUCACAUGUCACCAACAACCGGAGCGGUGCACGCAUCUGGACAAAGGCUCCGUUCGUUCGUGCGUGCGUGCGUGCAGACCCACUCCGGAAAGGAAACGGGAGGGAGAGAACACCAUUGCAUUGCAUUGCGCCAAGCGAAAGGAAAGCGAUGUCCCCCGGGCAAGGCAAAAAAUUCCAGACACUUACUUUUCAGCCUGCAGCACGUCGGGUGGCUAUCAGGCCGGACACGUGCGACGGCCCGGAGCUUUGGUGGAGGAGAGCGAUCCAUGUGAAUGAGAUCAUCAUCAUCCAGCCCCAGUGUGAUGGAUAAUAGGAGUAGAUAGAUAGAUAGAUAGAUAGGCACGAGUACGAAGAAGAUAGUGGCAGCACGCGUCCGUCCACGCAAGUUAACAAAUGGCGGAGUGGCGUGACCGGAAAGAGCGGCACUUUCGGACGGGAGAGCAUUCGGUGCGGAGUCCUCGUCACAUAGGCCAGAAUUCCUUUGUUUUCUAACCGUCUAUUUCCAUCAGUCAUUCUCCUUUCUGACCACCAGAUCAAUAUCCAUGCCGCGGCAUGUUCAUCUCUUUCUCCUUCAUCUUCUUCCUCCUCCGCCGCCGCCUCAUACCCUGCCCCAUCCGCCUGCCUCCAGCGCCGUUGCUGCCCACCACCCUAACCAUCCCUCCCAAGCCCCUCACCACCUGUGAAAAAUUGCGACGAUCCAGAGAAACCGACUGAUGCAACAAAAAAGAUCAGGUACCUGAAAUAUUACAGCAAAACCAUAAGAAGAUUGUCUAUCCAUCAUCAACCACUUGAUUGAUUCAUUCCUUCUACAAGGCUAGCUAAUUACAACGCACACCCAAAAGGCAAGUCAUGGUCAUUCUCAUGCCAUGCUAUGCAGCCUCCCAAUCAUUGAUCAAUUACUACUAAUACUACUACUUGAGAAAAUAUUUCCCUGUCUGCCCCAGUUGUUGUUUCUAAAACAUGGAAAGAAGAAAGAAAGAAAGAAAGAAAAGAGGAAAAGCAAGAGAAGCAGCAGCAGCAUCACAAAAGUUCCCCUUGUCCUGCAUUCUAAUUAAAUCUUCUUCCUUCAGUCAAGACAACAACAAAAACGAACAAAUCUAAAGAGACCAGAGCAGCAGUUGGAGGGGAGGGGAGAGAAGUUCAGAGAGAGAGACCAGCUAGCUUUUGACAUCCUUGCAUAAAACUGCUAAAAAAAAGGGGUUUCUAUGCACCUCCAGCUUUCCACCAUGGGAGGAUAACCUACUACACACAAGCAUCACUCCCAUCAGCCGUUCUAGAGUUUCACUCGAUUGCCAGCGCUCCUGCAUGGAUGGAAUGGGUGCAUCAUCAUCUUCUUCGACGACGCUCCGGCUCUCGCGGCUGCGCAGCCUCUUGUCGCGCAAUCGCUUCUUCCACGCGCCAACCUUUCCACAGAAUUAGCAGUUAGCUCGCCCAAUCAGAUUAGCAGCAUUCCCAUGCUCUGGCGUCUGGGUCCUUUACUUACCUGACAACACAACAGCUUAUGUUAGUGGAAAGAACUCAGUGAUACAUGGAACAACGUCUGCAGGGGAAAGAAGGAUAUAGGUCCAUUACCAGCAGCAGGCUUCUGAUCACUGGUAGGCUUUACUGGCAUCGGCAUUGAAAAGGUCAAUUGUGCCCCUGACAUGUGAGAGUGAGGCGAACCACUCGCAGAUUGCCCCGCUGUGGCAAGGUGCAUAAAACCACCAGCAGCUGGAUGAAGAUUGGCCUUCAUGUUACUGCCAGCUGCCUUCCCUGCAUCAGCUGGAAUCGCAGCUGUGGACAUUGACAUGGAACCAAGAGAGAGCAUAGCAGACGAACCAGAUACAGCAUUCUGCUGUUGCUGCUGCUGCGUCUUGUCAGUCGAGCGCUUUUGGUAGAGGCCAGCACCAGCUCCAGCAUUUACAUGCUGAGGCGGACCUUGUGGUGGUGCGAACGCAUUGGAGAUGAAGAAGUGGCCUUGCGAGAAUGGCUGCUGUUGCUUCAAUGAGGGUCCAUGCGACUGCUGCUUACCGCCAGAGUGAGCCAUGUUUGGCUGCUGACCAAGGAUAGAUGGCAUAGGCAUACUGCUGUAGUGAUUUGUGGAGGCUGACUUGGAUCCAGAAGUCGAAGGAGAGUUCUUGGCUGCAUGUUGUUGAGGCGAUGACAAUUGGACAACUGGCUGGCCACCCUUCGCACUUCCAGAUGCAGGUGGGCUACCACCAGUACUUUUGGAGACUGAAUUAGAUGGCGAACCAGAAGCAACAGGAGCAUUUGAAGAUCGAGAUAGGUCCCCUCCUCCUCCAGUAGAAAGAUUAGUAAGGGAGUGCCCAAUCUUCGACGAACUCAUGCUUUGUGACUGGUGAUUUGGGGUGGAGAGAGCCUGCAGAGCUUUUGCUUGUUGUUGAUGGAGACCACUGUUCUUCAUCAUAAUCAAAUUAGAAGGUGAGGAUGCAGCAGGGACAGAGGCAGCUGAAGGUGGAGCUGACACUCUCAUCGACGAUGCCUUCAAUUGAGGUGAUUGACCNNNNNNNNNNUGGAGACCAUUGUUCUUCAUCAUAAUCAAAUUAGAAGGUGAGGAUGCAACAGGGACAGAGGCAACUGAAGAUGGAGCUGACACUCUCAUCGACGAUGCCUUCAAUUGAGGUGAUUGACCAGGAACUCCGCCUUGAGAAGUGCUUGACGGAUACAUUAAAUUCUGAAAGUUCGUUGCAUUCAAACGGUCAGAGUAUCCACUUGCAUUGCUAGGUGCAGCAGACCUGGGGCGAGAGUUCAGAUGAUUUUGAAACAAUUGCUGCUGCUGCUGUUUCUGAAGGUGUAACAUAUUUUGCUGGUGCUGCUGUUGUUGCUGCUGCUGCUGAUGCUGCUGCUGCUGUUGAUGCUGCUGCUGUUGUUGCUGCUGCUGAUGCUGCUGCUGGAGUUGCUGCUGCUGCUGCUGUUGUUGCUGCUGCUGGAAUUGUUGCUGCAUCUGCUGGUGAUGGUGUUGCUGCAGCUGCAGCUGAAUUUGCUGCUGCUGGUGGUGUUGCUGCUGGGAGAUGGUUGGUGCAGAUGGGGCUGCAGCUGACGUAGCUGCUCCAGUAGAAGCACUUGAAGAUUUGCUGCUGCCUAACCCAAAGGCAUUGGAAGAUUCCGCACCAAUAAGGCUCAAAGUGCGGACUGAGGGCUCAUUAGCACUGCUACCAAGGAAAGGGUGCAUAAAAGAUUUGUUUUCUGGCUUUGAGAAGGAAAGAGAAUGUUGCUGCGAAUCACUCGGGUAUUUUGCAGAUGCAGAUUUCUUUCUCUCAUUAUCUCCAGCACUUGGCGUUGAAGACGAAUCCCCAGCCACAGAUUUAGCUUCUGCGGCAUUUUGAUGCUGGGCCUUGUGCUGUGCAGCUUGAACAGACUGGGCUGCAGCAAAAUUGAGCUGAGGGUAACCAUGCCGGCCUGCUUCUUGAUGGCUCUGGAACAGCGCAUGGUUCUGUGCCAAUGAAGAGAAGUCAAGACCACUUGGAGCAGAACCAGGAGCACCAAAGGGCAUCACAAAAGGUUGAGAUGAAGCAAGAUCAAUUCGAACCCCCUGGCCUCGACUGGUUGAUGGCUGCUGGUGGUGAUCAUUCGAUUUCUUCUCACUCUGAUUGCCAGCGGCUGGCAUCAACGCAAAAUUCGGAAGAUGCAUUGGAAUAGCAAAAUUAUGUUCAUACCCACCCUUUUGAUGGUGUGCAGACUUGUCAUCACUUGACUGGCCAUCUUGGAGAGUCUUGUCUGUAUCCUGUCGAUGAGCGAGGCCAGGCAGUAGAACAGGACGCUGGUUGCCACUCGAAUAGCUCUGGGAACUGUUGGCAGCGGCUGCCGCAGCUGCGGCAGCAGCAGCAUUAGCAUUUGGUGCAUAUCCCAGCAACCCUUGUGAUUGUUGUGGCUGAUGCUUCUGAGAGGAACCAGACAAGCUUGGCAUUGGGUUUUUCUGAUGAUUUUGUUGCUGCGUAACUUGCUGCUGUGAUGGGUGCAACAUGUGGGGAGAGUAGACAUGCCCGUUGAAAAACGGUACACCUGCGCCUUGUGGUGCCAUGCCUCGAUAUGAUGGAGGUCCUCCAGCAUGAGCAGCGGCGACCUGUAACGGGUAGCCGUUCUGUAAGAUAGCCAAGAACUGGGCAUCACCCGGCUGCAAGUUGGCAAAGCUCAAGUUCAUGGCCGAUGCACCAGGGUGUGCUGCUGAAGCAUGGGCAGUGGCAGAUGAUGAUGGCAUGGCACUGCUGGCUCCAGAAGAUUUUGUAUCACCCAUUCGAUUGGCGGCAGCAGUUGCAGCUGCUACUGCUGCAGCAUGUUGGUUGAAUGGAAAGAUGAAUGUUGGCGGUUGCUGUAAAAAACAAGGGUGCACGGGAAAUUAUAUAAGGAAAAAAUACAAAAAAGAACCACAAGAAAUACUAGCAAUGAAUAGCAUAAAUAUCCACAACAAGCAUACCAUCAAGUUUGGUGGCAUGGGAGAAGAGGACUGCUGCGCUUCAUGAGCUGGAGGUUGCUUCCUUUGGUUUGAUUCAGCAACAGUAGCACUGCUGGAUGCCCCUUUAUCCUUGGAGAGGCUCCCCUGGAAAGGAGAAGACACCAUUGAAGGAGUCUUAGUUUCUUGCAGCGGGGCUUGUGCCCGGACAGGGUAGCCCCCCUGCAUUGGGUUCGCGAGAAGGGAGGCAGCCUCUGCAGGUGGAACAACCCCCAUGUUGAAUGGCCCUCUAGGACCAAAGAAUGGUGCAGAUCUUGAUGCGGCGGCAGCUGCUGCUGCAGCCGCUGCUGGGGGCCAGAAGUUCAUCUUUGUAAGUCGCUGGUGGUAUUGGAUCUGCUGUGCAAUGUAACAAUGUGUAGCGCAGCGCUUCGGUCGUUCUGGCAGAGGAGGCAAUGCAGGAUGCUGCAAUGUAAAAAACCUUCAGACUUGGCAAAGAAAUUCACUCUAAACAUACAGAACCACACCAUAGCUCAAGUGAGAAAAACGAACCUGUAAUCCAGCCGAAGUCCCUGGCUUGAUGUCCAUAGGAUGAUGAAGGCCAGGAGCUGAUAAUCCAGGAACAGGGGCAAUGUAACUGCCAAGAUAAGAGACAAGAGGUUUCAGACCACAAAUCCUUCAGGGAGGAAGAGUGCCGUGUGAAACGUCAAACAUCAGUGAGAAAACUCACCUAAAAGGUGGGAAAUUCCCCAUCCAGCCCCCGACGGUCAUUGGCAUAGGCGGUGAAGCAGCAGGUAGAGCUGCUAGAUGAGGAAAAACCCAAAUCAACAAAGAAUCACCUUUUACAAAAUCAGUGAGAAAUGGAGAAGAAGCAAGCAAAAUUCUUACGUGAUUUCUCAUGCUUGACCUCGGACUUUGAGGGCUUGUGCUGCUGCUGCUGUUGCUGCGUCGGCGGCAAUGGCGGCUGCCUUCGCUCAGAUGGCGACUUCUCGUCGCCUUGGCUGGGCUUCUCCAAAUCCAGCUGCAGCGUGAGCUUCUUUGGAGCAAGCUCCUCCGCCGGAAUCCUCUGCGCCUUGUCGUCCUCCAGAUUGAUCUCUAGGCCUCUCCGGGACCUCUCGUCAUCUUUCUUUUCAGAAUUUCCUCUCCCAGCCUAAAAUCGGAGCAAAAGAUGAGCAGCAAAAGGAUAGAUCAGGAUCGAACACACAAUGCUCCAGGCUGAGGAGAUCAAUCUGCAGAAUUGGGGAAAUUGAAGCNNNNNNNNNNNNNNNNNNNNNNNNNNNNNNNNNNNNNNNNNNNNNNNNNNNNNNNNNNNNNNNNNNNNNNNNNNNNNNNNNNNNNNNNNNNNNNNNNNNNNNNNNNNNNNNNNNNNNNNNNNNNNNNNNNNNNNNNNNNNNNNNNNNNNNNNNAGGCAGGCACCUACCACGUCCAUCUCAGAAUCCAAUCCCUUCUUAUCCGCAUCAGGGUCGGAAGAGCCAUCUCUAUCAGGAGAUAGCUUCCCAGGAGGGGGAGCCUGGAACAAGCACAGAGGCAGAGAGAAAAAAGGUGAGAUAAAAAAAAAGGCUGAAAAGAAAACAAAAAAGGCAAUCAACAGUUGCGGCAAAAAAUUGUCGUUUUCAAUCUUUGCCCAACAAAUUCCGCAAGACCAAUUCAACCACACACGCACACACACACACACACACACACACACGAGAAGCAUAUACCCACCAUGAGAUCAAUGCAAAACUUUUCUUGACGAGCGCCAUCAGAUGCCAGCUCACUGAUAAAAAAAUAAAACAAUUCACACGAAAUUGUGAAUAUACUAAUCAGAUCGGCACAAUCCAAAGGCAAUAAUGGCUAUCACAACACCAAUAAUAAUAAAAAAAUCCAAAUGGCCCACCUCUUUGUCGCCGUGAUGGCCUCCCCAUUCCUGGCCUCAGAGCCGACCGGCGCAGCAGCAGCCUCGCCGUCGGGCUUGACUGGUGGCGCCGGCGGCUCGGCCCGGCUCUCGGGCCCGUGAUCCCGUCGAUCUGAUUCGCUGGCCCGGAGCUCUGGAUCUCUUCCUCUGUGGUCCUCCCUCUUCUCUGGCUGCUCCCGGGUAGCCUCCUGCUGCGCGCCAGCCGUGGCGGAGGCAGCGGCGGUGGUGCUGGCGCCACUUUCGGCCACAGCCGACACCGACGGCUUCGCAUCUGAUCUUGGCACCGGAAGCACUUCCUGCCUUGAGGGCGGCUCUGCCGUGUCCGGCUUUGCUGGGCUCGGCGGGCGGUUCUCGUUGUCGUACUUGACCAGCCGUGGCCGCUUCCUCUUUGGGGCUGGGAAAAGCAGUGAGGAAGUUUAUUAGACCCACAAAACCAAAAUUAGCAACAAAAAAUCGUUACAAGAUUAAAAUUGACGAGCUGCUACCUGUAGUGGUGAGAGAGGCUGAAUCUGCCGGCCGGACGCCAGAUGACGACGGAGCCGGCGAAGAGUUCCCAGACUUGGCCUCCGGCGCGUCCUUUGGCUCCGGCUUGUGAUUCAUGUUCUCCUGCUUGGGAGGGCAGGGGAACUGCCGCGUCAGGCCAAAUAGCACCUCGGCGACCUCGAUCUCCUCCUGGAUGAAGGACGGCGACUUGGAAAUCUUUGGUUGUGAUGGCUGAGGCGGCGCUGCCGAAGGAGCUGAGGCCGGCGACGGCCGCUGCUUCGGUGCAGGUCCAGAACCGCCGCCGCUGCUCCCACCGCCACCAAUCGUUUUCUGUGAGACAUCGGAGAGGGAGAGAAAUCAGUAAGUGCUAGAGUUAAGGAAUCAUGAGGGGAGAUGGAUUCUGUCGGCCUGAAAAAAACGCACCAGCUUUUUCCUAACAGGGGCGGUGGUCGAUGUGGAAGCCGGCGAGAUCGGCCGUGAAGGACGCUGGAUCUGCGAGGCUUCUACAGCGCCGGCGCCGCCGGUUCCACCGCCGGGGCCUGUCCACUCGUGCGAAGACCUCUUGGUGGAAGCUGCGGAAAACACGAGGAACAACGGUGAGAUUAGGGAAGAAGAGGAGAUAAGAAACAGGAAGAAGCGGCAACAAGGGCGGAAAAUUGCGUGCUUUGUGGUUGUGGUGCGUACCUGAGCGCGCCUUCCUGGGGACUGGAACACCGAUCAUUUCGUCGGCGGCCUUCCAUACUAUGGGGCUCUUCGGAUUGGAGCCCCCCUUCCGGUGCAUCUGCUGCUGGCCGUGGUGGUGGUGGUUGUUGUAACCGCCGCCGCCGCCGCUGCUGCUGCUGCUGUGGUGGUGGCCGGCGCCGCUCGGCUGAGGCGGGGACGGCGGAGGCGCCGUGCUGGGCGAGCGGCGCUGCACCGGCGNNNNNNNNNNNNNNNNNNNNNNNNNNNNNNNNNNNNNNNNNNNNNNNNNNNNNNNNNNNNNNNNNNNNNNNNNNNNNNNNNNNNNNNNNNNNNNNNNNNNAAGUCUCUCAGAUUUACCAUUCUGAAUAGCAAGAGAAUGAUAAGAGUAAGUCAUCAUGGUGAUCAAUCUAUUCCACACCCAAAUCAUUGCUCUGUAUAAGGUUUAGCAAAUCUUGCAUUCUAACACUUGGGCAUCCUCACAAGCAUUGCACAAUUUCUCUUGUACAUGAAUGAAGUUCGGACGAAUCCAUUGGUUCUGCAAGCUGAACGAAACAUCUAUCGUAUUUUUACCACUCUUAGGUUUUGUGCGUGCUCCUAAGAAAACGUUUGCUGACACGUCAUAGCUUAUCCCUUCAUGCUCUUGGGGCAACCUUUUUGAAAAUCUUGGGAUGCAUCCUUGGUACAUGUUGUAUUCCUUGAACUAAUUUUCCUUUCCAUUGGUUUGAUUAUCCUUAGGUAUUGUUUCAUCAUAGUAAUUCCUUCAUUUCAUCCUCAUUCUAUUCUCGAAAUUCCACUUCAAAAGUACUUGGUUACAAAUUUUGUCACCCACAUAGUUUGAUAUGGUCCAACAUUUCCUUCAAAUGUAUUCGGUGGAUUUGACUCCUCGGUAUGCAUGGUACAUUCCUAUUCCUUGGAUCCUGUGGUUUUACCGAUUACUACCACACUUAAAAUGAAAUAUACUCAUGCCUGCAUAUACCAUAUUUUCUCAUAUCCUCAUAAAUGGUCAGAGAUCUUUGUUCAUAGAGAAACAUCGCAUAUAGUUUCAACAUAGGACAUCAUGACACAAUAAAUUUUAUUGAUUCAUGAAGUUAUUACAAUCUCAGAGACUUCCAUUACAAAAUUUAACUCCAUAAACUCAUGAUAACAAGAGGGCUUCAUGCUACACUUAUUGCCAUUGUCAGAACUUAACUACUCCAUUUUAGAUUUCUUUCCCUGUGGACAGUUACUAGCAUAAUGUCAUGCUUCCUUGCAAUGAAAACGAAUGCGUUCCGACAAGUCUCGGGGCUUCUUGGUGUUUGCUGUUGCUCCUUGGGUUUCCUGCUUCCUUCUUGGGCACAUAUUGCUGUAGUGGCCCAAUUCCUUACACUUGAAACAUCUGAUAUGACUCAGGUCUUUAUGUGUCGGGAUUUGACUAUGGCUGGUGUACUUUCUCUUCUUUCCGAAAUCCUUCAUUCGGGCCAGUUCUUCUAUUUCAAGUGGAUCCAACUCUACUUUUUCUGUCGAGAAGUCUCCCAGAUAUUUAUGGCUUUCCUUCAUGCAAUCCUCUCAAAAAUGUCCUUCUUCUCCACAUGAGUAACAUGCAUUGGGAAAAAAUAUGGUUAGGCCUUGUCCAUCAGGGUCUCCAAUAUUUUCCUUCAUCACAUGUUCUUCUAAAAUCUUCUUCUUGAGCGUUUCCUUCAUUGAUUAUUUCUGUUGCUUGACAACUUGUUGUACGUUGUGGUAAACGUGACACUGGGCUGGGUAGUGAGUGGUUCCUUCACACAAGAAACAAGUCACCUGACUAGUUGGGCAUUCCUCCCCUAGGUGAUUUUCUUCACAAUGAGGGCAUCCAUCCUUGUCUUCUCCCUGGGUGUGUCCUAUUUCUCCACAGAUCUUACAUGCACAAGGUUUCUUCAUCGGGCUAUCAUAGCACUUCUGAAUGAGACGAGCUCUUAACAGAGUCUUCUUGAAUUCGUCCUAAGUUUCUGCUCCACUAAAUCCUUGUAUGUCAUGAUGCAUUUUCCACCAGAUAGCAGCACUUUGUGUAAAGUACUGAAGAGCAUGUGCCACUUCAUACUUCCUUGAAAUUAAAUUGCUCCUGAAGUGGUUCUCCAUGUUCUGAAUCCAUAUUUCAACUUCGAGCUGGGUCAUUGGUCCAGAGAUUACAAGUCCAGCUUCAUAUGUCAUCUAUUUGGUCCAAGGUUUUGGGGAUGAGAUGGGUAAGAGAGAGAGAGGGAAAGAGGGAUAUACACACAAUACAAACAAUAUUUUUGAGAAUAGGUUUUAUUUGUGGCUGUCGGAAAACACACACAAAUGACGGCUCACAAAUCAUCGUAUCUAACAUGGGUAUAUAACAGGUGUUUGGACUUCUAAUGGCCAUAUAAAUAUUGGAACACUUCAGGGUCUUCAAAUUCUUCGGUUCUUGAGAGUCUUCAAUUGGUGCAGCUUCAGUUUUUCAAAUGCAUGGUGAAAUGCUCUUUACUUUGAAGUGGGACUCAGCUAAUCCUUUAUGUGGUCCAAGGGGAAAGGGUAUUGUCUAACUAUUUGAGGUGAGAGAGAACAUUUGAUGAAAUCAGAAGAGAUGAGAAGUAAAGAAUGUUCUUGAAAAUAAAAUAUUAGAGAGAUGCUUUCCUAAGGGAUUUCCAGUUUCUAGGGUCAUGUCCUACAAUCAACAUGUUCUCUGAUACCAUAUCUAUAGCGACCCGACUCAAAACGAGUCAAGCCUCUGUGUGUUCCGUGCCAUCACUGGAUCAGUAUGCUGGAACACACAGUACAUCAAUGUAUAUAUCAAAGUGCAAUCACAUGUAAAAUAACCUAAAACUGAUAUAUACCUCAAAAUCUCAGCGGAAACAGUCAAAGGCAGUGGAGUCCCAAUAAACACCAACGACAAGUUGAGUGCAGACCGUAACCUUGAAUCAUACUCUUACUCGUCGAAUACAAUAUCUACAACAUAAGAUGUUGCAGCCGUGUAGGUCAGCAUAUCGAAUAUGCCGGCAAGUCAGAAAAGAGAGGGGUGAAAAUAUCAUCUAUACUAUAUGCAUAUACGACACAUGGGGCCGUAGUUUUAAGUUUGGCGUAAAGCAAAUUUUCCUACAACAAGAGAGGGUCAAAGCAAGAUUUACUACAUUGUUCGUUGUUAAUGAGAUGGUUCCACCAACCAAUUCUCAUACCCAAGUUAUAAAUAUUACCCACAUCAAUAUUAAAUGGUGUUGAGAAUUCCUAAUAACUUUAGUUCCUUCGACUCAAGUUGCCCAUGACCGUGGACACGGCUAAUCAAUUACGUUUGAGUACUCAGCAGAGUUUUGCACACGUUCCCCACAAGAUUUGAUCGCCUCCGUUGGAGUCCUCACACUUCAGGAUGUUUGAGAACCGGAUGAUCAAAACAUGGUCUUUCAACNNNNNNNNNNUCGGUGCCCAUCCAAUCCUACCGUUCUUGUACAUCUCGUAGUACCGCUCGUCCAAAGUCACCACGUUGUCCAACCAAGCCAGAGCCCAUAAUGACUUGUGGCUCUGCAGGUAAGACUUGGGUCUUCAAAUAUCCAUCCAUCUCUUUGAGCCUGGGUGAAGCUUUCCGAAAGAUGUCAUGGCGCUUCUGCAUGCAUCCCAAGUCCUCCGCUGGUUUUUCCCACGGAGCCCAUCUGAACCGUCCUUCACCCAGAGGUAUAUUUUGUUCUGAGGUCUUGCAAGUCUUGGAUUCUUAAGGUCUUCAUUAUUAAGUUUCUCACAACACCCAUGAUAAACACUCAACCAAACCCCGUCUACCAUGAGCAUAGCAAAAUAACGUCCCUGCCAAAGUAACAAGGGUUUAGGGGUGCCUAUCAUAACAUACUACUCAAUAACCAAAGUUUCCAAGUACCUACUUUCAUGCAAUGGGUGAAGAAGGUUGAAACUAAUGUAAUAAAACCAUAGGUAAAAAUGUGAUCAAUGUGAACUUGCCUGGUAAGGUUGAUGAAGAAGAAUAUCGCUCUCAAGAAAUAACUUGAUAGAACUAUUCAUCACUCUCCGUCGAUAUCUAUAUAAUCAAACAUAAUAUUCGUAUAAGCAAUCCUACUAUAAAUCAUCCUAGUAAUCAGUAUAACAAACAACAAUAAAAUUUGAUGCAAUAAAACCAAUAAGAAAUAUCAAAUAGAAAUCCAAAAGGAACUUCACAGAAAAACUAUGGAGUCUUCUACUACAACAAUCACUAAAUAGUUUUUGUUCUAAUUAAACUUAACAGAAAAUGGAACACUAAAAUAGUAAAAUAAUAGAAAAUAAAAAAGAAAAUUAACUAAGAUAACAGAAAGUAUUUUUCAUAAAACUGUAUUUUUUGAAAGUAUCAUCAAAUAGGACAUCAAACUAGCAACAAAAUCAAUUUGCAAGUUAUUACCGAACUAGAAUUGAUUUCAUGCUAUCAAAUAAAAUAAAAUUUUCUUGUUGUUGAAAACCUACUGUUAACUAACAGGAAACAAAAUAUAACCUUUCACAAGUAUAAACCAAAAUAAAUUAAAAACAAUUAUAGCAAAAGAAAUAGCAAUAAUCCAAGAAAGAACUAAAACAGAAUCUGUUUUACACACAAUAUUGAUUAAAAGUACUCCAAAAAUUCUGAAAUUUUACCUAGUGAUAUAUAAGAUCACUAGCGAUCAGCAGCAAAAAGAAUCAACUAAAAAUCUAUUUUUAAACUCCAGAUAUUAACAAAACAAGAUUUAAACCAAAUCUGUUUAAAUUCAGAAUUUAAAAUUUCAAACAUGGUAAAAUUUUAUAUCUACAGAAACUACACAAAAUUUGUGAUCCAACGCAAAAAUAAUCACCUCAAUUGGAGUUAUAGAUUAAAAGUUAUAAGCAAUCUAAAAUCAGGUCCAAAUCUGUUUCAGAAUUAAAAACAGAAAAAGAUUAAAAGAAAAGGUGAUGUGGCAAGCUGUGAUUGGCUGGAGAUCGUGCACGGUUUAGGCUAACUAACGGACGGUCGCAAUAUAAAGGAAACCUUUCGGUUUUAAAUUAACUAACUGGGAACCGAUCGGUUUUCUAACUAAAACCGAAAGGGUAUCCUAAUCUAAUCUAGAGCGUAUAUUAUGGAUCCAACGGUGGGAAAAAGAAAAAAAGAGAGAGAGGGAGCUUACCGUGGCAAAGAGGAGCUCCAGCGCUGGUAAUGGUGCAACUGAAGGUGAGGUGGCGAGGGGAGGCGGCUCGGGUGGUGUAGGGGGCGGCGUGGUGGUGGUUGCGGCGAAGGAGGGUCCCGACGUUCUCCUGGUAGCGUCAGGAGGGUCCGAGGGCGAAGGGAGGUGGGGCGACACGAGCUCCUAGUUUCGGCCUGAGCAGGACCUUCGGCGAGGGUGGAGGGCGGUGCUGGGGCAUGGAGACAAAGGGGUCUUGGGGAAAAUGGAGAGGGGAGGGGGUGAGGAUCUUAAAUAGGGCCUCGAGGGGCGAGGGGAAGGAAGGUACGCGGAGAUCGGGGAAAGGAAUCGACAAGGAAUCUUCGUGGAAGUUUCACGCGGCACGGAAGGAAAGGAGACGACAUGUGGAAGAAGGAAGGUAUCGGGCCGGAUCAUAUAUUCCUAACGGGCCCAGAUGCCUUUCCAAAGAAAACGAUUUGUUUCCUUUUAAUAAAAACCUGAAGGUAAAACUUAAAAAAUUAAAUAAAUAUACUUCCAAAUAUAGAAGUAUUAUAUACCAAAAUUAUCAGAAAAAUAAAUCCAAUAAGAUGGACAUUUUUCCAGGGCUAAAAUAAAAACUUCAGAAGAAAUAUUAUGUUUUCAGAAAAUUGCCUAAAUGAUUUAUUUCCUUUUACAAAGAUUUUUCAAAUGACCUCCUAAGUUUUAGGGUUCAAAUAAUUUUCAAAAUGCCCUUGGUUUGAAGGGUCAUGUUCCUCCUGUCAUAUUUUUUUAAUAUAUGUAUUCAUUUAAACAUUGAAAUAGCAAUAGGAUCAAAUACGAAAAUGAAAUCCAUAUAGGAAAUCUUUUAUUAGUUUUCAAAUCCACCUUUCAAAAUCUUUAUAGUUGAAGAAGUCAUGUUAUCUUCUCUCACUGAUUUUAAAUGGAUGAAUUUGAAUUAAAAGAAAAUGGGAAAGUCCUUUUAUUCCCUCUCAUUCAAAAGUUUUAAAAUGUUUUCAAAUUUCACUCAAGUUUCAAUCACUCAAACAAACAAACAAUCAAUCUAGUAAUUAUAUUAACAUUCCAAAAUUUGGGAUGUUACANNNNNNNNNNNNNNNNNNNNNNNNNNNNNNNNNNNNNNNNNNNNNNNNNNNNNNNNNNNNNNNNNNNNNNNNNNNNNNNNNNNNNNNNNNNNNNNNNNNNCCCUCGAACUACUAGACUCGCUCGGACGCCAGCAUCCUGGCGUACGCCGCCUUGUCCGGGGUGGCAUUAACGGCGUCGGCCGCCUCCUGGACCUGCCUCUAUAGCGACGCCAGUUCCGCCUUGGCCUCCUCUUCGCCCCGGCGGGCGGCCUGGAGGGCGGCCUCGGUGCUCUCGAGCUGAGCCCGCAGCCCCUCCGCAACCUCCUGAAUGUCACCGAGCUUGAGCUUCUUGGCUGCGGGUGUUCUGGAGAAAAGGGAAGAAGAACCACCAAGCAGAAAACGGGACAACAAGGAAAGGGAGUGCAAGAGACAAACUUACUCAUCGGCUAGAGUCUAACGGCGGCGGAUGCGCAGCGACCCCGAGGGUCCUCCGCCACUACUCCCGGGGGCUGACGAGGGCAUGGACAGAGCCACGCAUUUUCCCCGGCCGGAAUCGCCUCGUGGAGAUGCCAUGGAAGACGAAGAAAUGAAGGGGAGAAGAGGUGUUUCUCGAUGGAGCUAGGGAGGCAAAGAGGAAUCUCAUGAUCGCGGUGCCUCCCCCUUACCAGGGGCGGGGUAGAUUUAUAGGCGAACGACGACCACCAACCGUGGUGGGAGCGCGAGCGUCGCGCGCCCCUCGGGGGCCGCGAGGUGGGCCGACGGGAGCGUUGCCUCACACGUCGCUUCACCUGUCAACCGAGCGGUCACGUCUGCGAGGGCCAUUGGGUGCGGUCAGGCCGCACCGAUACCAUUCAAUGAGAACAAUGANNNNNNNNNNNNNNNNNNNNNNNNNNNNNNNNNNNNNNNNNNNNNNNNNNNNNNNNNNNNNNNNNNNNNNNNNNNNNNNNNNNNNNNNNNNNNNNNNNNNAGUUCUGCUCCCCUUGGUGACAUCAUCCAGAAUCGGGAGGCAACUGGGCAAAUCGCCAAAUGGGUGAUAGAGCUUGGGUCUCAUCACAUACAAUAUACUCCCCGCACAGCUAUCAAGUCCCAAGCACUAGUUGAUUUCGUUAACGACUGGACAGAGCUACAGGCUCCGGAAGACCGGCCUGACCUUACCUGGGGGGGGGGUGGACUAUUUACUUUGAUGGAUCCAGGUAGCUGGAAGGCUCAGGGGUUGGUGUUGUGUUAGUAUCCCCUCAAGGAGAUAGGUUCUGUUACGUUCUCCGACUCAUGUUUCCCUGCACUAAUAAUGCGGCGGAAUAUGAAGCUUUGCUUCACGGCUUGCGACUCAUAAAAGAGAUGAACCUAACACGAGUCAGGUGUUUUGGUGACUCCGAUUUGGUGGCGCAACAAGUUUCGGGUACCUGGGACUCUCGGGAUCCCAUGAUGGCGGCUUACAGACGAGCUAUGUCUGAUGUGGCGGGUCAUUUUCAUGGCUAUCAGGUGGACCAUAUUGACCGGCUCCUCAACGAGGCCGCUGACGCCCUCUCGCGACUCGGCUCCCAGAGAAAACCGGUUCCCCCUAAUGUUUUUCUGGAUAUCUUGCAUAAACCAUCCGUGGUUUUACCCUCAAAGGAGGAAUUGGCGAUACCAGAUCCCGAGUCUCAGCUCGUGGUGGCUCUCCGUGUUAGUCCGGAUUGGGUUCUCCCUUAUCUGGCUUAUCUCACUCGCGGCGAGUUACCCACCGACGAAGUUUUGUCUCGCCAGAUCGUUCGGCGCAGCAAAUCCAUGGUCAUCAUUAAUGGCGAGUUAUAUAAACGGAGCGCUUCUGGGGUUUUUCAGCGAUGUGUUUCCCCCGAAGAAGGAUGCACGAUCCUAAAUGACAUUCAUUCCGGAGANNNNNNNNNNNNNNNNNNNNNNNNNNNNNNNNNNNNNNNNNNNNNNNNNNNNNNNNNNNNNNNNNNNNNNNNNNNNNNNNNNNNNNNNNNNNNNNNNNNNCGUCACGCACCUCGGCAACAUCCAACUCCAAUAUCAUCUUCUCCUCAUCAAGGCUUUUACGGACCUUCGACAACUUAUAUAUAAGCUAAUAAUAGAUCUUUUGCGUCUUUCGAUAUGCGAAGAGAAGUAAGAAGGUUUACUAUUGGGAUAACGAAGAUAUGACCAUAUUUCUGAUCAAUUCAACAGACGAGAUCGGAUAGUAGAAUAGAGAGAAGGAUCUUAUACUUUCUGAAAAUGAUAGAGAGUCAGGAGAGGGUCUAUGUUAAUAGUGCUCUUUAGAUAGGGAGAGGAAAGACGUAACUAGACCGUGAAAAUAAUAUAAUCUUUUACCGCUACAUCCGCUGGAGAAGAGAACUCAGCAAAGGAUAUUCCUAUCCUUUCUCUAGUUGAAGACUAAUCUGGAUAUUCCCUAACAUGCUUGACUUCGAGUUCUUGGAGUGACAACUUUCUUUGUACACAAGGGUCCCUUACUUUAUUACUUUUCCACUUCAUUGAUCUGAAAUAAGUGACAGAAGAAAGCUACAUGCAUAUACCCCUGCCCUGGGGGAACAAGUGCCACCUCAACAGUUAUAUUCUAAAUCGUUAAGCCUUGCAACCCUUUCUUUUGUAUCAGACCUUUCCCGAUUUCCUUACUUUCCUUGUUCACUCAAACUUCAAAAAUUCCUUCCAUGAAUCUAGGGACGGAAAACCACCUGUGACUUCGCCAAGUCUCCCUUUCUUUGGUCGAAGGCCUCAGGUCAAGAUCCUUUUUCCUAUCUAUUGAAAAUGCAUAGAGAGAUGCUUCUUCCUCUUCAAGUUGGAAGUGUAAGAAGAAAUGCGGUAAAUAGGAGUUCCAUCUACCACGCACUCGACCCACACUCCAGCUAACUUCAGCAUCCAUACUCAGCUAUGAGGAAAAAAAGCUACUGAUGAGCAUCUAUUGGAGUCGAUCAUUUCCAAGAUCUAAUUCUAGUUUCUUAUUAUGUAGUUGAAACACCUCACAAUCUUCAGUUUUACGCUUACGCUUAAGGGAUGAAAUGUUGUUGGUGGAUGCAGGACCUAGUACUACAAAAAUUUGCAUGCAAGAUGAGCUUACAUGAGUGCCAAUCAAGGGAGCCGCCAGGCUUGAGAAUAAGGUGGUAUCAAAGAAUUAGUGGCUAGUGAAUGACUCAUCAAAAAGCGGAUUUCUAAGAGGUUCUUUAUCGAUCUAGUGGCCAAUGAAUCACUUAUCAAAGAGCGAGCAGCCGCCAGGUUUAAUGAUUUUGUGGACCCUGGAUGUAGCGGCUGGUGAACCGCGUCUUCUUCCACAAAGAUUCAGACAAAACCGAGCUUGGAUAGAACUAAAGAAGAUUUGGCGAACGAAGAAAAAUGUCAAAGGGUUUAGUAUAAAAAAAUCAAAGGAGGUUAUUCGGUAGCCAUCGCGGGUUUCAUUACUUUUCUUCCAUUCAAAAAAGCUCUUCACAAAAAAAGGAUAGCGAAUGAUCGAUUCACCAUUGAUAGCAUUAAGCCUACAAGGAGGGAUAUUGUGAUAAUAGUGACCUUCGGGCUACCAUGUCAAUUGUAAAAAGUAGUUGAUUCGUGUCUUGCAGGAGCAAUAAUAGUGAAAUGAGGACGUAAGCCCCCUAGGUCUUCCUCUUCCUUCUAAACUAAUUGCUUUCGCUUGACUCUUCCAGGAGAAAAGUAUAAUAAGUGGCUGAAGGAAAGCGAAAAGGAAUGGCUUUUUCAUGUACCAGAUCCGUGAUCUAGACAUCAAGCAAAAAUGUACAUACAAUCAAAGAGAGCAGUUAUUUGUAGUGACUGGUGUAUUGGUUAGAGAUGCAAGGAGAGACUCGGUUAUGGUGUGGUAAAGAUCUUGCUCCAAUUCUCUGAUUCAGGUAGAAAGUAAGAGCAGUAGAAUAUUCGUAGGAGAGAUUUUUUACUUGAAAUUACUAGUCCUGGUAGUUCGAAAAAAGCUCUGAAUACAGAUUUAAAGCAUCAAUAUAGGUAGUCCAAUCAAUAUAUUUCCCUUUUUCCAGUCUCUGAUCGGAUGAUUGCCGCUUGUGUGAAUUUCAUUGUUGUGGGUCCCGUGUGUGCUCGAAUAAUAUUAUUUUAGGAUUCGAUUUAGUUGAAUUUCUUGACUCCGCGGUGCUGGUUAUCGAGUUUAUGGCGCCGGCGACCAUCCAAAAAGUCAAAGAUGGCGCCGGCAUUUACUUAUUAUGGUCUCUUCUAAUAGUGGUCCCUUGGUAUUCAGGUUGUAAAAUCCUCAUAGGAACGUCGAUUGUUAUACCUUGUUUUUGUAAUGGUCUAUCUUAUUUAAAAAGCCGAAAGAUAAACAAGCUCUUGGAACCGAAGGUAUGUCUGAGCAUUCUGGGCAGGUCGCAAGAAGCCGCUUUUAGAAGGUUUGGAGCAACCGCAAUUUUUCACCAUAUUACCCGCUUCCAAUUUUUCACCAUGCCACCGUGGGACCGCUUUCGCGAGCUCUGCCUUCUCCGGUUUGGCCCCCCCAUCCGUGGCAGCCGACUGGCAACCCUCGGCCGCUUACCGUUUACCUCAACGGUCCAGGACUACGCCGACUGAUUCCAAGCCCUGGCAUGCCACGCGCCAGGCAUAUCCGGGACUUCGACGCCCUCACGAUGACAUUAUGGCGGGUGGGGCGCCCAAAUGGCCUUGGCCGCCCCCCCCCCCUCCCCCCCCUCCCCCCCUUUUUGUUUUUUUUUAUCUAAAUUACNNNNNNNNNNNNNNNNNNNNNNNNNNNNNNNNNNNNNNNNNNNNNNNNNNNNNNNNNNNNNNNNNNNNNNNNNNNNNNNNNNNNNNNNNNNNNNNNNNNNUUUCCGCGGCAAUCCUUCUUCUCCUUCUUAAUACCACGCGUGGCGUAGUAAUCUCAAAUAGCCUGCGGCCAAGCCCCGUGGCGCAAGUUCUGUAGUAACCACCUACACUCGACCUCGAGAACCCUGGCCGCCGCCUCCUCAUAUCCAUCCUCACACCUAUAGAAGGUCUGCAAUCAAACGUGAAAACACCGAUUAGUACAAUAAUGAGGUAUAUGCUUAAUUUUAGAUUCUGUAAAAGGAUAAUUUACCCAAAAGCUCCUGAUCACCAUCUCGGCCCUCGUGUGGCACAAGACACCAUCUAUAAUCUCCUCCGGCGGGGCCUGCGCAGCCUGGUAGUGCUCCCAGGUAAAUCCUAGUGUAGGAACCUGACCCUCACCAGGCAACGUGACAAACCCCGGGAAAUUUGUCCGGCAAAGCACACCAAGGACGGAGUUCGGCCUGCGGCCUCCAAGAGGGUGUACCCAUCCCCUGCAGUAUCAUAAGGUCAGCGCAUUAGAUAUUUGAACAAACUUGAAGGCAAAAGCUAAAAAAAGGGUAAAUGUACUUACCUAUCUCCUUCAGGUUUUAUCACCGGCCUCUGCUCGCGGGUAGCCGGGGCGACCGGGAGACGUGUACUACCACGCUUGUACACGGUAGCCGGGGGCCCGUCCACCUGCACAUCGCAAGCUCAUCCCCGCCAUCCCCGCACCCUGAGCCACCCGGACCCUCGGUCCAAUCCGGCAACUCGGUACGAUCCGGCCAAGGCUCCCAUCCGGACCUCUCCACGUCGGGUGAAGCCUCCGGAACCGUAGUCUCCUCCGGCUGCUCCUGGGCCGAAUGCACCUCGACCCGAGGCUGCUCCUGGACCGGAGUCUCAUGGGACGAAUGCCCGUGAACACCAGGCUCCUGGACCGGAGUCCCGUAGCCUCCUCCGCAAACGGGUCGACCAUACUAGUCCUAUGCUCGGGUGAAUGAGCUGGUGGUGGUGGCGAGGACGGCUCAACAGUCCUCCUGGAUCUUCCGCGGCCACCACUUCUCCCUGUACCCUUCCCCUUCUUCCCUACCCAACCAGCACCUCUACCAGCGGGCAAUGCCGCCGACGAAGAAGAACCCCCGGCUGGUGUCGAAAGACUGUCUGCCAAGGCUCUAUGGAGAGAUAGGGGUGGAAGGGAAGUACCACCCCUCGUGCGGGGCGCCUGGGAAGAACCCGUCGAGCGCUCUGGACCCGCGCCCACCAUCUUUCAACACCUGCCAUGUUAAAGAUUAAAAGAAAUUAGUACAACAUAAAAAAAUUGAAUGACUGACAUGAAUGAUAAUAUGUACAUGAAUAAUAAAUAUUAAAAUAUAUAGAUAUUAUCUUCUGUUGCCCGGCUCUCCAAGGAGCCGGANNNNNNNNNNNNNNNNNNNNNNNNNNNNNNNNNNNNNNNNNNNNNNNNNNNNNNNNNNNNNNNNNNNNNNNNNNNNNNNNNNNNNNNNNNNNNNNNNNNNNNNNNNNNNNNNNNNNNNNNNNNNNNNNNNNNNNNNNNNNNNNNNNNNNNNNNNNNNNNNNNNNNNNNNNNNNNNNNNNNNNNNNNNNNNNNNNNNNNNNNNNNNNNNNNNNNNNNNNNNNNNNNNNNNNNNNNNNNNNNNNNNNNNNNNNNNNNNNNNNNNNNNNNNNNNNNNNNNNNNNNNNNNNNNNNNNNNNNNNNNNNNNNNNNNNNNNNNNNNNNNNNNNNNNNNNNNNNNNNNNNNNNNNNNNNNNNNNNNNNNNNNNNNNNNNNNNNNNNNNNNNNNNNNNNNNNNNNNNNNNNNNNNNNNNNNNNNNNNNNNNNNNNNNNNNNNNNNNNNNNNNNNNNNNNNNNNNNNNNNNNNNNNNNNNNNNNNNNNNNNNNNNNNNNNNNNNNNNNNNNNNNNNNNNNNNNNNNNNNNNNNNNNNNNNNNNNNNNNNNNNNNNNNNNNNNNNNNNNNNNNNNNNNNNNNNNNNNNNNNNNNNNNNNNNNNNNNNNNNNNNNNNNNNNNNNNNNNNNNNNNNNNNNNNNNNNNNNNNNNNNNNNNNNNNNNNNNNNNNNNNNNNNNNNNNNNNNNNNNNNNNNNNNNNNNNNNNNNNNNNNNNNNNNNNNNNNNNNNNNNNNNNNNNNNNNNNNNNNNNNNNNNNNNNNNNNNNNNNNNNNNNNNNNNNNNNNNNNNNNNNNNNNNNNNNNNNNNNNNNNNNNNNNNNNNNNNNNNNNNNNNNNNNNNNNNNNNNNNNNNNNNNNNNNNNNNNNNNNNNNNNNNNNNNNNNNNNNNNNNNNNNNNNNNNNNNNNNNNNNNNNNNNNNNNNNNNNNNNNNNNNNNNNNNNNNNNNNNNNNNNNNNNNNNNNNNNNNNNNNNNNNNNNNNNNNNNNNNNNNNNNNNNNNNNNNNNNNNNNNNNNNNNNNNNNNNNNNNNNNNNNNNNNNNNNNNNNNNNNNNNNNNNNNNNNNNNNNNNNNNNNNNNNNNNNNNNNNNNNNNNNNNNNNNNNNNNNNNNNNNNNNNNNNNNNNNNNNNNNNNNNNNNNNNNNNNNNNNNNNNNNNNNNNNNNNNNNNNNNNNNNNNNNNNNNNNNNNNNNNNNNNNNNNNNNNNNNNNNNNNNNNNNNNNNNNNNNNNNNNNNNNNNNNNNNNNNNNNNNNNNNNNNNNNNNNNNNNNNNNNNNNNNNNNNNNNNNNNNNNNNNNNNNNNNNNNNNNNNNNNNNNNNNNNNNNNNNNNNNNNNNNNNNNNNNNNNNNNNNNNNNNNNNNNNNNNNNNNNNNNNNNNNNNNNNNNNNNNNNNNNNNNNNNNNNNNNNNNNNNNNNNNNNNNNNNNNNNNNNNNNNNNNNNNNNNNNNNNNNNNNNNNNNNNNNNNNNNNNNNNNNNNNNNNNNNNNNNNNNNNNNNNNNNNNNNNNNNNNNNNNNNNNNNNNNNNNNNNNNNNNNNNNNNNNNNNNNNNNNNNNNNNNNNNNNNNNNNNNNNNNNNNNNNNNNNNNNNNNNNNNNNNNNNNNNNNNNNNNNNNNNNNNNNNNNNNNNNNNNNNNNNNNNNNNNNNNNNNNNNNNNNNNNNNNNNNNNNNNNNNNNNNNNNNNNNNNNNNNNNNNNNNNNNNNNNNNNNNNNNNNNNNNNNNNNNNNNNNNNNNNNNNNNNNNNNNNNNNNNNNNNNNNNNNNNNNNNNNNNNNNNNNNNNNNNNNNNNNNNNNNNNNNNNNNNNNNNNNNNNNNNNNNNNNNNNNNNNNNNNNNNNNNNNNNNNNNNNNNNNNNNNNNNNNNNNNNNNNNNNNNNNNNNNNNNNNNNNNNNNNNNNNNNNNNNNNNNNNNNNNNNNNNNNNNNNNNNNNNNNNNNNNNNNNGAGAGAGGAGGGGUGGGGUGGGACAGCUUUGCCGUCGGCCAUCCCUACCUUUGUCGUCUAUCAGCAGACGGCAAAGAGGUGGCUGAUGGCAAAUAUUUAUUUUGCCAUCAGCCUCCUCUUUACCGUCCGUUUUUUGCCAACACACGGUAAAGAGGUUCUUCGCCGUCCGCUGGCUGACGGCAAAGAUUUGGCGGACGGAAAAUAUAGGAAUUCCAGUAGUGACUUCUCCCCCUUUGGGAACAAGUUACCAAAAAGUUCAAAGGUCUGGAACUAAUCGUCUCGCUGGGAUCGAUCUCCUCCGGUAGAUGGCGAUGGAGUGGACAGGAGAGCAUCGAUGAAGGCUUCGACAGAUGUCCCUGGAGCUGGAGGUGUCAACAUUGCAGGUGCAGGAGAAAGAGCUUAAUCUAAAGCUGUUGAAGCUUGAGUUGAUGAAAUUCGUCUUACUUUAGAAACUGGCACAGCUGCUGACCUAGACUGGGUCAUGAACUGAGAAGUAGUGGGAAGAGACGACUCUUCAUCAUCACUUCUCAAGCGAGAUAUAUGCACUGAAUCAACUUCAUGCUAGAGCUGUUGAACAGUGGUAGUCAACUCCGUCACCUUAACAUCCAGGUCAUUGAACUUUAUGUCCACAAUCCUCUCAAGACUCUUUUGGUUCAGCAAAAUCUCAAAAAAAAAACUUCUCCAUCCCUUGGAUGGUGUUGACUAGGAAUGACAUUUACUCAUAUGUGUUAUGAGCUAUGGAGCUGGAUCUAGGGCAUUCCUAGCUGCCUCUGCAUCUGCUGUCUCUACUCCCUCUCGAGCUAUAGCUGAGCUGGGAUGGCUUGGGUCCAUCACAAUUGCAUUAUCUUUGAACUCUGGAUGAAGUCGCAAGUGGGGAAUAUCAAGUAUAUAUGCAUGCUUGCCAAUCUUGGUGUUGAUGAGCAUCUGAAUAUAUGGAGCAUAUCCAUAGGAUCUCUACUGAUCUGCAGCAGUCCUCGUGACAAUCUCAACUAUCAAGCCCAUCACUGUGAAUCGGGUAUGGUUUCUAAAUGAUGUAGAAUAUUGAUGGAAUAACCUCUAAUCAUCUUAUCAUCUCCAUAUUUAGGCAUCAGGGUGUGUGUCGUUAUUGUGUUCCUAGUAGGUAUUCCUUCUUGGGAAAAGUAGACAAGGCCAAACUUGUGCAUGUGCACAUACUUAUGGGGCGCUGGCUUAUACAUGUUUGACAUGGAGUUGUGAUUCAUCUUGGGUUCUGAAUACACAUCCAAGUCUCCCUCUUAUGCCUUUGGGGCACCAAUGAUAGUGGCCCACUCAUCAAUUGUGGCCUCAUAUUUGUGAGCUUUCGUCAUCCAUACAAUUCUUCCUUCAGAAUAAAAAUGAGCAGUUGAAUGGAAUUGCAUGAGCAUCUUAUCAUUCCAAGCAGUCAUCUCUCUGCUAACAAAAUAUUCUAUGUCAACUAGCAUGAAGUUUUCUCUCACAUGGAGAAAAUAAUGUUCAUUGGCCUUGAUAUAUUCCCAAUCAACAUAUCUCUUGUCACUGACAGCGGAACUCUGUCAAGCAACAGAGUCUCAUAGAAAUCUUGUUGCUCCUUUGUGUGAAAGCGAGGGUCAAUAGUAGUUCUCCUUCUGAUAGAAUAAGGAUCAUCUAACCUCCACUUUCUCAGUCCUUGAUCCCUUCUCUUCUUCGUAUCCUCAGCAAAUGGAUGAGCAGCAUUGUGCGAUGGCAUAUGAGAUCUCAGAUUCAUUAGCAUAGAUGUAUCUUCUUCUUCCUCUGCAUCAAAUUAUGCAGGUGCAGAGCCUUUGUUCUUCUCUGCUGCACAAAUGUCCUUGGUAGUCCUCUUGGUAGCUGAUACGUCCCAAACGUAUCUAUAAUUUGCGCUUGUUCCAUGAUCUUUUGGGUGACAUUGUUAUAUGUUUUGCUACACUUUUAUAUCAUUUUACACAUAUUUGGACUAACCUACUAACUCAGUGCACCCAGUGCCAGUUUCUGUUUGCUGAUGUCUAUUCUGCACGGGCUUUUACCCAAUUUUCCGAACCCCAAAAAAUUCCAUAAAAAAUAUAUUAAAAAAAUCAGCAAAACAGAAGCUUUCGGGUCACCGAAGAUGGGCCAGAGGGGGCAAGGGGCCUCCCACGCGACUUGCUGGCACGGCCAGGCCCUAGGCCACGCCAGGAGUCUGCCUGGGUGGGUCCAACCUCCUCUGAUGCCCUCCUUUGGCCUAUAUUUAGGUCCCCGAGAGGAAACCCUUUGAAAACUUCCAAAAUCGAGAAUUUCUCCAUCGUUCCGCCGCAUCAGCGCUUCCGAGAUCGGGAGUGUCAGGAGACCUCUUCCCGGCACCCUGCCGGAGGGAGGAUUUACCUCCAGGAGCUUCUCCGCCGCCAUGGAUGCUUCCCGGACGUGUCGUGAGUAGUCCUCCUUGGACCAUGAGUCCAUGACCAGUAGCUAUAUGAUGUCUUCUCUCCAAUCUUGUGCUUCAAUGGUUAGUCCUUGUGAGCUGUCCUACAUGAUCAAGGCAUCUAUGUAAUUCUCUUGCUAUUGCUAUGCUCAGUUUGUUGGGAUCCGAUGUAUUAUGAGAUUAUGUUCAGAUUGUUAUGAGUUAUAUAUUUGACUAUCCUUUUAUAUUAUUUUCCUUAGUGAUUCAUGCAUGUUCUCCGUUUCUUUGUAUUGCUUUGGCCGAGUAGUAGAUUGUAACUCCAAGAGGGAGCGUUAUGCAUGAUUGUGGGUUCAUGCCCCUCGAUGUCUAGCUUGAGUGACAGAAACAUGAGACUAGGGGAUGUGCUUGUUGCCACCAGGGAGAAAACAACGGUUCUUGUGACCACAGUUGCAAGGAUUGUUUACCUUACGCAUAGUUCAUUAAUGCAGUUGUUCGUUGCUUUGAGUUUACACUUUGGGUGGGGCUCGCAACUUAAUAUGGGAGAGAUGUUCUGGAUAGAUAUCUCAAGGUGGAUGAUUAGUAAGUAGAUGCUGAUGAAUAAACGGUCUAGGGUCUUGGCGUACUGCCCAUUACUAUUGAACUUCUAACCAAAAAGUAGCAUAAUUAGCAUUGCAGUGCGUUCAUAAUUCUAUCAACUGCCCCACUAUGAUUUGUUUACCCAAGCAUAGUUGUUUAUCGUCUUUUUGGAGAGAGACAUCACUAGUGAACAUCAUGUGACUCCGGUCCAUAUCACCAUCAUUGUUUACACCUCCAUCAUUUAUUGCUUUCAUUUACUUUUCCGUUGCAAUCACUAUUACCUUCUCGCUUGUGUUUUGAUCCUUUGCAAACUACAAGGCCAGAGAGAUUGACAACCUCUUUGUACUCGUUGGGUGAAAAGUUAUUUGUUGUGUGUGUCGGUCCAUGUCUUCUGUUAGCGCCAGGGUGGGAGACACCUACUUCUUGAUCCUAGGAGUCCUACUGGUUCCAUAAACCUUACAGUCUCCGUGUAAGGGAAAACUUUAUGCUGACUACAUCUCAACCUUCCACUUGGGGUAACCAACGGGGUGCGAGAAGUAUAUACAUCAUCUCGUCAUCAAGCAAAGUUUUCUGGCGCCGUUGUUGGGGACUCCAAUCUUGAAGAUAGGGGAGUUGCACGCUGUCCUUUACCUUUGCUUUUUAGUCUUGUUAGUUUGUUUUCUAGUUUUUGCUUUAGAGUCUUAUACCGAAAACCACAAAAAAAAAGUUGAUUUGUUCUUGCUCGUUGUCGUUGCUAUGGGUUCCAUUGAGAACACCAUGUUGGGUGACUCCGCUAGGAGUCACAACAACAAUUAUUAUACCUUCUCCCCUAUUGCUCCAGUUACCACUAAGGGUCUUUGUACAAGUAAACCAUGUGACUAUACUAGUCAUUAUGAGAAUUAUGCCAUUGGCAUGGUUGCAUCGGGAAGCCACAAGAUCUUUGGUUUCAAGUUGCUCCUAAACGUCCCCAAACUUGGGAAGAUGUCCAAACUCUUAUAAUAGAGAGAAAAUCAAACGUAGAGGAUGACACUACAAUUUUACUUAAUAGCAACAUUAUUGAUUUUGACAACUGUAGUCUCUCCAAAGUUAUCACCUUUUUGCAAAGAAUGGCUAAAGAACCCCACUCUAGUACACUAAAUAUUGCCUUCACCGAGCAUAUUACCAAUGCUCUUAUCAAAUAUAGGGAGGAGAAGCUCACGCUAGAGACUUUUAUUCCUAGGAAACUAGAAGAUGGUUGGGAUCCUAUGGUCAAAAUAAAAUUNNNNNNNNNNNNNNNNNNNNNNNNNNNNNNNNNNNNNNNNNNNNNNNNNNNNNNNNNNNNNNNNNNNNNNNNNNNNNNNNNNNNNNNNNNNNNNNNNNNNAACUACCUGGUAAUACUUUUCAGAAGAUAUUCAGAAAACCACGAACCACCAAUAUGGUUUUAAAUUCGGUAACAAUCUCGCUUUUCAGGGAAAGAUGAUAUGAUCAAAAAGCGAAGGAAUGACACAAUCCUAACCCAUUGACCGAAAAGUGCACAAUGUAACAUGGACUAGGCAACACGGUCAUUCUUAGGAUGACGAUUCAAUAACCAUGACCAUAAGAGUGAAUUUAUUGUCCAUUAACUUACUAAGCAAUGGCAUUGCUAGGAGUAUUGAUUUCACACAUCAUGGUUCACUUGUCGAUAUUUCAGUUACAACCCACACGGAAACCGAGGGAUGAACAAUGAUAGCGAGAAGUACCACUUUAUCAAGAGUUCAUAACAGGGGUGCAAUUCUCACGACAUCCUUGACACAACAGGGUAAUACUCCCUGAUAGAACAUAACAAAAGCUAGAUUAGCAUUUUGAUCAGCGGAGUACAACUACUUUGACCCAAUCCAAGAAAUGGAUGAGGUACUGGAGUUUUCUUCUCCUAGUCAUUCGGAAAUAGAACAACUUGACACACCACGGGAAUAAAAGACAUUGAUGACACGAAUGCACAACUACUCUUGACUAUCCUCCCAUGGAUGAAGGUCAGAAUACAACUAGAUAGGGCCAACUCAAGAGCACACGAUUUCUCGAGUUGUGGAUGCAUAGAUUAGCAUGUCGAACGAGUUCAACAUAAUUCCUCCAGAUAAACCAUGUAGAAGGGCGGAGUUGGAAGAAUCACAAUAUAGAGUAGAGAACUCAUCAUGAGCACUCUUGUUAUGAUCUUUAGUUCACGAAGAACUUCUGCCAGAGAUGGUCCAUGGUGUUGGAAGAAUGAUAUACCAUGAACCUUGGGAACUAUAACAAGGUUACUAAUCAUUCCAAAGGAACUAGAAACACUAUCAACAGAAGUGAGCAGAAUGAUCCUUGGAUUCAAGAACCCAGAAAUAGAAUACCUACUAGCUAAAUAACAUCAUGGGAUGUUGUAAAAAAUGAUGGCCAGAAUUAUCACACUGGGAACAAGAACAUAUCUAGACUAUUGGGUAGUUUUCGAGGUAACAUGUUUUCCUAAUACUUCAACAAAACGUUGAGUUAAUAGAGUACCUCAACACAAUGGUUAGUGUGCUUUGUCUCGCCAAAAAGACAUUAACUCGGGAUGAGAGGAUUUGCAAUUGCAUCAGAUUAUUUAGAAACCUUGGAAAACUCGAACAACAUAACGGUUGUACGGGCAUGAAAUAUAAGGCAACCUGCAAGAAAACUAACAACAUAAUAAUUGAAUUCUUAUGGAGACACUGAUCCUGAGGACAACAACUACCCUAUAGACCUCCAACAAAGUAACUUGUCGUCGUAAUGAAUAGAUGAGAAAGCCUAAUUCUUAGACCCCAUAGAAUAAAGAAGAGGAUGACUCAGAAUAAGAAUGACACAAUGAAAGUAGUAAAAGAGCCUUACGUUCCUUUCCACAAACAAUUCCCUUAUAUAACUAAAGAGUUGCUAGACUCAACAUCGACCAGUUUGGCUUGGUUAUCCUACAGGCAGUCAAGCUCUGAUACCAAAGUUGUCGGGACCCCGAUCCUGAAUCAUAAGAACCCAACCUAUAACACAUCACAUCAAUUUGUGGCCUCACACACGGUAAACUCCACGGCUGCCACCUUACCUUGGCCGGGACCAUUUGCGUCUUUUGGCUCACGUAUAUGAAUCUGUCGCUAGAGCAUUCAAACGACAAAGAACCUGGGUCGACAUGACUAGUAAUAAACCCAAGUUGUACAUCCGUACAUGGACAUGCAUACAUAACACAGCAAAGCAGGUGUAGGUCAUCAGCGUGUGUAGACGAGUUGUAGCAAGCUACAAGGACUCCAUUACACCGCGUGACAUUUCCCCGAAGGGAUAGACACAGCAACAAAGAAGGAUACAUGCCUGCCAAUCAAUGUGUUUGGGUGUCGAAUCCCACACAUAUAAUGCAUUUCAUAACAUACACACGAUAUGCAGGAUAUGUGUAGAUACAACAUGGCAUCGCAACAUAACUCUAUGACUCAAGCUUUUAUUAAAGACUCAUAAGAAUCAACAUAGUAUGAUAUUACAACAGGGGUCUCAUGACCCGACACUCAAGUCAUACAAACAACAAGCGGAAGCAAAACAUGUCUGGGUACAGACAUCUACUAAAAGUUGUUGGAAGAGCAUGAAAAGCUACAACGACCCGACCAAAGAAACCAGAUCUUUGUGUGGGAUUCCCAAGCUAUUCCGGUCAACAUAGAACACAUCACGUAGAACCUUUUAAUGAGACUAAAUCUUCUCUGCAAAAACAUAAAUAAAGAAACCGUGAGUACAAAGGUACCCAGCAAGACUUACAUCAGAACUAUCUACAUAUGCAUCAUGUAUCAACGAAAGGAUUGUGGGGUUUGAUUGUAGCAAGCUAUCUUUGACUCUUGGCUAACCUGUACUAUAACUACAAGUUCUUUCUUGAGGUGGGAUAGCACACACGAGUCCACAUAUUCACCAAUUCAAUACACCACUAUGGAUCCACUCUUGUCUCGCUACGAGAAGGCCAUCCAUAGCACUCACACUUAUCUUGCAUGUUUUAGAGUAUCCAUUUAAAUUGUCUAUGUACCACGUAAUGUUUGCAAGUAGUCCAUAUCCGAGGACGCGGCUAUUCGAACAGAUUAAAUCACCCUGCAGGGGUAUACUUCUUCACACAUGGUCUCCCCACUUAGCACCAUAUGCACGUCAUGCAUCUCGGCAACCUUCAAGCGGAAGCACUGGCGUGGGUGUCGGCCACAACCGUUAACCACACAAGACACUAGUCCAGGUUUAUCGCCUAUUUGAGACUGAACCCGCAAGGAAGUUCGACCGAGGUUUCCUCUACGGCCCCAAAUGAUGUGCGCAGGGUUCCCAAGGACCACCAUCCCGGUGCCACUUGGUACACCGUGCCACUGUGUAUCUACCGCACAGAAGCCUAUCCCGUCGGGCAGAGCUAAAUACGGCCGCCAACACUUUUCCUACAAACACCAGAAACUAAUUGCAACUCCUGGACAAAGAUCUAGGCAAUUAAUAAGCCGAGCGGGGUCAUAUUUCAGGGCCCAAUGCAUGGUAGUAUGUUGUCUUGGAUAACAUACACAGAACUCAGUUCUUAAGGACGGUCCCAAUGAGACAACCCACCAUGUACUCCUACAUGGCCUCUCAUCGCUACCUUUACCAAAUCGGAUUCACACUUUUACUCUCACAUUGUAGGACAUGAACACAACCAUUCCGAUUCAUCAUCCAGAUGGAUCAGACCCGACACGACUCUAUGCAUAGCAGGCAUUGUAAGUAGGCAUGGAUGAGUAAGCACAACAAGGCUCAAGCAGUUCCUACUCAUGCUAAGUGGUUUCAACUAUUUACUGUGACAAAAUCAAGUCAUGCAGAGGAAUGGGUUCAACUACCGAGAACAUGUAACGGUUGAAUCGUGUUUGUCCUAAUGCAAUAAAAGAGAGCAGGAGCGAGAGAGUGGGUUUAUAUCAGUAUGCUCAAGGGGGUUUGCUUGCCUGACAGUUCUGAAGAUAGCAAUGAGUCUUCAUCAGUGUCAACGAUCACAUCAUCGGAACCAUCGUCUACCGAGAGGGAACAACACCGGCAAACAAGAAAGAACAAUAUUUACUUCACGGAAAUGCAACACUAUGAUGCAUGAACAUGAAAUGAAGAUGAGAAGUGGCAGGGCUAAUAUAGCUGCCAUUUCUUAGGUUGAAGCUGGAUUUGAAUUAGAAUUCAAAUAUCACUUCAAGCAAGGUAUUUUACAAAUACCUUUUUAACUGAUUCGACGUGAUGCUCAAUGAUAACUUGUUUUAACAUGCAUGAAGAUGGCAUUUUGAGGUAUUGAUUUUCCUAGCUCAAUGUUUGGUCUUGUUAAUUGAAGUGGAAUUCAAAUAUAUUCCAAAUUCCAACUCCAAUCUAUUUAUUAAAUUUACCCUAAUCAUCAUUUUUCCUACUUGGUGAUGUUAACUUUCUCAAACAUGCAUGAAAAUGCCAUAAUGAGAUUCCUUGCAUUUUUUGAUCAUUUUUCAUAUAUAAAUUAUUUUCAUUGGACUUAAAGAUUAUUUUCUAUGAUUUUUAGAAGUUUUCGGCAUUUUUCUGGAAUUAUUGUGACGCCCUCGAUUUAAUCGUACGCUAAUCAUACACGCAAAUGCGUACGAUCAAACCCAAGGACUCACGGGAAGAUAUCACAACACAACUCUAGACACAAAUAAAAUAAUACAUCAUCUUCAUAUUACAAGCCAUGGGCCUCGAGGUCUAGAAUACGAAAGCUCGAUAAACACACGAGUCAGCGGAAGCAACAAAUAUCUGAGUACAGACAUAAAACAUGGGGUACCUUAGAGAAGGCUAGCACAAAAGAUACAACGAUCGAACGAGGCGAGGCCUCCUGCCUGGGAAUCUCCUAACUACUCCUGAUCAGCAGCGGCCUCCACGUAGUAGUAGGCAACGUCGGGGUAGCAGUCGUCGGCGGCAGGGACCUCCAUCUCCUGGGCUCCAUCAUCUGGUCGCAUCAACGGAUCGAGGGGACAAGGGGGGGGGGAGCAAAGCAGCGGUGAGUACUCAUGCAAAGUACCCGCAAGUGUUACAUCAGAACUAUUCUAAUUAUGCAUCAGUAUCAAAGAAGGAGGGGUUAUAUGUGGACUGACUGCAGCAAUGCGAGAAUAGAGAGAGAAGGCCUAGUCCUAUCGAAGACUAGCAUCUUCAGGGUCUUGCAGCAAUAGACGAGAGUGGAACAGGGGUAACACAUUAAUAGUCAUAUUGUUGCAGCAAUAUUAAAGUAAGGUCACGCCUAAAGAUCCUCCCUCGACUCCCUCCGAGGAAGCAAUCCCGAGGCAAACUAAAUCCAGUUAAGUAACAAUUGUAGUUGUAAAAGAUCGGGGCACAACUCCAAGUCGUCCUGCAACCGUCGACACGGCUAUCCGAAUAGUUAAUUUUCAUCCGUGCAGGGGUGCACCACAUGUCCCGUCACGCUCGAUAACACUCUGGCUGGACAUACUUUUCUGGGUCCUGCCCGGCCUCGGAAUAUCGACACGUCGCAGCCCGACCUAAGACUAAUCAGAGAGGUGAGCCCGCCAGUCUAAAUCCUAAGCGCAAAGGGUUCAUGGGCCCAAUUCCCCUCCGCGCUCCUGCACGAUGCAAGGGCGGCUUACGUCAGUCCUAGCAUCCCUUAAUCACAAGCGCAAUGCAUCUCGGGACCACUCGGGCGCGCGCCACUACGAUUGCUGACAUCUGAAAAGCUUCGGCUGAUACUGCGACGCCGGGUACCCAUAAUUCUUCCCGCGUAGCCGGUUAGUGCGAAAAGGUCUUCGACCAACCCAGAUCAAAUUCCCAAAUCCAUUAACAUUUUAAUUAGGCCAACUCCACCCGUCUUACAACUAAUCACCAAUGAUCCCAGUAACAUGGUCGAGUAACUGUGUGGUUGUAACAUCGGUGGGAAUCCGAGGUAUCACCCUCGUUGUAUUCUGAACGAUGUACCCGUCAAGGUGGGCUUAGAGGAAUCACCCUCGGGGGUCCCACACUUGAGGGGUUGUACGACAGAGGCAUCGUCGGGAAUGGUGAAAGAGGAAUCACCCUCGAUAACCACGACCGACUAGCUAUACUACAAAGAUAUCANGGCAUCGUCGGGAAUGGUGAAAGAGGAAUCACCCUCGAUAACCACGACCGACUAGCUAUACUACAAAGAUAUCAUCUGGCGUACUUAGCGAGGUGUCACCCUCGGUACCCGAUAGUAUCUGUGUAGCUCGUACAACUAAGGGGGUGUAAGUGCUGUGUCGGGUCUGGCUCGUCGAUCAGAGAUCGAGAUUUGAAAACAAGCAGGGCAACUGAACUAGGGGGUUAGAGGGGAUGACUGCUCCACCUAUACUAGGCAUAUUAAAGGUACAGGACUAAAAGUAGCAGUUCAUCAAAAAGAGGCUAUGCCUCAGAUAUAGGAGCUAACUACAACAGUAGCAAAAUACUAAUGCAAGCAGUAGGAAGAAAGACAUAGGCGAUAUAGGAAUGAUCAAGGGGGGUUUGCUUGCCUUGCUGCUCUGCGGCAAAGGACUGAUCGGCAGGGUCGUAGAUGUACCCGGCACCAGCGUCAGUCUCGGGGUCUACCGGUAAGAAGAGGGGGAACAAACAAUAAAUAAUAGCAACGGUGCAACACAAAGCAUGCGUGGCAAGAUGUAGGCUAGACAUGAGCUAACGCAGCAACAUCCGUCAUAGACGGGUCGGAAGAAUACCUGACGGUAUUUUCCGGGUCUCGGCCUACUACCGGUCAGACUAGAAACGAUGAAAAUGUUCCAUGUUUGCUAUGAGAGGGAUGCGUGACACACGAAUGGACCGUGUAUCCGGGUUCGUCUCGUUCUGCUGAUCAACUUUCAUGUUGAAAAUAUCUUGAUCUGACUUACAGAUUAUUUAAUAUUAAUUUUUAAUGCUUUAUUCAAUAAUUAGGAAUUAAAAACAGAUUUAAAUAAUUUAAUAAAAUGUUAUUAUGACAUCAGCAUGAUGUCAUGCUGACAUCAACAGUUGACGUGAACUCACCAGCGGGUCCCGAACGUCAUAGGCACAAGUUUUAAUUAAGAUUAAAUAUUAAUUAAUCAGAUUAAUUUAGUGGGGGACCCACGUGUCAUACUCUAAUUAUUCUAAUUAUCCAAUUAACUAAUUAACUGAUAUAUCUAUUUCUUUUUACUUUUUAUAAUUUAAUUUUUACUUUUCUUUAAAAUGGGGGUGUGGGGCCUCCCUGUCAUAGACAGCCGAGUGCGUUGGCCCCACCAGUAAGUGGCUUUAGGCCAAAAACAUAUUUUAAUUCACAGAUACAUAACCAUACAAAUAUCGUAUUCCUCCACAUACCUAUAUACGCAAAUACAUACAUAAAUACGGGCCCAUAUAUACAUACGGAAUACAUCAUUUGUUUUUAUUUCUUUCUAACUCUCAUCUCUCACAACUCUCUGUGUUAACACACAAUAGACAACACAGAGUCUGUUAACUUUCUCAACAUAGAGGAGAGCCAAAUUCAUCUCCUCCUACCGGAGUCAAACGUCGACGUAUCAGAGCCCCGUUUGCCGGAACGGAAUCGGGACGACGAAGGGAACGAGAUAGUGGGAGGAGCCCGAGGAGGGGCUCACCGACGUUGACGAGACGGCCCGGUGAAGCCGGAGUUCUCGUGAGGCGGAGUAGACGAAGAGGAGGAAGACGAUGCGGUGACGGUGGUGGUGAUGCCGGUCACCGGAGAGGCCUCCCGGAGGUGGCCAACCGUCGUGACGAGGAGCCGGCCGGAGGGUCACCGAGAGGGUCCGGCCGACGAGANNNNNNNNNNNNNNNNNNNNNNNNNNNNNNNNNNNNNNNNNNNNNNNNNNNNNNNNNNNNNNNNNNNNNNNNNNNNNNNNNNNNNNNNNNNCUGGGGGAAAACGGGAGAGCGGGGGGAGAGCCAGGGUGAGCGCUAGGGUUUGAUGAUGGUGGCCGGCUCGGCCACUUUGGCCUAGUCGGCCAAGGGGGGGGCUCGGUUGCUUUUUUUCUAUUAUUAUUUCUUACUACUAUUUCAUUUUAUCAUUAAACCUUAUUUACGUUCUUUUACAAUUUAGUAUAUAUUUUUUUAAUUCGUUCUUUUAUUUAUACAUUUUCAUUAUAUUUCUUUUUCUUACUUUUUCUUUCUGACAUUCUAUUAUUAUUAUUAUUCUUUAUAUAUAUUCCUUUGUGUUCUAACUAUACAUGACUUUUAAUACCAUUAGAAAUGUCCGAUUCAUUUUUAUAACCUAUUAGGGAAUUUCAAUAACUCUCCCGACAUUUUUACUUAACAUCACAAAACGUUUCUCGUUCAAUUUUAUUUCUUUAAAUUCUGAAUGCGACUUGUUUUUCGACUAACACUAGAUCAACGAUAGAAUUUAUGAUGACGUGGCUUCAUUAGCGUGGGAUUACUGUCGCUUGACUACAAGGGUUACUGUAGCACAAAUCCGGGGAUGUCACAACUCUCCCCUAUUAACAAGAAUUCUCGUCCCGAGAAUUAAGAGGUAGAGGGAAAGAGCCCGGGGUAUUCAUUACGAAGAUGAUCCUCGCGUUCCCAAGUGGCUUCAUCCUUAGAAUGAUUUGACCACUUCACUUUAAGGAACUUGGUGACUUUGCGACGGGUCUUACGUUCAGCUUGGUCGAGAAUGCGGACCAGAUGCCCUUUAUAAGAGAGGUCUUGUUGCAGCUCAAGCAUACCAUGAUCCAGUGCUCGAAUAGGAUCCUUGAAGCUAAGAAACAUGGAAGACAUCGUGAACCUAAGAAAGGUUCGCCGACAGCUCCAAUUGAUAAGCCAGUCUUCCACGCCUUUUGAGAACAGUCAAAGGACCAAUAUAGCAAGGAGCUAAUUUGCCCUUGUUUACAAAACGGUGUGCGCCUAUCACUGGUGUGACACUAAGAUAAGCCUUUUCGCCAGGUUGAUAGACCAUAUCUUGAUGAUGACGGUCGUACUGACUCAUCUGACGAGACUGAACAGCCUUCAGAUUGUCAUGAAAAAUGUGGACUUGAUCUUUAGUAUGUUGGAUAAUAUCCGGAUCGAAGAGUGAUCGGUACAUUGAACGGUGGCUCGAGAAUUUCAUACGAAGCCAAGUGUAAAGGAUACUUUGGAGUCAAAGAUGUACAGGAGAGUCAGGUUUCAAUCCUGUGGAACUUUGGGUUAUGGGUCCACCAUGUGGGCCGAGAGUAGACAGGGGGGUCACAUAUUAUAUGGUCUUGGUAUCAAGACAUGUCAGAGGAUAGCCUGUCAGUUAUGUUGGAACAACAUAUAGGUACCAAGGGCGGGGGACGAAUAGAACCAUCUUCCUGCUCGUUACAACGAGGCGGACCAAUAGGCAAAGUUCUCGUCCACCGGCGGCUACCGAAAUGUUAUCCACAAUAGUAACUGGGUUUUACUGACAGAUUUAUAUACCGAGAAUUUUACCUAAGCAGGGAAUUAACACUGCUUAGAUAAGUUAUGCCACAAGAAAGUUCAAACAAACCAAUGGGAAUGAGAAUGUGUUCACUCACACAAAGAAUUUAAAGUAUACCAUUCCCGAGGAAAACGUAGAGUAUGGUAUACAUUUUAUGUCAUUAAGUGCCUAUCCAUCUGGAUAAAGAGGCAAGAGGGACCAUGAUGUUUACCCAUACCAUUCGGUUUGGAUAACUGAUGAGGAAAUAUUUAGCAUUGCGCUUUCAAUGUUCCUGUUGAAAUUUGAAGUACCACAUCCGUGCUUCGAGGUAGCAUCGAUAUGGUCAUCAGAUGAAGGUCAGACUUAUGGGUAUACAAAGAAGAUUCAGGAGGAGCAACUUAUGACAUAAGUCAUAUAUUCUUCGCAUGGAAGAUGGUGAAUCUUUCAUAUGGAAGAAUUUAUAACAAUCGGUCCUUCGGCCCGGUGUGCCACACAAGACAUCACUGUACCAGAUUACCUAAGACCAAAGUUAUAAUUAUUGGAAAAUGUUCCAACCAUCAUAUCUUCCUGGGAUUCAGAUCUGAUUGGUGUCAGGAUACCUCAGACUCAAGAUGCCUGAGAAGAAAAAUGAAGAUGCAAGAUUCUCAUGAUACGAGCUACACAAGCAAUCUUUGAAUCAUGAGUUCGACUUUAAGACAUAUGAACACAAUGUCAAGACAUUCGUGCCCACAUAGACUUAUUACGUCAAAAAGCAACUGAGUUCUCAUUUGGAAACCAUCAUUGAGGAUAACAAGGUUCCAUGUGCAAAUCUCGAUUAGCUCUUAUGAAGGAACUUCUUUUCCUUGAUCAAAUCAGUCAGUGGCUUGGCGUGCUGAGCAAGUUAUAUGCAGUGAGAAUAGCAAAUCAUCAAAACAUAUAACACUUCGCACUUGCAUGAAUGAUUUGAUAUUUCCCAAGAGGGAGUGCAACAAAACCUUCACAUAUUCACGGCGGAAAGAUUGCACGUGAACUUUGGGGAAAUACACUUCUUCUAUCAAACAUAUUCUUUACAAGCUAGGCACAAAGAUAAGGCUUUCAAGGGCUUCAUCGUGAAUCAUGAAUAUGUUGAUGGUGUGGUCGAUGGGCUCAGCAUCAAUCCCUCAAGAUUUUGACAGGGACGAAUUUCCAAAGUUAUAAUAUCAAGGAGAUAGCAUUUGUCAAAUCAAAUGGUAUAAUGUUGUAUGCUCGAGGGAACAUCAACAAUUAAACAUUGGUCGAAGGGUGCACUCGAAAAGACGGAAUGAGUAGCACGACCAAUGCUAAAAUGAUGAGUCAACACCCAACACACUAAGGAGGAAACAAUCUGUUAUUAACCUCAAGGUGAUAGGAUUGACAAAAGUAUUGGAGUCACACAUCAGAGUUCACUUGUCGGUAGUCUGGUUUGAAACAACACGGGACCAAGAAUGAAUGGUGAUGGCGAGAAGUAUUACUAUAUCAAGAAUCCUUAAGAGGUGCAAUGAUGUUCACAACAUUCUUGAUAGAAAAGGUAGUAAUACUCCAAGGUAGAAGAUGACAUAAGCUGAAUUAGCAAGCAACUCGAAGGACAACACAAAACAUGAACACGUUUGUGUUGGAGGAAAGGCAAAAAGGUUGCCGAUGAAAACACAAACCAUCGAGGGGCAGGGAUGGUAUUUUCUCAUCAAGCAUUCAAUUGACACCCUGCAAGAGCUCAGAAUGCUAAUGAUGAUCACGACACAAUUGUCGAGAACUUCACGAAGAUGUAAUCAAUCAGCGACGACAUCAAGCAAGGGAAUGGUGAAGCAAGAGGUUGUCGGAAUCACAGAUAAGACUGCUAGCUUAGAAUUGAGAUUGCCUUUCAGGACAACCAACAUGAUGUGGAAUUGUGUUCGAGGGAUGAAGGGUAUAGAUAGCAUGGUCGAGCUCCAACAUGACGAUGAUGACGUAGCUUAACAGCUUGGAAUGACAUGAUCGAGUACAAACUCGUAAACAAGGAAGAUUACUAAAAAUUGUUGAAUCGCAAUGCGUACUCGAUUUCGGUAUCGAUGUACUCGCGUGUCCAACAACUCAAACAUGAGAAAAACUGGAAUUAAUGAAAAUAUCAUAGUUGAUGAGGAACUCACACGAAAAUAUGUAGCUCCGUGAUAUCCUCGAGAUACGAGGGAUAAUACUCGAAGGUAUAUCAAUGUUAAGGCUUGGGUCGAUGUGUUGAUCUGAAGAAGACAAAUACUUUAACUCGUCUCAGAAUGAAAUAAAGGUAGGACAACAUGGUCAGAACCACGAUUGUAAUGUACCAAACGACAGAUACCAGAUCAAAUCAUAGAAUUAUUGAUUAUUGUUAUGAGGAGUUUGUAUAAUAGGAUCAACAUCGUUUCCAUGGGCAUGAAUACAAAGUUCAAGGUCGACUCCCACUUCAUCAAUGCAUCACCUGCCAUUUAUUCCUCGCCUUUGAUCAGGUUGCAGCUUUAAAAGGAUAUUCGGCAAAGUGCCAGAAGAGUAAGACUCAUGAAAACUCUUUGAGUCAUAUCGAUUUAGGAAGGCAUAGGUUCAACCCGUCGGGGCAUCUUAGCAACAUAUACCAUAAACUCCAAGAGUAAUUAACAUGUACUAUAGGAGCAUGGUUGUCAAAGCAUAGGAUACAAUUCUAUCAGAGGGAGAAGACACUAUUUACCAAUGGCAUCAUGUGUCAGGGGAAGCAAUCACAAGAAUUUUCGAAAGCAAAGGAUUCUGUCGGAUAAUAGAAUAGAAUGAGUAUGGCAGUACACAAAAUAUCUGAUGUCAGUAUCGGUGCUCAAUCAGAGGGGGUAAAACAUAAGGCAUCGGAUUAUAGAACAUCUGUAAAAUAUCGAUACUUAACUACCAAAGGAAUUAGGAUUUCCAGAUUGGUGUAUCAUAAACAGAUGCUCUGGUCAAGUACAAGUAAGUUGAAUAGAUUUAGAUGGACAAUCAAUAAAAAUUGAUUUGUCGGGAACCAGUUCUGUUUGAAAGGAUGUCUGAGUCGGAAAUAAAAUUAAUAAGUAUCCUCAGAUGAUUGUGUUCAUUCACACAGAGGUUGAGUCAAUAAGAUCAGAGGAAAAUCGCAAAGGAUUUUAAUGAAUGUUGCUAGACAUAUGGAUUUAACCAUAAUGCAAGUAGGUGAGAAAAGCCAAGAGCAAUAGGCUACGAAGGAUUUCGGAAGACCGAAUAGUAAGUCGAAGAACUUUCGAAACCCAUGACAACUAAUGAUGGACGAAUCCCCGAUAAGAUAAUUCGUUGCAUCUCGUAAAACAAGAGCAACUAGAAAAGAAGGUAUGAACGACAUUUGCAUGUAGUCAUCCAUAGUGGUUGACGAAGGAAGGGAAAUCGCAAGAGCGAUGGGCACAAGUUCUCGGGAGCAAGCAUCGGAGAAUAUCAUCGGAGUCUCCUGACGAAUCGAGUCAUUAUCAGGAAUGAGGGACUCUUCGGAAGGAAGUAUUUACGAGAACCUAAUGUCAGAGUUAUUAAAAUCUUUAACCCGAAAGAGAAGAGAGAGUAGAGCCCAGAGUAUAGGAAAGGAGUAAAAGAUACUAAUACCACCCAAUUGAGAUGUGGGCCCGUAGGCCACCACAUCAGUGUUAGUAAAGAUUUUCAAACACUAGACUCAACUUCGGCCAAGGAGUUGGAAAGGGGGCUACCUACAGGCAGUCGGCUCUGAUACCAACUUGUGACGCCCUCAAUUUAAUCAUACGCUAAUCAUACAUGCAAAUGCGUACGAUCAAACCCAAGGACUCACGGGAAGAUAUCACAACACAACUCUAGACACAAAUAAAAUAAUACAUCAGCUUCAUAUUACAAGCCAUGGGCCUCGAGGGCUAGAAUAAGAAAGCUCGAUAAACACACGAGUCAGCGGAAGCAACCAAUAUGUGAGUACAGACAUAAAACAUGGGGUGCCUUAGAGAAGGCUAGCACAAAAGAUACAACGAUCGAACGAGGCGAGGCCUCCUGCCUGGGAACCUCCUAACUACUCCUGAUCAUCAGCGGCCUCCACGUAGUAGUAGGCACCGUCGGGGUAGCAGUCGUCACCGGCGGGGACCUCCAUCUCCUGGGCUCCAUGAUCUGGUCGCAGCAUUGGAUGGAGGGGACAAGGGGGGAGCAAAGCAGCGGUGAGUACUCAUCCAAAGUACUCGCAACUCUUACAUCAGAACUAUUCUAAUUAUGCAUCAGUAUCAAAGAAGGAGGGGUUAUAUGUGGACUGACUGCAGCAAUGCGAGAAUAGAGAGAGAAGGCCUAGUCCUAUCGAAGACUAGCAUCUUCAGGGUCUUGCAGCAAUAGACGAGAGUGGAACAGGGGUAACACAUUAAUAGUCAUAUUGUUGCAGCAAUAUUAAAGUAAGGUCACGCCUAAAGAUCCUCCCUCGACUCCCUGCGAGGAAGCAAUCCCGAGGCAAACUAAAUCCAGUUAAGUAACAAUUGUAGUUGUAAAAGAUCGGGGCACAACUCCAAGUCGUCAUGUAACCGUGGACACGGCUAUCCGAAUAGUUAAUUUUCAUCCCUGCAGGGGUGCACCACAUGUCCCGUCACGCUCGAUAACACUCUGGCCGGACAUACUUUUCUGGGUCCUGCCCGACCUCGGAAUAUCGACACGUCGCAGCCCCACCUAAGACUAAUCAGAGAGGUCAGCCCGCCGGUCUAAAUCCUAAGCGCAAAGGGUUCAUGGGCCCAAUUCCCCUCCGCGCUCCUGCACGAUGCGAGGGCGGCCGACGUCAGUCCUAGCAUCCCUUAAUCACAAGCGCAAUGCAUCUCGGGACCACUCGCGCGUGCGCCAGUACGAUUGCAGACAUCUGAAAAGCUUCGGCUGAUAUCGCGACGCCGAGUACCCAUAAUUCUUCCCGCGUAGCCGGUUAGUGCGAAAAGGUCUCCGACCAACCCAGAUCAAAUACCCAAAUACAUUAACAUUUUAAUUAGGCCAACAACACAGUCUCACGGGAAUCCACCCGUCUUACAACUAAUCACCAAUGAUCCUAGUAACAUGGUCGAGUAACUGUGUGCUUGUAACAUCGGGGGGAAUCCGAGGUAUCACCCUCGUUGGAUUCUGAAUGAUGUACCCGUCAAGGUGGGCUUAGAGGAAUCACCCUCGGGGGUCCCACACUUGAGGGGUUGUACGACAGAGGCAUCGUCGGGAAUGGUGAAAGAGGAAUCACCCUCGAUAACCAUGACCGACUAGCUAUACUAUAGAGAUAUCAUCUGGAGUACUUNGGCAUCGUCGGGAAUGGUGAAAGAGGAAUCACCCUCGAUAACCAUGACCGACUAGCUAUACUAUAGAGAUAUCAUCUGGAGUACUUAGCGAGGUGUCACCCUCGGUACCCGAUAGUAUCUCUGUAGUGUCGUACAACUAAGGGGGUGUAAGUGCUGUGUCGGGUCUGGCUCAUCGAUCAGAGAUCGAGAUUUGAAAACAAGCGGGGCAACUGAACUACGGGGUCAGAGGGGAUAACUUCUCCACCUAUACUAGGCAUAUUAAAGGUACAGGACUGAAAGUAGCAGUUCAUCAAAAAUAGGAUAUGCAUCAGAUAUAGGAGCUAACUACAACAGUAGCAAAAUACUAAUGCAAGCAGUAGGAAGAAAGACAUAGGCGAUAUAGGAACGAUCAAGGGGAGUUUGCUUGCCUUGCUGCUCUGCGGCAAAGGACUCAUCGGCAGGGUCGUAGAUGUACCCGGCACCAGCGUCAGUCUCGGGGUCUACGGGUAAGAAGAGGGGGAAGAAACAAUAAAUAAUAGCAACGGUGCAACACAAAGCAUGCGUGGCAAGAUGUAGGCUAGACAUGAGCUAACGCAGCAACAUCCGUCAUAGACGGGUCGGAAGAAUAUCUAACGAUAUUUUCCGGGUCUCGGGCUACUACCGGUCAGACUGGAAACGAUGAAAUGUUCCGGGCUAUGAUAGGGACGCGUGACAGACGAAUGGACCGUGUAUCCGGGUUCGUCUCGUUCUGCUGAUCAACUUUCAUGUUGAAAAUAUCUUGAUCUGACUUACGGAUUAUUUAAUAAUUAGGAAUUAAAAACAGAUUUAAAUAAUUUAAUAAAAUGGUAUUAUGACAUUAGCAUGAUGUCAUGCUGACAUCAAUAGUUGACUGGUCAACUGACUAGCGGGUCCCGAACGUCAAAGGCACAAGUUUUAAUUAAGAUUAAAUAUUAAUUACUCAGAUUAAUUUAGUGCGGGACCCACGUGUCAUACUCUAAUUAUUCUAAUUAUCCAAUUCACUAAUUAACUGAUAUAUCUAUUUAUUUAUUUAAAUAAAAAUAUUAUUUUUAUUUUUUAUAAUUUAAUUUUUACUUUUCUUUAAAAGGGGGUGUGGGGCCUCCCUGUCAUAGACAGCGGGGUGCGUUGGCCCCACCGGUAAGUGGCUUUAAGCCAAAAACUUAUUUUAAUUCACAAAUACAUAACCAUACAAAUAUCGUAUUCCUCCACAUACCUAUAUACGCAAAUACAUACAUAAAUAUGGGCAUCAAAUACAUACAUACAUACAUACGGAAUACAUCAUUUGUUUUUAUUUCUUUGUAACUCUCAUCUCUCACAACUCUGUGUGUUAACACACAACAGACAACUCAAAGUCUGUUAACUUUCUCAACGUAGAACAGAGCCAACUUCAUGUCCUCCUACCGGAGUCAAACGUCGACGGAUCGGAGCCCCGUUUGCCGGAACGGAACCGGGACGGCGAAGGGAACGAGAUAAUGGGAGGAGCCCGAGGAGGGGCUCACCGACGUUGACGAGACGACCCGGUGAAGCCGAAGUUCUCGUGAGGCGGAGUAGACGAAGAGGAGGAAGACGAUGCGGUGACGGUGGUGGUGAUGCCGGUCACCGGAGAGGCCUCCCGGAGGUGGCCAACCGUCGUGACGAGGAGCCGGCCGGAGGGUCGCCGAGAGGGGCCGGCCGACGAGAAGGGGAGGGCCUCAGCCUGUCUCUUAUACACNNNNNNNNNNNNNNNNNNNNNNNNNNNNNNNNNNNNNNNNNNNNNNNNNNNNNNNNNNNNNNNNNNNNNNNNNNNNNNNNNNNNNNNNNNNNNNNNNNNNNNNNNNNNNNNNNNNNNNNNNNNNNNNNNNNNNNNNNNNNNNNNNNNNNNNNNNNNNNNNNNNNNNNNNNNNNNNNNNNNNNNNNNNNNNNNNNNNNNNNNNNNNNNNNNNNNNGAUGUGUAUAAGAGACAGGCCCCUGGCGGCGGCGCUAGGGGAAAACGGGAGAGCGGGGGGAGAGCCAGGGUGAGUGCUAGUGUUUGAUGAUGGUGGCCGCCUGGGCCACUUUGGCCGAGUCGGCCAAGGGGGGGGGCUCAGUUGCUUUUUUUUCUAUUAUUAUUUCUUACUACUAUUUCAUUUUAUUAUUAAACCUUAUUUACGUUCUUUUACAAUUUAGUACAUAUAUUUUUAAUUCCUUCUUUUAUUUAUACAUUUUCAUUAUNUAACAUCACAAAACGUUUCUCGUUCAAUUUUAUUUCUUUAAAUUCCGAAUGCGACUUGUCUUUCGACUAACACGAGAUGAACGAUAGAAUUUAUGAUGACGUGGCUUCAUUAGCGUGGGAUUAUUGUCGCUUGACUACAAGGGUUACUGUAGCACAAAUCCGGGGAUGUCACAACUAUUUCAUAGCAGAAAAUUACUUAUUGCGCCAGCUCUGCGUCAACAUUGCGUCAGCAGGUCAACUGACCUGGUCAGAGUCAAACCUAACAUGUGGGGUCCACACGUGAGUGAUAGAGUUUAAUUAACAGGGUUAGGUUAAUCUCGAUUCUUAUUUUAGAGCCUAGGGCCCACUGUUAGUGAGUCAUAGCUUAACUAAAUAGAUAUUAGGUGCUAAUUAAACACCUGACCGGCUAGGCCCGCUUGUCAGCGACCCAGACCGGUGGAGCUCAUUGCCGAUGGCCACAGAGCACGGCGGCGCUGACGGAUUUCCUCCUCCGGCAACCAAAUGGCCGGCGGAGGGCAUCUACACGGUCCUGGGGCUUGGCCGGAUCCAUUUGGGGGUGGUGGAUGGAGCAAGGGGCACUAGAGCAACGCUGGCGACGUGGUAAGUGGCGGCCGGAGAUCGGGCUCAUGGCCAGCUAGCUAGGCGGACGCGAGGAGCUCGGGAGAAGGGGAGGAAACGACGCGGUGGCUCACAUCGGUUCGGAUGGGACAGACGGCGAGCUCAGGGAAAACCUGAAUCAUGUGAAUCGACGGCGAGGACGUCCGGUGGCCGGCGGUGAAGAUGACGAUGGCGGUGACGCUUGAGGGGCUUCCGGCUCAAUUGCGUUGGCUGGAUGGGGUGGCACGUUGUGGCGGCGACGAGGGGUGCUCGGGGAGGGCUAGCAGGGGCCAGAGAAGGCGUCGGUGAGCGCGAGCCGAGCUCGUUAGUGGCGGUUGAAAGGGAAGAUAGAGAGGAGAAGGGAACCAUCGCUAGGGGAGGGGGAAUCGGUCCAGGGGCUCAUCCACAUCGUCUCAGACGCGGGAUAGGGAUGGAGGAGGCGCCUCCAGCGCGAAGCAGGAGGUGGAGGCCUCGGCGCAUGCCACGCCUCUCCUCCUGGUGAGAGGUUGAGGAUGUCUGGCACUUGGGCGAGAUGGGCUCCAAGUGUUGGGCCAGGUAAGUUUUCUUUCUUAUUUUUUGUCUCUUAUUCUGUUUUGUUUUAUAUUAGUGACAUUUGUUUUAUUUUAUAUUUUGGCUUCAGGCUUAAGUCAAAAAUAUUGAAAUUGUUUUUAGGGUUUUGUUUGGAUUAUUUCUGGCUCCAUAAAAAGAUUCAUCAUUUUUGAAAAGACUAAAAAAUAUUUAUAGCAAUUUAGUUAUCAAUUUCAAGGGCAUUAAGAUUAAACUAAAAUGACCAAAGAGUUGUUAAAAAGUUUAUCACCAAUUUAGUUUCCAACAUUUAUCAAAAAGGGUGAACAUUUUUGGAGGCCAUUUGGGUUUAUUGAAAAUAAUCCUUGUUGAACCUAUUUCUAUUUUAUUUGGUGCUAGGUUUUUAUCAUCCCCAUUUAGGGUUCAAAAGGAUUUUACCAUGAUUCAUGGAUGCUUUGUGAUGCAACCAAAAAUAAAAACAACAACACAAUCUAGGGCUGUGACAGAAGAACUCCUAUCGCCUAGGAGUCUCCAACAUCCAAGAGUACCAAGAUCAUGAGAACUCCUCAAAACUUGCUCAAAUCAGAAAUAGCUUGGGUUGAGAGGAGGAGUGGGAGACAAGCUAUGUGUUGAUUGGAGCAACCCUCAAAGGCACUCAAAGAUGCACUUGGGAUCUAGCUUUUAGUGUAGGCAAUUGGGAGUGAGAUAGAUAAGAUGUUCUUGGAAUCUUUUGGAUGUAUUUCACACCUCCCACUCGAGGUGGGAGAAGACUAUAUAUAGUGGUGGCACACAGGUGACCGUUGGAGCCACUUAUACAGUGCAGUAUCCAGGCAUCCGGCAGCUCAUGGUCGUCGGGACAGCCACGAGGGGUCGGACAUCCGAUAGUGGCCGGUCGUCCGAAAGAAGCACAAGGUAUAUGAUUACCAGAGUGUUUGGUGGAGAGGUAACCAUUAUACGGCCGUCCGGGGGACUUCGGUCGUCCGAAGACAUAGAAGAUAUUAGGUCAGCAUCAGGUGCGAAAGUGAAUAGCGCAUGGAUGACCGAAAGGCAUCGGCCAUCGAGGACACGGUCGCUCGGAAUGGUCGAUAGUCCGACAUUUUGGAUGUGUUUGGUGGCAACGGAUAUCCUACCGUACUCGGACGUCCGGUUCUCGGACGACCGGUUCUUGGACGGCCGAAGGGACCGUAAGUACGAAGGUUUGACUCUGUUGGCUGGCUCCGGAUUCCCAGACGACGUCGUCCAUCUGGGGUCCGGACGUGCGAGAACCACCGGAUGACCGAACAGGAGCAGACCAACUAGGAAGAUACUGAGAGUUGAAUUUCCAAGAGUUUUGAGCAAGUUUCUUGCGAGACCCAGUGAUCCACUCUUCAUAGUGCGGGAUCUCUAAAACUCAAGAUACAUAAAAGAGCUACACUAAAUAGCUACCAAUUAUCCAUAAUUGAUUGUAUAUGUAUAUUCGGUGAUCAUCACUCCGCAUCACUAACGUCAAAGGAACUAAUACCUUUGACUCAGACCUUAGACUUGAGCUUGAUGUUAUUGUUUAUUCUUGGCUGAAGCUGAAGGCAAGACAUUGACUAAGUUUUCAAGUAGCUCUCCCAUACACAAUGUAGAAAGACUUGCUUUGUAUUCAUCUCUUCAUUUUUCUAUCAUGUGAACAUUCACAAGCUUCAAGCAUGUAAUCAUUAGAAAUGAAUAUCUUGAACUUGUCCUUGUCAAACAUGAUCAUGAACCCUUGAUGUCAUCAUCUCAUGCACACUAGGAAUCUAUCUCUUCAUGCGAGCCCAUGAGAAUUACCUAAACCUUAUAGACAUAGACACCACAUAGUAUGAGUUAGUUCACAGGAUCCCAUGUGGUACAUCGUUUGCACUUGUGUGAUGACCAACUUUGAGUUAACUCUUUGAACUUCAUCUUGGUCAACAUUUAUCUUAGAUCCAUGAUUAAUCUUGAUGCCUUGAAGGCCCUAUUGAUUUCUUGUUAGGGUUCAUUUCUUUAACAAAUGACUGCCAAUAUCUCAAUUUACCAUGACCAUAUCAAGUUUCUCCAUGAAUCUCAUAUUGGCUAUAACUUGCUCGUCUUCAUGAUACAACAUAUGAGCUCAUCAUGAUCCUAUUUUCAAGACAUAUGUAGAAUUCUUUUAUUUAAUUAUUAUCUCGAGAUCUUGAUCCAUCAUGGCUCAAACCAUAAGCCAAAGCAUGAGAAUGUUUGAGAUCCUCAAUGAACUCCACAUAGAUCACAUUAGUUCAGCACAUGGAAUUCAUCUUGAUCGUAUCAUAUUUGAUUCACUCAUUGAGCUCAUCCUUGAUGCAUGCACAACAAUAUGUAUAGGACAUUCAUUUAGAAUUCAUUCGAACUCCUUCUUGCAUAUUCAUGGAACAAGCAUACUUCAAGUCAUCCAAUAUUCUUCAUGUGUUGCAUAGAGAACAUUCCUUCAAAUGUAUAACUCAAUGCAAACAUUAGUCCAUUAGGAUUGUCAUCAAUUACCAAAACCACACAUGGGAAGUACAUGGACUUUCAAUCUCCCCCAUUUUGGUAGUUGAUGACAAUCUCAACAAGAGGAUUUAUAUAAUGAAUUUUAACACAAGUAUAAUGAAUUUUAACACAAGUAUGCAGUUUACCCAAGGAUAUAUAGAGUACUUGGGAUGGUUUUCAUAGCCUCAAGUGUCACACAGAUACUUGAGUUUAUCACACUCGUUGUACUAACAUCAAAAUAUCACACCCAGUGUAUUAACAUCAAGAUACUUGGUAGCGUCAAGUGUCACAAAGAUACUUGAGUUUAUCACACUCGAUGUACUAACAUCAAAAUACUAUGCAAUAUAUAGAGCACACUCCCCCACAAUAUAUGCAUAUGUGAACAAACUAUGAAUUUUCUUGCAUAUAUUGGUUCACAUGAACUAGGUGGAGUUUUCUCUAUUUCCUAUAUAUAUACUAAUUCAUGCAAUAAAUAAUAUUUUUAGAUAUCUUAAAUCCUCUAAGAUUCUCCCCCAUUGGCAAAAAAUGCCAAAAUGGGACAAAUCUUGAAUACAAUAAGUUCCUCCUUACUGUACGCGUAUUGCAAGAUGUGAGUGAAAUAAAAUGCACAUAUUUAAUGAUAGGAAAUUUGAGGAACUCGGGAUCUAGAUAUUGCAAUAGAUGGGAUACGAAAAUAAGCAUUCGACAAACAUUUUAAAGAUCCAAACAACAUAUUUUGGACAAGGUAUAACGUGAAUAUCCAAAUCGAUCAUUAUGAUAAGUGUGGGUCCAAAAUACAUCCAAACACAUGAGUGCAUAAGAUUAUGUGCAAGACAUAUAGGCACUGACUUCGCAACCUCUUACCGACACCACCAAUGAAUCAAUAAGGAAGGAAUCAAGUGACCGGCAAGGAUCAAGUGAUAUCGCAAAGAUGGGAACUUACUUAUGUGCCCAAAUUUCUAAGUGGACACUAUGUAUCCACAACGAAACUUGCAUACAUAAAAAAUCACAAUUAAUAAGAACAUGAUAUGCACAAGUGAAUCCAUUAGCAUACACAUGUUAUCCUAACAUAAGAUCAAGGCACAUGUUUCAAGGUCCAUGGCCCAAAUUGAUCUCAUUCGCAUGACCAUAAAUUCCUAUGAAGAUACCAAUACUACAAGCAAUUAUUGUGUUUUUGGAAUUUUCAUAAAAUCUGCACAUGAGAGAACAUUUUAGGAAAUGACAUGCAAUGAGUUGCCUAUUUGGCAUGUAUUGGGAUGAAUGAACCAUGAAUAUGAUUUUGUAGAUCCCCAUUAGAUGAUUCUACUCAAUUGUCUAAACAUUGCAACAAAGUGUUUUCAAGAACAUGCAUGAGAACACAAAAUAGAAUAAGUACUAUUUCAUGCUAUGAUGCAACCUACACAAGGUUGACUCUACUUUUAUACAUGCAUGAAGUAAAUACUUGUUACCAAGAAAGAAUUGGUAUGGAGUAGUGAUGGCUGAGUCAUGUAUUCUUGGGUGUAAUUUCCUCGUGAUGGAACCACCUUUAUUAUGAAUAAGCCAAGACAACAAUGCUUCUCCAAAGUACCUAGAUCACUUUUAAGUACAAUAUGGUCCCCAAAUUUAUUGGGUCCGAAGUAGUUAGUCAAACUACAAUAUAUAGGGCAAAAACCACUCAAUUAUGUGCAUAUAGAUAUGAAUUUUAAUUUCAUGCACAUCUUAGCUUUAAAGGAUAUGACAGAUUUACCAUAUAUAUAUUGGGUCAAAAAGAAGAUAAAUAAGGCAUGAGAAUUUACACAUAGUAAAUAUGCCUACACAAGCCUAUCAAAAUCCAAAGACAUACAAAUUGGACAAAUGAACACAUAAUUGUUAAUACUCCCAAUAGCCUCACCAAUCAUUCAUGUUGUCCAAAAUAAAUCAAAGUGACAAAUAAACAUAUGAUAGCACACCAAGUUCAACACAUGUACCAAGCAGUACAAAUGAGCAUAUAGGAUAUGCAUUGCGCAUAAUAUUACAUGCAUGUCUCUCUCAAGUAACUAUAUUAUACUAUAGGUAAUGAGAUAAUAACUCCCACAACAUCAUAAAAAUAGUAAUACGAGCUCAAACAAAUGCAUGGGAGAUUACCGGGAGACAAAUGAAUUUCUUGGCUAGUUACAAAAUGCAAGUAGAAGCAAAGCCGAUAUAAAGAUGACCAUGAAACUCUACCAUACAAGGGAUACCAGGUGUAAGAGAACACAAUGGUAUUUAGAAUUAUCGUUCGGUGAUAGAUUCCAAAUAAGCACAAAGUCAUUUAUACUCACACAAGUAUGAUAUGGGAGUUUAGAAAUACGCACAAUGCUUACAUACCAUAUUAUUAACACGUUGAUUAGCUAGAUCAUCAUGUACAGAAAUAAUUUGAAUGUCAUACUCACACACAUCUAAGGAAUUAAACACCAAAAGAAUUAUUAUGCAAAUAGAGACACGUUGACCAUGGGAAGCCACAAAGAUACAGAAUAAUCUAAAUAAUAGAUUCUAAGUGGCAUUCAUCGAAUGUUUAUAUUACCAAGGAUUAUGAUAUGCAAAAAAGCAUAUCACUCCCCCAUAAUGUGAUAGUCCAUGUAUUUUCCAUAUUGAUUCAAUUUAAAUCCAACUAAAACUGAUCAAUGGAUGAGAAAUUGAACUUUUAGAUGACCUUGACAUACCACAAAGUAACUGGAUAAUCUUGCACUAUAAAUACUAUGUUGUGUCCAAUAUAUACACAUUUUAGGUUAGUGAUGUGCGUAGAGCAUGACACUCCCCCAUAAUGUGAAGACAGAUUAAUGUCUCAAAAGAGCCCCGUAAGGUGCAACCAGGAUGCAAGUAAGGAUUAGGAUUACACACACAACUAUAUGACAUGCACAACAACCUACACAUGCUAGAUAACACAAAUCAAGCAUACUAGGAGGCUCAACAUGUCAAAACACAUGCUAGGUACCAAACCUAAACAUGAGAGGGGCUAGUAACUUUCAAUGUCUAGGCUUGAACCAUAAUGACAGAUAUGAUGGUAAUAUUCUUGACUAGGCUUGAACCAUAAUAAAUGGUGAAAAUAAUUUUUAUUCAUGAACUAGCCAAGUCUCCAAUGCCCUCCACAGACCUAAGCAUCUGUGGUGGCUACCUUAUGAUAAUCAGAGUAAUCAUAUGGUGGCCUACUCGAGCGAUCAAAGACUAGAAUGAUCACUAAGUGAUCCUGAACACCUACCUACGUCAAACAUAUCCCCAUCGUGUUCUCGAUUAAAGAGCGAUCUCCGAAGGAGACAGUCACGGUUACGCACACAGUUGGCAGUUUUAUUAGAGUUACUUCAAGUUGUCUAGAACCACAUGUUAAUAAAAUAUUCUCAUUUGCCACAUAACCGCGGGCAUGGCUUUCCGAAAGAUUAAACCCUGCAGGGGUGCUCCAACUAGUACAUCACAAACUGCCAUGGGCCGCAAAGUAAUCCUCUAUCACGAAACUCGUGAACUCGUUGGAUUCCUUAGAGGAAAACCUCAACUUUGAGGAGACCCAAAGUUUCACCGGGAUUGCUAUACGCAAGAUAUAUCGCUAAGGUAAGACAAAUCUAGUAGGACCUCUCGACGUGUCGACGACCCCGAUAAGCGCCGCGUAUCUCAGUCUCAGGACACGACGAAUGGAACUAGCUACGGGAACCAAACCUCAAGUUUCCUCGCGAUGGCCCCGCAGGCAGUCCAGUUUGGACCAACACUCAUGAGGAGCAGUGGCCCGGGUUGUUGAUUAAAUCCUCGAGAUAGCUAUUCCCUAUGCAUUUCAUUGUUAAGUUAUUAGCAGAUUAAAACCAAUGUUGGGUCCUCCCGGACAAACCUUAACAAUAUACGAUUUAUCAAGGGGGUGCCCAUAACAACCCCGACAGUGUUAGGAGCGAUCAGUUACGGAAUCAAACACGGGUAACUGAAACUAAGGCGGCAACAAUGGAACAAAUCAGCCGGCAAAAGGCUAGGCCUUCCGUUAUUUACCAAGUAUAUAGGUGCGUCAAUUAAUAGCAGUUUAAACAUAAUGAUAACAAAAUACCCAUGUUAUCACAUGAGACAGCUGGCACCUACAACUAGCAAAGCUACUCAUUAGAGGUUGAGCAAGCCUACUUAGCCAAACAACAUUUGCUAGGAAAUGGAGGUGUUUGAGGUUCAUGGCAAAGACAGGAGGCAUUUAUAUCAAGGGGUAGGCAGCGAGCAUGUAACAAAGGAAACGUGAUUCUAAGCAUAACAAAGCUAGAUACGGUGUCAAGGUCACGGUCAACUUACAUGUGAUGUCUUCAGCUUGGAACUGCUCUUGAUCUUCCUGCACGUACUCUCCAGAAUCCACGUACUUGCUCUCCGUUCCCGAUGCUACCCAAGAUAAGAUAACAGCCAAUGAACACCGGCAAAACAUAAUGCAACAACCAAUAUGAUGCAUGUGUGAAGAAGCAAGCAUGCAUCACUAUUCUAGUCACUUUCAUAUGCAUUAGUUGAUUUAAUUGAAUUCUGGACAGAACUUCAUAUUCAGUUAUCUUGACAUGCAUGAAUAUGUCAUGAACAUAUGCAUCACAACAAAACGAUGCAAAAACAUAUAAAGAACAUAGAGAACGGAGCCACGGAUCAACCGGAAACUACAAAACAAGGUAUGGAGACCUACGGUUCAAAUCAGCCACAAACACACUCUAACGGGCACUCCCUGGUGUAACCAGGUUGCCACAUGAUCAAGCAACAAAAUAUAAGUGGGGUGGUGCAUGGGAGCACACCACACCAUCAACAAUGCCCACACAAGCUUCAAAUCAAUACAAACAUAUAAUAUAUUUCAACAACAACAUAGCAGUUUGUCUACAAUAUUUAAACUAGCUACAUCCAACUAAAUUAAUCAAACAAGAUAUGAGAUAGAAGCCAUCCAAAAUCUCUACAACGCUGAACAAGAAACUAAUGCAAAGGAAUCACCCAUGAGCAGAUCUAUAGACACUAACUUGGACAAAAUAUCACAGAUUCUGGGACUUUGUGAAAAUCACAGAUUUUCACCAGCUGCUUAUGCUCUGAAGCAUUUUGGCAGCCUCCAAAAUGAUAUCUACAAGAAGUGUAUAAGCAUGACAUUUAACAGGGAGCUAAAAAAUCAUGAUAUCUCACAAACAUUAGUUUGUUGCAUGGGCUUAUUCCCAACACUGGAGCUAAUUCACACCAGACAACAGGGGAAGAAAAUAACAUCCGAUUCCCAGCCUUAGUGAAAAUCACAAGGUUUCACAAAUCUUUCAGUUUCAGCCAAGUGUCCCCUUUGACAGGGCACAAUAGGUGCAUGCAAAUCCCUAAGAACAAAACAAAGGACCCAUGUUGUAGAGCGGUUCACCCACUACCAUUCCAUCAAGGAAUCAUCCACAAAGGUCCAUAGCACCACCUAAUGUAAAGCUCUAAACAUGGCAUCAAAUCAGAAAAUAAUAGUUUUAUGAAGUUGCUCUAAAGUGAAAUCUGACAUCACAAAUGGAUUCCUGGGAUGAUUCUACCCCAAAAUCAUAUAUCAUACAUGGGUACUCCCAUGUAACAUCAAAGCACAAAGCUAGCUCGAAAAUGACACAUAGAAUCCCAUAGGCUACAACUACUAUCAUCACAUGUGAACACCAGCACAUAUUGCAUCACCUACACAUGCACAUCACUAGGGCAAGAACAUCCUAUCUAGGUAUGUCAUGGACUCACUAACAUGUCACACCAACAUAUAGAAAUUAGGUGUUCAUCCACACACACACACACAUACAUACAUACAUGUGCACACACAUACACAUGCACAUGUAUAUACAUGGACUCUCACCACCAUCUACACCUACACAUGCCCACACACAAGAUCUACUCACACAUGUAUGUAUGUAUUUGCAAGCAUGAGGGAUUAGGCCCUCUUGCACAAGUGUGUGUGCAACACAUACACACAUCACAUACACACACACACUUCCACCUACACACUCUACACUACCUCUAGUGCAACAUGGAAAAAAACAAAUAAAAGAAACAUCACACAAGCCCCUGGUGUAGAAAGAACCAACACAAUGCAACAAAAUAAAUAAAGAAAUCAGAAUAAAAAAAUUAAAGAAAAGGGGAGAGUGUGGGGUUCGAACCCACACCCCCCUAGUGCCAACACACGCACAACACCACUCUGCUACUGCAUCAGUGCUUACCAGAGAGGGGGGCAUAAGCAGGCUAAGCCCUCUCUAGCGCUGCCCUCCUACUCGCGACACACAAAUAAAAAUAAAAGGGCGCCCGCGGGGGAUCGAACCCACGACACACUUCAGCGCGCCAGGCUCCGUUGCCACUGCACUGAGGUAAGUAAUCUUACCAUAGAGGGAGGAGGAGCCCUCUUGAGCAGCCUCUCUGCUCUAUUACAAACCACGACGGUGACUGAAAUAGGGGAAGCUCUCUGGUGGCUCUCCGGCGACCAAAACCUACGACAGCUACCACGCGGGGGAAGCGGGAACCCUAGGGGAUCCAUUCCCGAGGCUAGCUUCCUGGGAGGAGGCCCACGGUGACGGCUCGACAGUGCGCUACCUACGACGACGGCGGCGACGGCUACGCACGAUCAGAGCCCCUACGUUGAGGAGAAGAGGAAGGAUGAGGAAGGAGUUGCUCACCCUACACGACGAGGAGGAGAAGAAGGCCCGACGAGGAGGACGAACAGACGAGGCGGCCCAACACGCUGCUCCUUCCGCCCGAGAUGACGACGGCAAGGAGGGGCCGACAGAGGAGGGGAUCGACCCUCCUAGUGCCGGGAAUGGGUUGGAGAAGGCUCCUGCAUCCUCGCGGACGCCUCGGACGCCGCGGUGGAGGCUGCCGGCGACAAGGAGGAUGGCGGGAUCAACGGCGGCGCUCUCUGAAUCCUCACUCUCUCUAAACCUUUCUCUCGAGCGUUACCUGCAGAGGGGAAGAAGGAGGGAGAAAGGAGGUGGCGGCGGGGGAGAGGAACCCUAGACAAGGCCCGUACGUCGAGGGGGAAUAAGUAGGCGACGAGGAGACGGCCUUGACGUCCGUGUAGCCACGGCAUCGCGAGCUCUCUCUCUCUGAACCUGACGGAAAGCAGGGAGGAGGAGGGACGUCGUCAGAGAAAGAAGAGAGGGACGGGGAGAAGGCAUUCGGGCGAGAGAAAAGAAGGCGAGGCCCAGGUGAGGAGGAGUAGGCCGCCCACCUCGGCUUCUCUGUUAAAAGAAAAAGGGGGUUUUCUUUUUAAAUAACUAAAACCCAAACAAAACUCACAGUGCCAAGAAGAGGGUUUUGUUUAGAAAAAUAAAAAUAGCCAGGGGCUGAGGGAUUUACGCCCUAUUUAAAUAAAAUACAAACCAAAUUUUUAGAGCAUUUAAAUUAUCCCUAAAAAAGGAAUUUACAAUGCUGUUUUUAUAAAACCACAAAUGAAUUAAAGCUUAAAAACAACCAGUCAAUUACCCCCUCAACCACAAGUUAAUACUCUGAAUGUUUAACAUUUUUAAAACAGGUUCUAACAAGGUUUAACACACAAGUUUAAAAAUAACAAAGGAGGAAAGCUUUGCAUAGUUUGGCAAGCAUUGUAGUUGAAAGCAUGUUUGGAAACAAUGCUUGAAUACACCACAACAUCACAUCACACCAAAGCAAGCUAUCACAACCAAGAUGGAGUUGAACACAAUGCACUUGAAAGGGAUGCCAUGAUGCAAGAUGAUGACAUGCAAUGAGCCACAUGAAAUGAUAAACUCAUAUAAAAACCACAACAAGGUUCACAAACUAGGAAAGGAUCCAAAUAUGGAAAGGAUUACAUCUGGGUUGUUACAUAUUGAGACCUCUUCCCAUGUAGCAUAUCCUUAUAUGCCCAUAUCUUCAAUGGUCAUGAUCUCACGUGAUGCCCAGCCUUUUUGCACUUAAAGGAAGAAAUGUUGGACUUGUUCAUGGCUUGGUCUUGUCCCCUUUUCUUGUUCAUGGCCUUCAUCUUAUUGCAGUGAUAACUAUGUCCAUCAUCACACUUUUUGAAGUGUUCCUUGAAACUAGUGACUUGGGCCUUGAGCUCAUUAAUUUCUUCUACAUAGUUAGUUUCAACACUAGAAACAAGAGGACUAGUGGAAUUAGAAACUUCAUGGUUAGAGCAACAAGAGAAUGCGAGCAAUCCAUCAUGAUUGGUAAUAAUAUGAGAGAUGGGUGGAUUACAAGGAUUAGCACAUGGCAAUAAAGCAUUUAUAGUAGAUGUACUAAUGUUCACAUGAGACUCACAAGAUUUUACCUUGAUGGCCAUAGUCUCAAGUGCUAACUUUAACUCAUUAUGAGAGAUUAGAAGAUCCUCAUGAGUGCUUAAGAGAUUUUCAUGACUUUCUUGCAAUUUCCCAUAAUUUCUGGUUAGCAAAUAACUUUGAGCACAUAACUCAAAAUUCUCCUUCAACGUUGAUGCCUCAAAUGUGGUAGAGUUAGAUGCACAAGUAUCAUCAAGAAUAUGAGAGGAGUAAGUAGCAAUUAGUGACUUCUCAUGUGUAGAUUCAAGCUCUUUAUAGAUCUUAGAGGUUUUGAUGAGCUCUUCCUUGAAAUUAUUGCAUUCAAGGAGAAGGAGCUCAAAAUCCACUUUAAGUUUACCAUGAGCAAUUUCAAUCUCUCCUUUUGAAGAUCUUAACUCUCUAUAUGUUUGAUGAACCUUAUCAAGUUCAUGUUCAAGUUGUUCGCUUUAAGCUUGUUCGUACAUAAGUGAAUCAUUACAAUUUUCAAAGUAAGCAAGAACAUCUUGAAGCCUUUUAUAGGUGUUAAUUUAGCUCUAUGAAGAAUUUUACCAAUAACAUAGAGAUUGUGAGUCAAGUCAUCAUCAUCAUCCUUAUUACAAAUAUCAUCAUUAUCACUAAGAGAAGAUGAUACAUCAUCGUUACCUCUUGCCAUGAGGCACAUGUGAACAAAGUUAGUUGAUGGUGAUUCUUUUGGAGAACGAGGUUCUUCAUCAGUCAAGAGUGCCUCAUUUUUUUAUUUCCCCUAAAUGGUUAGCCAUAGGGCAACUACAGGGAACCAAUGCAUUUUCAUCACGAAAAGACGGGAGAGCAAGCAUAUCACCACAAACAUUUGUCAAGGUAUCCUUAGGUGAUAUGCAUGAACUAUCAACAUAGUAAUUUACACUAUAUGUGGUGUUAGAUGUGCCCAUGUCCAUAGGGGAUACAACAAAAUCAUCAACACAAGCAAGUUUUUUAAUAAUGAACUUAAGACCAUCAUCAAAAGAUAUUUCUUCACUCACCAUGUGAGUACCUUGUGGCACGCUAAAUGUUGGUGGAGUAGAAGAUGCUGAAGUGUGCAAGUAAUCGGAGAUGGAAGUAAUGGAGCUCAUGCACCAACUCCUUCAACAUAAUAUUGUCUUCAUCGAGAUUGGACCCACCAUAUAUAUCUUCGAGUUUGGUCCAAACUUCAUGAGCCGACUUGCAAGUCGAGAUUGACUUAAACACUUCAGGGUUUAUAGUUUGAUGAAUGGCAAGGGAGGACUCACAAUCAAGAUACAUGUCAUCUAUAGAUGGAGAUGGAUCAUCCUUUGCAGCAACAAUCCCUACAAGAACAAUUCGUAAAGCAUUUGGGCCCAUGGCCAUCAAAGUCAAAGGUGUCAUUAUGCACUAAUCCAAUAUUCGACAUCGAUACUCUCUAGGUGGUGAGGCCUAAUAAGGAGAGACCUUGCUCUGAUACCAAUUGAAAGGACCACGAUGUCGCCUGGAGGGGGGUGAAUAUGCGUUUUAAAAACUUCUACGGAUUUGGCUUAAUCCUAAUGCGGAAAUAAACUAAGAGGAUACUUCUCAAGCACAAAUCCUAAAUAUACGUGGCUCAACUACGUGCGUCAACAACUUGUUCUACCAAGAUGAAUCACAACAAGAUUACUCACGAGCAUAAGUAAGUUACACAACCUUACUUGAGCAGUAUUACAAGAUGUGUAAGUGUAUGACACAAGUUAGCAAAUAACACUAAACACAAGAUAUAUCAAUAUUACCAAGUAUGAACUGCGGGAUAUAAAGUGUUGGCCUGACUGAUUAAUCUUCACAAGGAAAUGGCCAACACAAUAUAAUGCGGACAACAAUAUGUAGUGAAUGUAUGCUCAAGUAACCAAGGUAAUCCACAAGCAAGGAGUUAGGGUUAGGGAUAACCAAUGUCACGGAGACAAGGAUAUAUCCCGAUGUUCACUUCCUUGGAGGGAAUCUAGUCACCGUUAGAGAGAUGGAUGUUACCACGGUGGCACACCAAUGCCACGAAGGCUCACCCUAUUCUUCCUUUGAGACAACACCACGAAGGCGUUUCUCAACCACUAGUGAUAAGCCUUUGAGGUGGCUUCCAAACACUCACAAACUUUCUGGGGGUAAUCACAACGGUUUGAUUCCUCUCCGAAGAACUCCUACCGCUAGGAGUCUCCAACCUCCAAGAAUAACAAGAUCAAGAGGACUGCUCAAAACUUGCUCAAAUCACAAAUAGCUUGGGUUGAGAGGAGGAGAGGGAGACGAUCUAUCUUUUGAUUGGAGCAACCCUCAAUAUCACUCACAGAUGCACUUGGGAUCUAGCUUUUGGUGCAUGCAAAUGGGAGUGAGAAAGAUAAGAUGUUCUUGGAAUAUAUUGGUUGUAUUUCGCACCUCCCUCUCGAGGUGGGAGAAGACUAUAUAUAGUGGUGGCACAAAGGUGCCCAUUGGUGCCACUUAUGCAGUGUUGUUUCCGGGCGUCCGAUAGCUCAUGGUCGUCCGGACAUCCACGAGAGGUCGGACGUCCGAUAGUAGUCGGUCGUCUAAAAGAUGCAAAACGCAUCUGAUUAACACAGCGUUUGGUGGAGAGGUAACCAACAUAUGGUCGUCCGAAGGACGUCGGUCGUCCGAAGACACAAAAGAUAUUAGGUCAGCAUCAGGUGCAAAAGUGAACAACGCACCGAUGACCGAAAGGCAUCGGCCGUCCGGGACACGGUUGCCCGGAAUGGUCGAAAGUCCGACAUUUUGGAUAUGUUUGGUAGCUACGGAAUUCCUACCAUACCCGGACGUCUCGGACGACCAGAGGGACCGGAAGUCCGAAGGUUUGACUCUGUUGCAUGGCUCCGGAUUUCCGGAUGGCGUCGACCAUCCGUGGUCCGGACGUUCGAGAACCAGCAGACAACUAAACAGGAGCAGACCAACUAGGAAUAUAGGGAGAGUGGAAUUGCCUAGAGUUUUGAGAAAGUUUCUUGCGAGACCGACUGAUCCCCUCUUAAUACUGCGGGAUCCCUAAAACUCAAGAUACAUAAAAGAGCUACACUACAUAGCUACCAAUAAUCCAUAGUUUAGUGUAUAUGUUUAUUCGGUGGUCAUCACUCCACACCACUAAUGUCAAAGGAACUAAUACCAUUGAGUCAGACCUUAGACUUGAGCUUGAUGUUAUUGUUUCGUCUUGGCUCAAGCUGAAGGCAUGACCUUGAUGAAGUCUUCAAGUAGCUCUCCCAUACACAAUGUAGAAAGCCUUGCUUACUAUUCAUCUUCAUUCGUCUAUCAUAUGAACAUCCACAAGCUUCAAGCAUGUAAUCCUUAGAAAUUGUUAUCUUGCACUUGUCCUUGUCAAACAUGAUCAUGAACCAUUGAUGUCAUCAUCUCCUGGACACUUGGAAUCUCUCUCUUGGUGCGAGCCCAUGAGAAUCACCUAACCCUUAUAUACAUAGAUAGCAAGUAGUAUGGGUUAGUUCACAACGUGCAAUUGACAAUUACUUACCAUACCACAGGAUCCCAUGUGGUACAUCAUUUGCGCUUGUGUGAUGACCAACUUUGAGUUAACUCUUUGAUCUUCAUCUUGGUCAACAUUUAUCUUGGAUCCAUGAUUAAUCUUGAUGCCUUGAAGGCCCUAUUGAUUUCUUGUUAGGAUUCAUUGCUGUAAGAAAUCAUUGCCAUUAUCUCAAUUCACCAUGACCAUAUCAAGUUUCUCCAUGAAUCUCAUAUUGGCUAUAACUUGCUUGUAUUCAUGAUACAACAUAUGAGCUCAUCAUGAUCCUAUUUCCAAGACAUGUGUAUAAUUCUUCUCUUAAAUUAUUCUCUCAAGAUCUUGAUCCAUCAUGGCUCAAACCAUAAACCAAAGCAUGAGAAUGUCUGAGAUCCUCAGUGAACUCCACAAAGAUCACAUUAGUUCAUCACAUGGAAUUCAUCUUGAUCAUAUCAUAUUUGAUUCACUCAUUGAGCUCCUCCUUGACGCAUGCACAACAAUAUGUAUAUGACAUUCAUUCAGAAUUCAUUCGAGCUCCUUCUUGCAUAUUCAUGGAGCAAGCAUACUUGAAAUCAUCCAAUAUUCUUCAUGUGUUGCAAAUAGAACAUUCCUUCAAAUGUAUAACUCAAUGCAAACAUUAGUCCAUUAGGAUUGUCAUCAAUUACCAAAACCACACGUGGGAACUACAUGUACUUUCAAAGAAGACUACGCCUAGUGCGUAAUGGAUGUUCAUCUUGUAGCAAGCCGGCUUGCCGAGAGUCUUGACAUGUACAAGUAUCAGUCGGCCUACGAUGAUAAUCAUAAACUUGUGGCGCCUCCCAGUUUUGCACGAAUGGAGUUGACUCCUCAGCACCGUAAGCAUAUUUUUGCCUCUGAUGCUGACCCGUCAACCAUCUUGACACAGGAAGCUGAAUUUCAUGCUUUAAUCAAUUGCAUGUGGGAUGUGGGCAACUUCCAGAUCCAAGACCCCGAAAACUCUGCACGGGGUGACCCAGAGGCGGCUUAGACGCGGAGACCCUCGAAGCUUCAACCUGAAGAAAAAGACUGAACCCGGAGGAAACUUGCCACCGGGUUAAUAUAGAAAAAAAAUUUGGCCUUCAUGAGCCAUGUAAUUUGCUUUUGAGUAUACUUAAACUGCUAUAUAUUUGCAUGAAUAGCAAUGCCAAACCUUCCUGGCGUUACUUUGAAAUAUAAGUCGCCUGUUUGAGCUAUCGCUGGUUAGGAAGUAUGUUGGUUUCUCCUCCUUGAAAGGAAAGACCUUUAGAAUCACCCAAUUUGGAUAAGUCAGUACAACUGUUGGAUCUCUACCUUAAAAUAUAACACCAUAUAAGGUGAAAAAUAAGCCAGCUCAGUGAGUCACGGCGGGUAGACGGGUUUGCAAGGCUCUAGUCAUACUCCAAGAGGUUUUUUGCAAAAACCUUUAUGUUUUUAGACUGGCGGAUCAGGCUCAAGUCAAGCUUCACUGAAGCAGGUACGGUGAACCCAUGGUUUGUCUAUUUUCCAUAUGCUCACUCUCGCCAGCACCUCAAUGUUUUAACUUUCGAAGUUCAAGGUCCAAAAUUGGAUUGACUCGCCAAGAGUACACGGGGCUUAUGGGCGAUUUGCAAAACACACAAUCCAGUAUAACCAUUGUAAUGCAUUAAUCUUUCGUUGGCCAAGAGGGUAUUAAGGUGGGACUCAAUGAGUCAGAAGCCUCCAAGUGACCUAUGAUCAAGGAAAAGUGGGCAUAGGAUAGCAGAAGACAAUGCUAUUACUGCUAAACAACCUGGGGACAGGUAGCCCCCAAGUAAGCCGAUUUUUAUCGUUCAUGAGCAUACAUUGGCCCCUAUGUUUGAACUGUGCAUCAUGGCACUUGAUCCUCUUUGGCUUAUUAUUAUAUAUGUUUAAACAAUCACAAUAGGGCGAAUCAUUCUUUUUUAUACUAAUAGAGUACAUGUUCGAAUGGCCUCCUUGGCGGCGACUCAUCCUUUUGGGCGGCUUAUUUAAUCAAUAAAGAAUCAUGCUCUACAUAUAGGCUGAAACGGGAGAGACCCCGAAUUUCGUGGGUGCCAACUUUAUUGAUGUGAUAUAAAGAGUACACAAAUACUUAACUAUGUACAUGGAUAAGGAGCCAAUGGCUCUAAGUGUAGUAAGACCGCAGAUGAGCAAUGUUCCAUGGGCGGGUUGUCUCUUCCUCCGAGGUUGGCUUCUUAGGGCGAAGAUCAAUCAAGUAAUAAGAGCCAUUGCGAAGGUUUUUGCUAAUGACGAAAGGUCCUUCCCACGGAGGCGAGAGCUUGUGCAUGCCAGUAUGAUCUUGAAUAAGUCCAAGCACUAAGUCGCCCUCCUGGAAGACCCGACUCUUGACCCGUCGACUGCGAUAACAACGCAGGUCUUGUUGGUAGAUAGCCGAUCGUGUUGUGGCUAAAUCACGCUCCUCCUCCAAAGAAUCCUGACAUGCUUGCUCAUUAUCGGCUUCUACGUACGCGACGACUCUGGGAGAAUCAUGCCUUAUAUCGCUUGGAAGAAUCACCUCAGACCCAUCGAAGCGGAAAAAAGGAGUGUAACUAGUAGAUCUGUUUGGUGUUGUUCUGAUGCUCCAAAGUACGGAAGGAAGCUCUUCGACCCAACAACCCGGAGUGACCUGCAAAGGAACCAUGAGCCGGGGCUUGAUUCCAUGCAAGAUAUCCUGGUUAGCCCGCUCAGCUUGACCAUUGGAAUGUGGAUGAGCCACUACGGAUACAUCAAGUCGGAUGUGCUCUCGUUGACAAAACUCCUUCAUUGCCGCCUCAGACAAAUUAGUACCAUUAUCAGUAAUGAUGCUCUAGGGAUAACCAAAAUGUAAAAUCAGCUUUUUGAGGAACUUGACUGUCGUCUCUGCCUCACAGUUGCUGACCAACUCUGCUUCAACCCACUUGGUAAAUUUAUCAACCGCCACCAACAGAUGGGUCUUUUUGUUGGGAGACAUUUUAUACGGGACACCCAUAUCAAGCCCCCAAACUGCGAAAGGCCAUGUAAUUGGGAUCAUGUGCAACUCCUGAGCCGACAUAUGUACUUGAAGUCCAAACUUCUGACAUCCAUCAUAUCAGUGCACUAUAUGUUGUGCAUCGGCAUGAGGCAUUAACUAGUAGAAACCAUGACGAAAAGCUUUUGACACCAAAUAUCAUGACCCGGCGUGAUGUCCACAGUCACCUACAUGUAUUUCGUUAAGAAUAUCUCACCCUUCUUUCGGCAAAGCACAAUGCCGGAAAACCCCACAAGUACUUCGUUUGUGUAACUCUCCUUUAUGUAUAACCAUGGGCUUGCACCACCGCACGAUUUGCCUAGCGAAAACUUCAUGAGCUGGCAACUCGCCUCGAGCUAGAUAAGCCAUGUAAGGUACCGUCCAGUCAGGAAUUGCCCGGAGAGCCACCACCAACUGCGACUCCGGGUCAGGAACCACUAUGUCUUCUUCUGAAAGAAACUUCACAAAAGGAUUAUUUAAGACAUCCAAGAAGACAUUGGGGGAACAGGCUUACGUUGUGAUCCAAGUCGGGAUAGAGCAUCAGUCGCUUCAUUCUAUCAACGAUCAAUAUGAUCAGCCUAUUAGCCAUGGAAAUAACCCGCCACCUCGGUUACAUCACGCCUAUAAGCUGCCAUCAAUGGAUCUUUGGAAUCCCAGGUUCCUGAUACUUGUUGAGCCACCAAAUCUGAGUCGCCUAAGCACCUGACCCGGCUCAGGUUCAUCUCCUUAGCUAUCCUGAGCCGAUGGAGCAACACCUCAUACCCAGCCGCAUUGUUCGUGCAAGGAAACAUGAGCCGCAGAACAUAGGUAAACUUGUCACCUCUUGGGGACGAUAACACCACUCCAACUCCCGAGCCUUCCAACUUCCUAGAGCCAUCAAAAUGAAUAAUCCAAUAUGUGUUAUUAGGCCUAACUUCUGGAUUCUGUAACUCGGUCCAAUCGUUGAUAAAGUCCACCAGAGCUUGAGACUUGAUGGUUGUGCGAGGCAUAUACUUCACAUGAUGAGGACCAAGCUCUAUUGCCCAUUUAGCAAUCCGCCCAGUGGCUUCUCGGUUCUGUAUAAUGUCCCCAAUUCGCGCAGAACUGACCACGGUGAUUGGGUGCUCCAGGAAGUAGUGCUUCAACUUCCGGCUUGCCAUAAAAAUCCCAAUGACCAGCUUCUCCCAAUGUGGAUAUCGCUGUUUGGACAGGGUCAACACUACACUCACGAAAUACACUAGCCGUUGAACAGGAUAUUGCUUGCCUUCUUCCUUCCAUUCAACAACCAUGGAUCCACUCACCGCUUUAGAGUUAGAAAUAAUAUACAAGAGCAUUGGCUCUUUAUCAACCGGGGUUGCCAUUACGGGCGGAUCACCAAGUUGCUUCUUAAGGGCCUCGAAAGCCUCAUAAGACGCAUCGGUCUAGAUGAAGUGAUCCGUUUUCCUGAGCAACUGAUAAAGAGGGAUGGGCUUCUCACCAAGGCGACUUAUGAAACGACUCACCGCCGCAAUGCGACCCACCAUACGCUGGACCUGAUUAAUGUUAGCCGGCUUCCUGAGCAAAGUUAUCACCUUGAUCUUGUCCGGGUUAGCUUCUAUGCCACGCUCGGACACGAGGAAUCCCAGUAAUUUUCUCGCAUUAACCCCAGACACGCACUUGGUCGGGUUAAGCUUCAUUUGAUACACCUGGAGGUUGUCAAAUGUCUCCUUGAGAUCGCCUCGAAGUGUCUCCUUCUUCUGUGACUUCACCACGAUGGCAUCAAUAUAAGCAUGGACGUUACGUCCAAUGUGGCUGUGCAAACAAUUCUGAAUGAAACGCUGAUAAGUCGCCCCCGCGCUCUUGUGUCCAAAAGGUAUUGAGACAUAGGAAAAAGCAGCAAAAGGGGUGAUAAAGGUCGUCUUCUCCUAGUCCUCCUUGGCCAUCUUGAUUUGGUGAUAACCAGAGUACUCAUCCAGAAAGCACAAACGCUCACAACCCGCCGUAGAGUCAAUGAUUUGAUCGAUAUGGGGAAGGGCAAAAGGAUCCUUCGGACAAGCUUUGUUGAGGUUUGUAUAGUCGAUGCACAUGAGAAAAGUGUCAUUCUUCUUGAGAACUAAGACCGGGUUAGCCAACAACUCAGGAUGGAAACCUCGACGAUGAACCCAGCGGCCAAGAGCCGGGCGACUUCCUCUCCAAUUGCUUUAUGCCUCUCCUCAUUAAAACGACGAAGGUACUCACGAACCGGCUUCAUCUUGGGAUCUACAUUGAGAUGGUGCUCAGCGAAUUCUCUUUAUACUCCUGGCAUGUCAGAAGGUUUCCAUGCGAAGAUGUCCUGAUUCGCACGUAUGAAUUCGAUGAGCGCGCUUUCCUAUUUGGGAUCUAAAUCGUUCCCAAUAGUAAACUGCUUGGAAGAGUCGCCAGGGACGAAAGCAACUUGUUUGGUAUCAUCUGUCGGCUUGAACUUAAGGGGCGGCUCAGAAUCAACCAUUGGCUUUUUGAGCGAGCUCAUGUCAGUCGGGUCCACAUUGGCCUUGUGGAACUUCGACUCUUUGCCAGCGCACGCCGACUUCGCAUAUGCGGCGUCUUCUUCUUCGCACUCCUGAGCUAUCUUUCGAUCCCCAUUGACUGUGAUGGUGCCCUUGAGACCAGCUAUUUUAAGCUUAAGGUACACAUAUCAAGGGCGGGCCAUGAAGAGAGCAUAAGCCGGCCACCCGAAUAGAGCAUGAUAAGGGCUUUUAAUUUUGACCACCUCAAACAUCAAUAACUCACUCCUGUAAUUGGAAUCAUGACCAAAAGCCACAUUCAACUUGAUCCGCCAACAGGAUAUGCCAACUUGCCCGGAACAAUGCCGUGAAAAACCGUGGUUGAAGGCAUCAAGUCCUUCUCAUCAAAGUUCAUACAUCGGAAGGUGUCAUAGUACAUGAUGUCGAUACUGCUACCUCCAUCCAUCACGACCUUAGAAAGUGUGUGUCCCCAAACUGAGGCGCCACCAUCAACGCCAAGUCGCCAGGGUUAUCAAUCUGAGGCGGGUGAUCAUCUCUACUCCACAUGUUAGGCUGUUUAGGUCAGUUUAAGUAUCUGGAAACCGCCGGCUCAGCCAUAUUGAUGGCCCUCUGCUUUAUUUUCUUAUCCCUCUUACACGUACCAGUGGUGAAGACAUAGUAUUGGCCGCCAUUCAACUGCUUAGGAUUACUUUGAAAACCUUGCCGCUUGUUUGGCUUCUAGAAACUGCCCUAGUCAUUAUACUGCUGACUGCCUUGGCUAGAUGACUGUCCACCAUUGUGUUGGGGAACGCCGCAUGGGAAACAAAAAUUUUCCUACGCGCACGAAGACCUAUCAUGGUGAUGUCCAUCUACGAGAGGGGAUGAGUGAUCUACGUGCCCUUGUAGACCGUACAGCAGAAGCGUUAGAGAACGCGGUUGAUGUAGUGGAACGUCCUCACGUCCCUCGAUCCGCCCCGCGAACAAUCCCGCGAUAGUCCCACGAUCUAGUGCCGAACGGACGGCACCUCCGCGUUCAGCACACGUACAGCUCAACGAUGAUCUCGGCCUUCUUGAUCCAGCAAGAGAGACGGAGAGGUAGAAGAGUUCUCCGGCAGCGUGACGGCGCUCCGGAGGUUGGUGAUGACCUUGUCUCAGCAGGGCUCCGCCCGAGCUCCGCAGAAACGCGAUCUAGAGGAAAACCGUGGAGGUAUGUGGUCGGGUUCCCAUGGAAAAGUCGUCUCAAAUCAGCCCUAAAACCUCCGUAUAUAUAGGUGGGAGGGAGGGGACCUUGCCUUGGGGCUCAAGGAGCCCCAAGGGGGUCAGCCGAGUCCAAGGGGGAGGACUCUCCCCCCCCCCCCCAAACCGAAUUGGACUAGCUUUGGUGGGAGGGAGUCCCCCUUCCUUCCCACCUCCUCCUUUUUUUUCUUUCUCUCUUAAUUUUCUUCUCCUUGGCGCAUAGGGCACUUGUGGGCUGUCCCACCAGCCCACUAAGGGCUGGUGUGUCUCCCCCAAGGCCUAUGGGCUUCCCCGGGGUGGGUUGACCCCCCCGGUGAACUCCCGGAACCCAUUCGUCAUUCCCGGUACAUUCCUGGUAACUCCGAAAACCUUCCGGUAAUCAAAUGAGGUCAUCCUAUAUAUCAAUCUUCGUUUCCGGACCAUUCCGGAAACCCUCGUGACGUCCGUGAUCUCAUCCGGGACUCCGAACAACAUUCGGUAACCAACCAUAUAACUCAAAUACGCAUAAAACAACGUCGAACCUUAAGUGUGCAGACCCUGCGGGUUCGAGAACUAUGUAGACAUGACCCGAGAGACUCCUCGGUCAAUAUCCAAUAGCGGGACCUGGAUGCCCAUAUUGGAUCCUACAUAUUCCACGAAGAUCUUAUCGUUUGAACCUCAGUGCCAAGGAUUCGUAUAAUCCCGUAUGUCAUUCCCUUUGUCCUUCGGUAUGUUACUUGCCCGAGAUUCGAUUGUCAGUAUCCGCAUACCUAUUUCAAUCUC